rnacentral:lncRNA from 1 species
UCGGGAAAAAAGUGGCUAAAAAGCUACGGGAUGUGCGGACUUUAAUCAGUGAAGGAGUUUUUGAGGUGGUGGCUGACAGAGCUCCAGAGUCUGUAGCAGAUGAAAGACCUACUGAGCGAACAGUAGUAGGCUUGCAAUCACAACUUGAACAAGUCUGGAGAUGUCUUGUAGAAGAAUCAGCGGGAAUCAUUGGCCUAUAUGGUAUGGGCGGUGUUGGUAAAACUACACUACUGACCCAUAUCAACAAUAAAUUUCUCGAGAGUCCAACCAACUUUGAUUGUGCGAUUUGGGUUGUAGUUUCAAAAGACCUGCGACUCGAAAAAAUUCAAGAAGAUAUUGGGAAAAAGAUAGGUUUGGUUGGUGAUUCAUGGAAGAGUAAAAGUGUAGAGGAGAAAGCUGUCGACAUCUUCCGGAGUUUAAGAGAGAAGAGAUUUGUAUUGUUGUUAGAUGAUAUAUGGGAGCGGGUUGAUUUAACAAAGGUGGGCAUUCCACUUCCCGGACCAAAAAAUACUACCUCAAAAGUCGUAUUCACAACCCGUUUCAUCGAUGUUUGUGGUAGCAUGGAAGUUGACAGGAAGUUUCAAGUAGCAUGCUUAUCAGAAAAGGAUGCUUGGGAACUGUUUCGAGAAAAAGUUGGGGAGGAAACUCUUCAGAGUCAUCAUGAUAUCGAUGAGCUAGCCCAAAUUGUGGUCAAAGAGUGUGGUGGUUUGCCACUCGCACUUAUUACUAUUGGUCGAGCUAUGGCCUACAGAAAGAAAGCGGAGCAGUGGAGACGUGCAAUUGAAGAGUUAAGGAGAUCAGCUUCAGAGUUUGCAGGUUUGGGAAAAGAGGUUUAUCCUCUUUUAAAAUUCAGCUAUGAUAGUUUGCAGAAUGAUACGGUUAGAUCUUGUUUCUUGUACUGUUGUUUAUAUCCUGAAGAUUAUGGCAUUCUUAAAUGGGACUUGAUUGAUUGUUGGUUUGGCGAGGGAUUUUUUGGGGAAUCUGACAGGUCUGGUGCAGAAAACCAAGGAUAUGACAUUUUGGACACUCUUGUUCGUGCGUGUUUAUUAGAAGAGGUGGAAGAUGAUGAAGUAAAAAUGCAUGACGUUAUUCGUGAUAUGGCUAUAUGGAUAACUUGUGAAAUUGAGAAGGAGAAGAGAAACUUUUUGGUUCGUGCAGGUGCUGGAUUAAAAGAUGCACCGGGUGUUAAAGGAUGGGAAAAUGUGAGAAGAUUGUCAUUGAUGCAAAACCAAAUUGAAACUCUGGCAGAGGUUCCCACAUGCCCUCAUCUCCAUACUCUAUUUCUUGACUUUAAUAGGGGGUUGGAUAUGAUCGCGGAUGGCUUCUUUCAAUUUAUGCCUUCUCUCAAAGUUUUGAAGAUGUCAAACUGUUCGAAUUUGAAAUUACCUGUUGGGAUGUCAGAGUUGGGUUCAUCACUAGAACUUCUUGAUAUUUCAGAAAACAGCACAAGAGAGUUACCGGAAGAGUUAAAGAAGUUGGUAAAUCUGAAAUGUUUGAAUUUGAGGUGGACAGAGCAUUUAAAUAAAAUUCCACGGCAACUAAUAUCAAAUUCUUCAAGGUUACGUGUGUUGAGAAUGUUCGCUACUGGCCGGUUCAAUUUUCAUGAAGCACCAGAAGACAGCGUUUUAUUUGGUGGGGGUGAAGUUUUGAUACAGGAAUUGCUCGGUUUGAAAUAUUUAGAGGUAUUGGAGUUGACCUUGGGAAGUUAUCAUGCUCUCCAAAUUCUUUUGAGCUCAAAUAAGUUAAAAAGUUGUAUUCGAUCUCUUUACCUCGAGUUGACCGGAGAUACAACGUCAAUUAUUGAUGCUACGGCUUUCGCAGAUCUAAACCACCUCAAUGAAUUACGGAUUGAUAAUGGUAUUGAGUUGGAAGAGUUGAAGAUUGAUUAUACGGAGAUAGUACGAAAAAGGCGGGAACCUUUUGUUUUCCGCAGCCUUCAACGUGUUACCAUAGCGGAGUGCCAUAAAUUGAAAGAUGUGACAUUCCUCGUUUUUGCUCCAAACCUCAAGUCUCUUCGGCUAUUCUAUUGCGGUGCUAUGGAAGAAAUAAUCAGCGUCGGAAAAUUUGCUGAGACUCCUGAGAUGAUGGGACAUAUAAGCCCUUUUGAAAAUCUCCAAAUGCUUGAUUUACAAGGUUUGCCACAUUUGAAGAGCAUCUUCUGGAAGCCAUUGCCUUUCACUCAUCUGAAAGAAAUGGAGGUACUUAGGUGCGAUCGGCUUGAAAAGCUUCCACUCGAUUCCAACAGUGCAAAGGAGCGCAAAUUUGUUAUUCGUGGAGAAGAAGACUGGUGGAACCGACUUCAAUGGGAGGAUGAAGCCACUCAAAUUGCUUUUCGUUCCUGUUUUAAAAGUGAUGCUUUAUUUAUAUCUUAUUCGUGAAAAGUGAUUUAAUUUCCUGCCAAAAGACGAACGAGAAGAACAAUAGAGUCAAACUAAUGCUCACAUAAAUUUCCCGUAAGAAUAUAUAAUUAGAUUGGAAUGCACACCUCUAGAUUGAACAGAAUUAAAGCUGAGAAAAUAUUGAGUAUAGUAGCCCUCUUUACAGAAAAUGACGUGAAAGUUAAUUUAGAAAGAUAUAUUCUUGAUUAAUCCAUUUUCUGAAGUUUUUAUUUUGUAUGGUCAAUUAUACCUUCAUACUAAAAAUUUCUGAAGUUAUAAAUUAGUGCAACUUGACAAUUUUUACUGAUGAUAUCUUCUAUUUUUCCCUUUUUUUUUUUUUCACUUUCAUAGACUGGCAGCGGAUCCUGCGGCACCAAUUUGAGAGAAUAUACUGACACUACUUCGAACAGCAAGCAGAAGAAGUAAUAUGUCUACGGCAAAGGCAAUGGAGUCCUCAUUUUGGCUCGAGAUGCAGUAAUCAUCGAAGAGAGUUUCCUUGUGAAACUGGGCAACACAUUGAAUCCCUUCACCACUGAGAAGGUUGUGGAGGAAGUAAGCUUUCUCUCCAGUGAGGAAGAGGUGGCAUAUACCUUCCCCAUUUUGUUGAGGGCAGGUAGGAAUCUUUUUUCUAAGAGAUUUACUUCGUUCUCUGUAAGAAAUGCUUUGAACUUCAUCCCUCUGUCUCUAUCCUCACUUAUCAGGAAAUAAGUUGAAAGCACUAUGAAGAGAGAGAGAGAGAGAGAGAGAGAGAGAGAGAGAGAGAAUUAAGAUAUAUAGACAAGAAAAAUAUUUGACGUUGAUCUUACAAACUAAUACUUCAAGCAGUAUCCUAGAAAGCUAAAAACUGCAAGAUGGCUUGAAAUUUGAAAAGAGCACAUGCUUUUCCUCCUUAACUUGAGAAAAUGUUUAAUAUAGUGCACCUUACAGAAGCAUUUAAGCAAUUAGAACUUUGCACAAAAACAUCAAGAAGACUAAACAAGUCAGAUGCAGUGUAUUUGUCCAAGCACAAAUUGCAUUUUUUCCUCAACUUUAAUAUUUAUUGAUGAGAAUCAAUACAGGUCCCUCAUUUGUUAUAGAAAGCUUUCUUUCUUGUAGUCUCACCAGUUAAUUCAGAGGUCUAUAAUCAUCUUGCAAAGUUAAGGGCAUUUCUUUUGAUCUAAAGUCUUUGCAUCACCACCUCAUCACACGCCAAGCCAAUAUUCCAUUUACCUCUACAACAAAAAGUUUUAAUUAAACAAUCCUAAUGCACGCAGCCAAAUAAAAUGCAGUAAGAAUAUUCAACUUAAAAAUCUGAAAGCCAACUUGGUGAAUUGCCUCCUUAGGUGAAGUUCCAUGCUUUACUAUAGUUGACAGAACUCAGCAAAAGCUUCCAUACAACAGAUUUUGAAAAUGAUGAUGCCAACAGAUACUCAUUCAAUGCAUUGAAACUCCAAAGGUUCAUUGUUCAUAGAAGUUUACAGAGUUUUGGUCAUCAAAUAGCUCAGACCUAAUCCCAAACAAAAAAUGAGUGAAAAUUAGAUCACGAGCAGCUAAUUGUAAAUUCUAACUUAACUCUUCAUCUCCUUUGUAAACAAGAAACAAAAUGGAGACACGCAAAAUGAAUAUGGAGAAAAUUUGAACUCAAAUGAAAUGAGGGCAUGAAAGCAAACAAAUGGCAUGCACCAAAAAACCAAGCCUCAAUCAAAAACUAAUUAACCAUUAAGAAAAAAAUUGGUCAGAGAAUGAACUCCAAAUUCAGGAGUCAAGCAAGAAGCUUUCAUUAUUAUCAAAGUCAAUUAUCUUUGUUAGUAUGCGAGUGUGACGACUAUAGGUUGUUCUUUUUCUAAUGUCAUAUGAUUCCAAUUUUAGGUACAGGGCAUCUCUCUCUCUCUCUCUCAUCGCUAAGUGGAUAUUUUUCUCUUUUGUCAUAUACUUUAGUUAUUCUUCAAUUUACUAACUAAAAUGAAGGCCGCUUUAUUAAGAAGUUAUAUCCAGUUAUAUAAUUUGUUGUAUUUAAUAUAUGUUUGGGCUCAUAAUUUUUUUUAAAAAUAUAUAUUUCAUUCUCCAUAAUUUUUUCCCAUCAUAGCUACGAAACGUCUUAGUUUCGACUAAAAUCCUAAAAUUGGUCCUUAAUUGAAUAUGCAUUGCAAUUUGCAAAUGUAAUAUUGUGAAUGGGACACUGGAGAUACCAAAAUGGUCAAAUGCGAAAUAAGUUAGGAUUGUACGAUGUAGUUUGUAUUCAUAUUCAAUGCCUUUUUUUUCAAAAAACAAAUUGAAAUGCCAUUACUAAACGAUUCUUGAUGAUGGGAGCCACCGUGCCAGCUUUGUCGCUGAUUUGGUAUUAUUCUUAACUUGCAGAUAGUUGUGGAUAUGAUAUGCAAAAAGGUAAGGACUAUAUCUUCUUGAUGGAGGCCUCUGAUUUUUUCCCUUCUAUGUAAUUUAGUAAAUCGCAUUUUCCCUUGUGAUUGAUAUAUCAUACCAAAGUCAAGUCUUAAAUACUGCUGUCAUAUGUUAAGGUUCAACUUCCAUUUUGAUUAACGUCCAUUUGCUGCUGCUUCCAAAAGUGAGAAUGAGAUACUUUGGUUAAUUUCAGUAGUUGAACCCAAUAGAGUACUUUAUUUAGAUCUUCAUGGUUCAAAGGCCUGAAAAAACUUGCCGGUAUUUGCAAAAUGACAUUCUGUGCUUUUAUUUAGGCUUAUUAUUUAAGUGAUAAAAACUCCCGUAACCUGCUGUCAAGAAAAUUUCAGAUUGUUAAAAGACAACAUUUUGUUUCAGCCAAAAAUGUUUGUUUCGAUUAAAGACUUGAACCAUUUUCAUUUAACCUUGAUUGUGAUGCUUUACAUUAUGCAUGUUCCUCUCAAUCAAUAAAAGUUGAGGUCAUGAUUUUAUAUUUCUAUUUUGUAACUUGAAAUAAUUGGUCUGCCUGUUUCUGUAGCUUGAUAACAUGAAUUUUUCCUUCUGAAGUUAAUUUGAUCAAUAAAGUAAUUCUUCGGAGAUGAUAUGCCCAUUCUAUAGUCAUUUUCUUAGGUAACAUGUUUUUUCUUCACUCUUCAGAGCAUGUCUAAACUAAUUGAUCGCUCAGCGGAGACUUUGGGUGAGAAGACAAAAUUUCUUGGUAAAUCCUCUAAAAAGGUAUGCAUAAUUCCCGAGUAUUAAAUAAUCAUUGGUCAUAAUUUUUGUACACAACUCUUUUUUUGGAGAUCGUUAAAAGUGGUUGAUGAUCUAUUUUGUAAUAUCAUAGAGGGAUCAUGAAUUCCUGUUCUUUUCUGUGGCUAGGCAACACUUUCGGGCCAAGCUAAGGAAAUCUAUUUUAGGUAAUGUGAAAACCAGUUGUAGGAUGUAAUAGUUUAUUAUGCCCUGACAAUAACUUUUUGUAUAAUUGUCAGUUUAAUGAAUACAAGAGGAACUCUGUUGGCAAAUUCAUCCAUGAUAGAUGCUAAAAGUAUUUAUGCAUACCAGUUGCCUUAACUAAUUUUUCUCAACACUGGUAUUGAACAGGAAAAUGAAUAUGCAAUUUGUAUAUUGUGCCAUUGUGGAGAAUUUGGAUAUUCUUAUUUAAGUAACAAGGAGAGUAUUUGCCUCAUCUUUAAACAAUGAAUCUUUGAGAAAUGAGGAGUGGGUGAUUGGCAGUGUCUUCAUGUAAAUGUUCAUUUAUUUGUAUUUUGAACUAUUAUGAGAAUCUUUGUAUGCCAAAUUAGUAAUACAAAUGUUCAGAUGAUUUUUCCUGUUGAUCAUGCGUGUGUAUCUGCACACAACCAUUGUGUCCCACUUUAUUCUGAUGCACAAAUAUCUGUAGUUUAGAAGAAAAGAAAUAAUAAUCAUAUAUUAUUGCUUGGUUCAUGAUUAUUAAACGAUUAUGGCUUUAGAAAAUCCACAAAUCCUUUGUGUUCAUAUAUGAAUGUGCGAAGUUUGCUAUCUCUUAGAUUACCUUCUUCCAAGAUAACAAGUUCAUAUAUUUUUUUUAAUCCUUUUUCAUCACAGUUGAAUUUCAAGUGUAAGUUUUGUUAUUAAUAGCUGGUUUCCUGUUAUUAUGAUUUCAUAAACAGUGAGAGGAUAUGUGCUCUACUUUUGGAGGGCCUCCACAUGAAAGAAAAUUGCAACAAUUGAAUUCUUCCGGAGGGUAUGGUAUUUAAUUUAUUUUCUCAGCUUGUUGUAAGACUAAUAUAUUUCCUUCAGUACCCAAAAGGACAGAAAUGAAUUACGGAAGGAAGUUUUUGCUGCUUUAUUUAGUGCUGCUGAGAAAUCUGAUGGAUUUCCUGAAAUUACGGUGAAGACGGAGUGGAGGUCCAACGCAUUAGGAAAGGUGGUGAGUGAACCGCCGGAGGAAUUAGUACCAGAAUACAAGGCUAAUGUGGUGCACUUGCAGCAAGAUGACCAGACCUGUAUGUGCUCUUAUAUUAACUAUAUUGGUUGGAUUUGUGAGUGUGUACAUUUUUGUGUGUAUACUCACAUUUGUAUUUAUGCAUAUUAACGUGUGUAGGAUUCUUGAUUUCUGCCACUUACUGGAGAACUAGUGGAAAGCUUUAUACUGAUAUAUGUGCUAUAACUAAUGGAAACUACAAUAUGAAUAUUUUCUCUCACCUGGAGAACUGUGUAACAGAUAUAAUUUGUGGCUCUGGAAUACUGAAGAUUCUGCAAUAACUAAUGGAAAAUAUGAUAUGAAUAUUUUUUCUCACCUGGAGAACUUUGUAACAGAUACAUUUUGUGGCUCUGGAAUGUCUAAAGAAUGCUUCAGUUUAGAUCAAAUAUCUUUUAGUUAGAAAAGAUAAAAUUCUCUGAAUCUGAAAGACUGAAACAUUUUGCAUAUUUUGUGAAAGGGAAGUAUCUGUAGAUACUAGCUCAUGCAUUGAGGUAAUAUCAAUGUUAAAGAAAAACAGCAAUAAUUUAUUAUACAGAAUUAGGUUCACUUGCUUUAAAUGCUGGUCUGAUCAACCAUAACAACCUGUAAUGGUCCUGCAGAAAUAUAUAUACGGGGAGAAACUAGCUAAAUUUUCCUUUCACUUAUGGGUUUGGUCUUUUUUUCCCCUAUUUUUCAGCUUUCCUUCUCCUGAAGUAUGUUAACAAUUGCAGAUAAUGACGAAGAGGACCGCUUCCAGGCUCUUUGUAGAGCUGUGAUGGAAUAUAGGGGCACAAUGAAAGAAUAUUGUAAGGUUGUAUGUACUUUCUCUCUUGUCAUUUAUGUUUUCUCACACAUUUUGUUUAUGCCCUGAACAUGCAGCUUUGUAUGUGUCAAUUGCCUUUUACGUUUUAAAAGCCAUAAAGUAAGAAUACAGUUCCUUGUCAGGCUAUUGAUGCGUUCGCUCAGAAGGGUCAUGUUCAAGCAGGAAAACUUCUAGAACAGGUAAGGUUUCCAUCUACAGCCAUCCAUUGACAGCAGAUAUAUUUUCAUUAAGCAGACACUGUUAGCAUUCAAGAUGCUGGCAGAUUCACUUGAUUCUUAUUAGUUUGUUUAGUGGCAAGGCAUAUAACCUGUAUUUCAAAGCCAAGUUGUGCUAUUGAUUAUGUUAACUUUAUUGUUAACAUAAAGUGAUAUGGAGGACAUAAUCAAUGUAGGAAAAUUAGGUGAAGAGAUGAUGUCAAAUCUUGAACCUCUUACAAAGCUCCAAGUUCUUUACUUGAAGAAGCUGCCAAAUUUGAAGAGCGUCUACUGGAAGGCAUUUCCAUUCCCAGAUGUAUGCAGAAUUUUUGUAUUAAUGCCCAGUUCUUAAGAACCUGCCACUGGAUUUUCAAGGGGUGGGCCAAGGUAAAAUUCUUAUCAAGGGAAAGGAAGAUUGGUGGAAAGAACUUCAAUGGGAGGAUCAAGCAACUCAGAAUGCAUUGCUUCCAUUUUUCAAAUCAACUGACAAGUGAUUGAAGGGGGCAUCAUCAACAUCAUCAACAGAGAUGGAGAGAUUCUGGAGCAGAUCAGCAGGGUUUGUAUAUGAUCUUUGGUGGUUGCUUUCUUUUGUGAUUUUUUUUUUCUUCCUGUCAUUUUAUCAUUUCUUUGUCUCUUUUUUUAUUGCUGAUGUUAGUGUAUGCUUACUGUUGCUUGACAAAGUUCGCUUGCUUCUUGUUUAUUAAAUUUUUUAUCGUCACAAAAUAUUACUUGUUCUAUUUGAGAGUGAUGUGAAUCAAUUUUCAAUUAUAUAUUUUGUGGUCAAUGUGAAUUCAAUUUCAUUUGUCUCCUGCAAUUAUGAGAAAACUGCAGAGUCAUAAUAUGGAAAAGUACACCAGCAAAAACUUUGUAAAAGCUUCGGAGUGAAACAGGGAAUUCACUUACUACUAAGAACAAUUGAUGGCGAGUUAUUCCAUUCAUUUUAUGUCCAUCUAUCUAUUUAAUUAUUAAAGAUAAAUGGUCCAUUUAUAAAUUUCAGAUUGUCUCUCUCUGAAAAUAACAAUAUUUAAAAUAUCUCUUAAAUUAUUAUAAAUUUUAAUACACUCUCGAUUUAAAAUGGAACAUGCUGAUGAAAUUGUUUUCUUCUUAAUAAAAUUGAAAUAAAUUGUGUUUGCAGUAGUUUGAAAUAUUUUAAAGAUUAUUAUUUUAUAAGGGAGUAAUAUGAAAUGAAAUUUACUUUUCAUGCGUGAAAUGUUGAAAAAGGACAAAGCAAGUGUCCCUGCUUUUAUUUUUAUUUUAAAGUGGAGUCAUCUCACAUACUUUAGCUCUAUCAUUACAAUUUUUCAGGUUACAUUUUUAUUAUUUAUUUAUUUUCUUUUUUACACAUGCAUGUGGGUUACUUUUCCGUAAGCUCCUCAAUAUAUAUUGAACCCAGCGAAGAAUGUUAUGGAAGAGCAAAUUAAUGAUAUUUCUGAUAGAGUCUAUUUGAUUAUGUAGCCUGAAUGGAUGUCUUGUUGAAAGAUAUCUCAGUGCAUUAGUUCAUCCUUGUCUGUCAAUGUGUUUUUAAUGGUUUUUCCAAUUGUUUAUUAUUAUAGAUUGAUUGUAAAUUGAUAUGAAAAUUUGAUAUGAAUUUAAUGUUGAAAUGUUUUCUCUUUAGUGGAAUGAAUUUAAAAGUGCAAAAGAUUAUUGCACACAGAGAAAUAAACAUAUAUGCUUUAUAACUUUAGCAAUCGAUUCUUUUACAGCUGGAAACAGAGAUGAUGAUUAUCAUAAGGAUGAAGAAAAGUAGUGCGUUAGACGAUUAGACUCUCUUAUUAAAGGCAAGUAUAAAGUAGUGAAGAAUCCAAUAUCUCUAUUGUCUAGUCUUUUGUUUAAUUCUUCUUUUAUUAUUUUUCAGAAUAAUUUUUGGUGAUUACAAUCGGGUUAUUAUUCAGAGUUAUUGUUAUCUUCUGGGGCAGUUUCUGUUCAUCGAAUUCAUUAAUUAAAAUUUUAGAACUCUUAUCAGAAGAAUAUUUUUCGGUUAUCUUUUUUAUGUUCUAAUUCCAAUUGUAAGAAGUAGCCAUUUUAGAAUUUGGGUCUUGAAUCGAAUUUCAAUGCAUGAAUUAAUAUUAAAAAAAAAAAAUUCACUACUCGCAGUUUAGGUUACAAAUUACUUUUUGGAAAGUUGACUUUGGAAUGUUUGCAAAGAAAGAGACUAACAUAUUUCCAAUUACACUAAAUCUCUAUUAUGAUAAUGUUAAGACUAAAUUAAUUUAAAUAAUUUUUAUUUGAAAAUUAUAUCAAACGCAGUCUAAUUUUAUUAAUUUUAAGAAAUAAUAAUUAUAAAAAUUAUUGUUCUGACUUAAUUAAUACAAGUGAUAUAAAAGUUAAGUGUGCACUAAAUCUGUUUUAAUUUUUUCCAGUAUAACUAACAGAGGUCAUUACUAGAAUUAUAUUACUAGUCUAUUAGAUAGAAAAAAUUACUUAUAUUGUUUUAUAUUUAUUAAAAAAUUUAAAGCCAAUUUUUUUAAUUACUAUUUAAAGAAUAUUAUAAUUUGAAAAAUUUUAAUAUCUUUAUUAAAAAUUUAGAAAUUUACAGUCCUCUAAAUAUUUAAGGCGUAACUGUCAUUUUCUCAAGAAGCUUUAUUUAAUAUUAUUGAUUUAAAUAAUAUCUUAUUAAAAAUGUACUGAGGAGAAAUUUUGGUGGGUAUUUUAGUCUUUUCAGCAAUCAUCAUGAUUAACCUUUGGUUGGCCUUGAAACGUCGGUCAGAAAAGUUUUAAAAUGCUUAAUUGUUUUUCACUGUUAACGUUAGUGGCCUUGAAAUUGCUUAUAUUUUAUUAAAAAUUAAUGCUAACAAGAAAAAACUAGAUCGUAUUCCACCCCCAAAGCAAAAGUGAUAAAACAACCGGCUGUAUUCUUUUAUUAAACUACAAAUUAAAAUGGAUUUCUUUAAUUAAAGUGGAUAUCAUUUAAUUAAUGUUUGAACAUUAAAGUUCUGAUAUAUAACCACUAUGCCGACCACCUAAUUGCUGCUAUUUAAUUUCGUUCCAGUUCUCUCUCUCUCUCUUUUUCUUUUUUUUUUGGGCCAAGCAAUAAAUAGUAAAAAUUCAAUAAAAGCAAUAUUAAUGCUGCAAGUGAGUCAUGUUAUUUAUUGUCAAUUAGGAAAUGUGAACCUAAUUUGAUUGCAUCCCUUUAAUCAUUUAAUAAUUAUGUAAGCACCAUCCCUUUAAUUAUUUAAUAACUAGAAAAUAGAACACUGCGUUUCACGCGGCUUUGAAAAAAGAAUUUAGUAUUAUCUUUUUUUCUUACUUUACACUUGAUGAAACUGAUAAAAAAUAUGAAUUGAUUUUUUUUAAAGAUGAGGCAGCCUUAUAAAAAAUAAAAAAAGCUAUUAGCCAGCAAUACAAAUAAAGAAGGAAUGCAAGAUAAAGAAUAAAAUGAGAGAAUAUAUUAUAGAGUGAUCUUAUUCAUUCUAAUUGUGUGUGUACAAAACAAAAAGAUGAGCUCUCCUUUUAUAACUACAUAAUUACUUCAUGAAAUUAAUGAAAAAUUAUGAAUCAUAAUUUCUUGUGAGAUAGUGGGAGUUAUUGGGAAGCUAAAAGUUGCUAAUGGGAGAUAGUGGGGAGACUAAGAGAUAUAUAUUAUGAACAUCUACAUUUAUUUUAAUAAAUUCAUAACACUCCCCCUUAAAUGUUCAUUACAAAGAAUAUGCCUCAUUAAAAUCUUUACAUAAUUGUUAUUGUGUAAUAACAAUCAAAUUAAUUAUAAGAAGAUGAAAAGCCAAAUCUAACAGAAAAUUUCUCUAUUUAUUAGAUAAUAGAGAAUAUAGCAAGAUGAGAAAUGGUAAUGCCACAUCAUCUCCUCACGUCCCAACUUUAUAUAUAUAUAUAUAGAUAAUAUAUAUUAUUCCUGUCCUACAUUCACAUAUUUAAUUGUCCUUUUGAAAAUAUUCAUGAGUUAGGCCAAGUAAAGUCAAAGAAAUUGGGAAAAAGGAACAAAAGGACAAACCUAAAUUAAUUGAACCUAAUUCAUGAAAAUGCACACUUUUGUGUUGCGGACGGCGGACCCUAAAGCUUCGUUGUUUGCAGCUGCAAUUAAUUCUUUUCCUUCAAAAGUUAGAGGCUCGUGUUUACAGUGGGUCCCGAAUCGGACGUACCUAAUAAAUCUUUUAAAAAAAUUUGCCGUAUAAAGGACAGAGGUCAUUACUGAAAUUUCUCUUCCACGGGCAAUUACAGCAGCUUCAGUUAAUCAAACUCAAAUCAAUUUUCUUUCUUAACAAAAUAUUCCAAAGAUGUGUAGCAUUUUUCAGAUCACAUGCGAUGGUGCUUUUUUCAAUCGUUGCUUGGAUUGCUUUCUUGGAAAAGCAGCAUACAUACGUAACCUCCAAGAUAAUCUUGUAGCCUUGGACACUGAAUUGGGAAAUCUGAUCGCUAAAAAGAACGAUGUGAUGAGGAGGGUUGUCGAUGCUGAACGGCAACAAAUGAGAAGGCUGGACGGAGUGCAAGUGUGGGUUUCGAGGCUCGAUGCUGUUAAAACUGAAGCCGAUGAACUUAUCACAGACGGCUCUCGAGAAAUUGAAAAAUUAUGUGUUGGAGGCUACUGUUCCAAGAACUGCAGGUCAAGCUACAAAUUCGGAAAACAAGUGGCAAGAAAGCUACGAGAUGUGGAGACUUUAAUCGCCGAGGGAGUUUUUGAGUCGGUGGCUGAGAGAGCUCCGGAACCUGUGGCAGAUAAAAGACCCACUGAGCCAACAAUAGUAGGCUUGCAAUCACAGCUUGAACAAGUUUGGAGAUGUCUUCUUGUAGAAGAAUCAGCGGGAAUCAUUGGCCUAUAUGGUAUGGGCGGUGUUGGUAAAACCACACUGUUGACCCAUAUCAACAAUAAAUUUCUUGAGAGUCCCACCAACUUUGAUUGUGUGAUUUGGGUCGUAGUUUCAAAAGACCUGCGACUUGAAAAAAUUCAAGAAGAUAUUGGGAAGAAGAUAGGUCUGUUUGAUGGUUCGUGGAAGAAUAAAAGUGUUGAGGAGAAAGCCGUAGACAUCUUGCGGAGAUUAGGAGAGAAGAGGUUUGUAUUGUUGUUAGAUGAUUUAUGGGAGCGGGUUGAUUUAACAGAAGUGGGCGUUCCACUUCCCAGCCCACAAAAAUACUACAUCAAAGUCGUAUUCACGACCCGUUUCAUUGAUGUGUGUGGUAGCAUGGAAAGUCACAGGAAGUUUAAAGUGGCAUGCUUAUCAGAAGAGGAUGCUUGGGAGCUGUUUCGAGGAAAAGUAAGGCAAGAAACUCUUGAGAGUCAUCAUGAUAUCGUUGAGCUAGCCCAAACUGUGGCCAGAGAGUGUGGCGGUUUGCCACUCGCGCUUAAAACUAUAGGUCGAUCUAUGGCCUACAGAAAGACAGCUAAGGAGUGGAGACAUGCAAUUGAAAUGUUAAGGAGAUCAGCUUCAGAGUUUGCAGGUUUGGGAGAAAAGGUGUAUCGUCUUUUAAAGUUUAGCUAUGAUAGUUUGCAGAAUGAUACGAUUAGAUCUUGUUUCUUAUAUUGUUGUUUGUAUCCUGAAGAUUAUGGCAUUCUUAAAUGGGAUUUGAUUGAUUGUUGGAUUGGUGAGGGAUUCUUAGAGGAAUCUGACAGGUUUAGUGCAGAAAACCAAGGAUACUACAUUGUGGGCACUCUUGUUCAUGCAUGUUUAUUAGAAGAGGUGGAAGAUGAUAAAGUAAAAAUGCAUGACGUUGUUCGUGAUAUGGCUAUAUGGAUAACCGGUGAAAUUGAGAAGGAGAAGCGAAACUUUUUGGUUUGUGCAGGUGCUGGAUUAAAAGAGGCACCGGAUGUUGAAGUAUGGGAAAAUGUGAGAAGAUUGUCAUUGAUGCAAAACCAAAUUGAAACUCUGUCAGAGGUUCCCACAUGCCCUCAUCUUCUCACUUUAUUUCUUGACUUUAAUAGGGAGUUGAAGACUAUUGCGGAUGGCUUCUUCCGAUGUAUGCCUUCUCUCAAAGUUUUGAAGAUGUCAAACUCUGGAAAGCCUUGGAAAGGUUUGGAAUUAAAUUUGGGGAUGCCAAAGUUGGGUUCACUACAGCUUCUUGAUAUUUCACACACCUGCAUACAAGAUUUACCGCAAGAAUUAAAGUUGUUGGUAAAUCUGAAAUGUUUGAAUUUGAGGCGGACAAUUUGGUUAAAUAAAAUUUCAUGGCAACUAAUAUCAAAUUUUUCAAGGUUACGUGUGUUGAGAAUGUUCGCUACUGGCUGGUUCAAUUUUCAUGAAGCACCAGAAGACAGCGUUUUAUUUGGUGGGGGUGAAGUUUUGAUACAGGAAUUGCUCGGUUUGAAAUAUUUAGAGGUAUUGGAGUUGACCUUGGGAAGUUAUCAUGCUCUCCAAAUUCUUUUCAGCUCAAAUAAGCUAAAAAGUUGUAUUCGAUCUCUUUACCUCCAGUUGACCGGAGAUACAGCGUUAAUUAUUGAUGCUACGGCUUUCGCAGAUCUAAAACACCUCAAUGAAUUACGCAUUGAGUCGGCUACAAAGCUGAAAGAAUUGACGGCUGAUUAUACAGAGAUAGUUCGAAAAAGGCGGGAACCUUUUGUUUUCCGCAGCCUUCACCAUGUUACUAUACAAAGCUGCCAGAAGUUGAAAGAUUCGACAUUCCUCGUUUUUGCUCCAAACCUCAAGUCUCUUUCGAUAGUCAAAUGCAAUGCUAUGGAAGAAAUAAUCAGCGUCGGAAAAUUUGCUGAGACUCCUGAGAUGAUGGGACAUAUAAGUCCUUUUGAAAAUCUCCAAAUGAUUGAUUUACUAGGUUUGCCACAUUUGAAGAGCAUCUUCUGGAAGCCAUUGCCUUUCACUCAUCUGAAAGAAAUAUCUGUGCGUUAUUGCCCUAAUCUUAAAAAGCUUCCACUCGAUUCCAACAGUGCAAAGGAGCGUAAAUUUGUUAUUCGUGGAGAAGAAGACUGGUGGAACCCACUUCAAUGGGAGGAUGAAGCCACUCAAAUUGCUUUUCGUUCCUGUUUCCAACCCUUGUUCCUGAACAGUGGUCGCAAAAUUUGAUUUCUGGUGAGUGCGUUUGUCUUUUAAAAAGAAUAAUUUAAAAGAAAUUUAUUCUUGUCGGUUUCUUCACUGUUUUUAUUUCAGUUUCUCUCUCUCUCUCUCUCUCUCUCUCUUUUUGUCUUCUGCAAAUCACAAUUACAUUUUUAUUCUUGUCGUUUUCUUCACUGUUUUUAUUUCAGUUUCUCUCUCUCUCUCUCUCUCUCUUUUUGUCUUCUGCAAAUCACAAUCAAAUGUUGAAUUAAUGGAAUUAAUGCUUCAUAAAUUUGCCGGCACUGCCAUUACUUUUUUUUGGGGGAUCGAAUUGAUACUUUAUUUAUAUCUUCUUAGCGAUUUAAUUUCCUGUCAAAAGACGAACGAGAAGAACAUAUGACUUAAACCAAUGCUCGCAUAAACUUGCUGUAAAAAGAUAUAAUCUCACUGAAAUGCACACGCCUAGAAUGAAUAGAAUUAAAACAGGGAAAAUAUUAAGUAUAUUAGCCCUCUUUACUGAAAAUCAAAUGACAGUAAAUUUUUUGAAGUUUUGAUUUUCUAUGGUCAAUUCCACCUUUUGCAAUUUCUUCUGUUCUAACAAAAACCAAUUUCUUUGUUCAAGUAUUUUCGUUUGGAUAUUAAUAAUUCUCCACCGAAAGAGUGAACUCUUGCUCAAAGGGAUCUCUAAUAAUACAUAACAUGAUUAUUUUCGUUUGAAUAAUUGAUUUCUUGAUUGAAUUGUCGUGUAAUUGAUUUAUGGGGGAUGACACAUCAACAUACUUGAAAAUACACUAAUCUCAGCAUCAUCGGUUAAUAACUUUUAGAUUUAUGGGUAAUCAAUAGUUAAGAUUAGUUGUCAUUAAUACUAAAUAAUUUUUACUUUUUUUGUCUCUUCUAGAGGAUCUUCUAGAAAAAUGCAUCCACAAUUAAAUUUAAUACUUUACAUAAUAAACAAAGCCUAAAUGUUAAAUUUAAGAAACUGCAUUGUAUUUCAGUUGAAGUUGACUUUAAUAUUUAGGGUAGAAAAACAAUUAAUUUUAUUUUUUGAAAUGUCCAUAUUCAGAGCACAUUUCAAAAAGACUCAAUAAUUUCUCAUAAAUUUCAAUUAAAAAUAUUCAAUUUGUUGUUUCAGUUCUUUUAUUUUUUAUUUUUUCCGACAUGAAAGCGACUUAAUGUUACUAAAUUGGGUGGUCUUUGGAUUUUCAUGACCCAAUAAUUGGAACAAAACAAUUUUCUCAAGCGCUCUCCCGCAACAUUUUAUAAUUGAAGCCGCUGCCCCGCCCGUGGUUUCAAACUUUUUUCUUUCUCCUUGUUUAAAUUAAUGGGAGCAGCCUCCGUCCUUGACUAGUUGACUGCUUGUCUUCUUUUUUUUAUUAAUUAAUUAAUUCAGCCGCCCCCCUUUCUUGUCCCAAUAUCUUCUACUUUCGGUUUCCUUUUAUUAUCUCUUUAUUUUUAAAAAAUGCUUAUAAUAAUAAUAAAAUAUAAAAUAUAAAAAUAAAAAUAUAAUUUAUCAGAAAAUUAAGAUAAAGAAAUAUUAUAAGCACAUCAAUCAACAAGUGAAAAAAAAACAAUUUUAAUUUACAUUAAAUAUAAACUUUCAGUGUUAAUCAACUUUUCUAAAUAACUAAAUUAAAAAAUUAAUUGAUUUAAUUGUGGUGUAAUUGAUUUGUAGGGGAUGAAUCAGCAGCAUCAUCGGUUAACGCUUUCAGAUUUAUAGUUAAUCAAUAGUUGAGAGUUGUUAUCACUAACGCCGUGUAUUUUUUAAUGUUUUUUCUCUCUCCUACAGCAUCUUCUAGGAAAGUGCAUCCGUUGCUAAAAUUUAGUAUCGUAAAUAAUAAACCAAGAAUAAAUAUUAAAUCUAAGAAACUGUAUUGCAUUUAAUAUUUAAGGGAGAAAAAUAAUUAUAGUGUCUUUAUUAAUCAGUAAAAAAAAAAAUUAGAAUCAUAAUAAAUUGUAUUGUUAUUGAUGUAUUUAUUUUAUUUUAUACUCAAAAUAAAUUAUUUUAAAUUAUUAAAAUAAUUUAAAAUUAGUAUUUUAUUUUAUACUCAAAAUAAAUAAUUUAAAAUUUUCAUUUCUUGUUUAUUUCGCAAGUUGUUAUUGCCUAAUGCUAUGUCAACUCGAACAUUAGCAUUUUUUUUUUUGGUCCUCUUUUAACGCAAAAUUAGUGUAGGUUAAGUAACAUAAUCAAUAUUAGGACAAUUUGAAAUCCCUAUGGGUGCGUUUGGUACACUGUAUUGUAUUAUACUGUAUUGCAUUAUUUUAAUGCUGAUGUAUUGUAUUAUGUUGUAUUGCAUUAGCACUGUAUUAUAACAAUGCUAUACAAUAUUUGGUGUUACAUUGUACUGUAUUAGAUUUUAAUUAUAUUAUAUUUAGUGUUACAAUUGUUGUAACAUAAACACGACCAAAAUAAAUUGUACUAAAUAAUCUAAGUAAGAGUUCUGUAGUAUAUGUAAUAAUACUAUUUAUAUUAUUAUUAUUAAUAAUUCUAAAUUAAUAUUAUUUAAUUUUAUUCAUAUUUAAAUAUGUAUUAUUAGUUUAUUAAAUUAUUUAAAAUAAUUAAUUUAUAUAUAUUAAUUAUUGUAACUUAAUUAAAUAAUGUAAUGCUAUAUUAUAUUUUUAUAUACUAUUUAAGUAUUUAUUAUUAAUUAUAUUUAAUUAUAAAUUUAUUAAUAAAUUAUAAUAUAAAAAUAAAAAAUAAAAAUUAAUAUUGUAUAAUAUUAUAUUAAAUUAAAGUUUUAUUUUUAUUACUAUUAUUAUAAAGUAAAAAAAAAAAAAAGGGAAGCUACUGACUUUUGAAACACAAAAGUCAGUAAUACAACCUAAUCACGAGGGGGGGCGCGGGUUUUGAUAAUGCGGCAAAAGCUGCAUUGUAAUGCUGCUCAAUGCAAUCCAUUUGAUCACCAAACACAGGUAUAUUUUAACUAAUGCUGGGCCCACAAAAUAAUACAAUGCAAUUCCGCAUGCCAAACAUACCCUAUGGGUGCGUUUGGUACACUGUAUUGUAUUAUACUGUAUUGUAUUAUUUUAAUGCUGGUGUAUUGUAUUAUGCUGUAUUGCGUUAGCAUUGUAUUAUAAUAAUGUUGUACAAUGUUUGGUGUUACACUGUACUGUAUUAAUUUUUAAUUAAACUAUAUUUGGUGUUAUAUUGUAUUGUAUUAAUUUUUAUAAUUAAUUAAAUUAAAUAAUUAAAAAAUAAUAUUUAUUAAUACUUAGAAAAAUAAUAAAUAUAGAAAUCUUAAUUGUAGAAAUUUAACAAAUUUUUUAGUAAAUAUUAAAAAUUAAUGAUUAAAUUUCUAAAAUUUGUAUUAUAAUUAUGAUAAAAUAAAUUUAUAAAAUUUAAUAUUAUAUGUAAAUAAUAAAUUUAGAUUAUAAUUAAUAUUAUAAUUGUUAAUAUAAAUUAAUAAAUUAUUAUUCAAUAAUAUUCAAUUAUAUUUUAAUUUACAAUAUAUUAUUAUUUUUACAUUUUAAUAUAUUAAUAAAUUUAUAAUUUAACAUAAAUAAUUAUAAAUUUAAAUAAUAUUAAUUUUAAAAUUAAUAUUAAUGUAAAUAAUAUUAUAAUAUUAAUAUAUUAUUUUUAUAUGAAUCAUUAAUAAAUAAAAUAAUAUUAUCAUAUAAUUUAUUUUUAUAUUUUAUUCAUUAUAUUAAUAUUUAAUAAUAAAAUAAUUUAUUUUUAUAAUAUUUUAAUAAAAUAAAUUUGCCUCAAUUGAGGCAUUAACUGUUGCCUCAAUUGAGGCAAAAAGCUUCCGCAUCCCUCGGGUUUGCGUAAUGCGGCCCCAUGCCUCAUUAUGCUGCAUUAUAAUGCAGCAUAAUGAGGUGUCAAAUUUUGCCAAACAUGUUCUUGGUAAUAAACUAAUGUGAAUAGUAGUAUAAUACCACAUAAUCUCAUGCACCAAACACGCCCUAUGUGUAUUAUUCACGGUAUCUAUGAGGGCUUAUCCUUUUGCUAGAACAAACUCUAGCAAAUUGUCAAAUGUGCUUAUCCUUUCCCUUGACGACUCAUUUUAAAAUUGUCACUCAUUUUAAAAUUGUCUUUCAAUGCACAAACACAGACAUAACCGCCGACAUCGAGCACCAAGUUUGGAAUUUAAUUGAUAAGCAUACAUUUGAUAAAUUAAUGAAAAGUUUGGAGAGUAGUUUUGAUCACCCUUGAUUAGGACGGUAUUACAAAAAAGAUCAAAAAGAAAACAUCGUCUCUCUUCACAAAAAUAAAUAUUUUCCGUUAGAAUUUAAUACAAUAAUAUUUUUUUUGAUUAAAAUUUAAUUAAAUACACAAAUAAAUUAUAUAUUUUUUAAAAAAAUUUACACCCAGUCACAAGGCUGGCUAUUAAACUUAAAGGGUGGAAGCUUCGGAGACUAAAGUUGGUAACUUCUCCAAGUGGUCUUAAGUUGACCGGAACUACCCAGACUUUAUGUUUGGUAGCCUAGACCUGAUCGGACCUAGGCCCAAGUUUGGUCUUAAAGUCCACAAUUAAAUUAAAAAAAAAUUAUUUGAUUUGUAAUUGAUUUAUGGGGAAUGAAUCCGCAGCCCUAAAAUUACACCAAUCUUGACAUAAUGACAUCAUCGGUUAAAAACGUUCAGAUUUAUGGUUAAUCAAUGGUUUGAGAUUUGUUAUCAUUAAUGCUAGAUAUUUUUUAACAUUUUUUUCUAUCUCUCUUCUCCUGAAGGAUUUUCUAGGAAAAUGCAUCCACAACAAAAAUUUUAAAUUGUAAACAAUAAACAGAGUAUAAACGUUAAAUCUAAGGAACAUCGCUGCAUUUCAGCUGAAGCGAACUUUAAUAUUUUACGGAGAAAAAUAAUUAAGUCUUUAAUGUGAUUUAUUGAUUAAUAUAUAUGACUAAUUUUUUAAAAGAAGAUGAAGGAUGAAGCUUAAAAAUAUAAAUUAUAGAAUUAAUUUAUCUCUUCAAUAAAUCUAAAGUUUAUUUUUUUUAUUACAUGCUUCUAUUUUAUUUUUAUUCCAUGUUAAUGAAUGGAGAUUUAAAUCCAUUUUGGAUUUAUAAAGAUGUUUAGAUAUUUAAAUCCACGUGUGAUUCCAAACUUGAACCUUUUUUUUUUUUUUUUCUAAUUAAUGCAAACAGCCGCCUCUUUGACUGCUUUUCUUCUUUGUUUAUUAAUUAAUUAAUUCAGCUGCCCACCUUUCUUUUCCUAAUGUUUUCUACUCCCAAAUUUUUUUAAGGACAAGGCUACGUUGCAGACGCUGUACCUAACAGCUGCACCUUCGCCAGCUUAAAAAAGGGUGCAUUUGGUAAGCAACUUUUCUUUCGUGUGCAUAUGUGUCCUGCCACCAUUGGGUGUGUACGUAACAGAUAAUGUACCGUAACAAGCUCCUAUUUUUAAAUUUGUUUAUAAUGAUAAAAUAUAAAAAUUAAGAUUAAAAUGUAAUGUAAUGUAAAAUUAAAGGUGGAAGAGUAUUAAAAUAAGGCUAAACCUAUGUUACGUUUAACGUAACAUACAUUUAAAUAUAUAAAAUAUCAAUGGAAACCCUCAAAUUUUAUGGAAACUAUAUUAAUAAAAUUAAAAGAAAUAUUUUUAAAUCUGAAAGAAGAAAUAAAAGAUAUAAAGCAAGAGAUAGGAAAACUAAAAAUAGAAAUAUCUGUAAAAGAAAAAGGAAAAGAAAAAUUAGAAAUAAAAGAAACAACUCCAACUGAAUCGAAUUCAGACUAAUGGAAGAUGUAUUAGAAACUUUAACUGAAAAAUUCAGUGACAUAAAUCUUAGUGAUUUAGAAGACUUUGAAAAAGAAUAUUAGAUAAAAAUGAAUACUGCUGGAGGACCAGAAAUGAAACCUAAUGUAGCAUAACCAAGUCAUAGAUAUGGUAUAAAUAAAAUGAAAAAUAAACCUUUUUACGAGUAUAUACCUCCUAUUAAAAAUACUCCUUGGAAAAAAGAAUACAAACCAAAUCAAGAUACAUUAACCCCAAUAAAUAAUGCUGGAACAUUUUUAAAUCUAGAUUGUAAGAUAGACAUUCGAAAGGCGUUAGCAGAAUGGGUGUUACAAAUGAAAUUAUUUUUUAUAUUUAACGGGUCAAAGGAUGACUAGAAUGUAGAGACUGAAGAAGAAAAAAUAGAUAUAUUUGUUGAAAUCUUAAUAGCCAGUUUUUCAGGAAAUGUGUUUAAUUGGUGGAGAGGAUUAAGCGAUGAUACACAAAACUUAAUAAAAGAUUCAACCAAAUAGCAUUUAGAAAAAAUAAAGCCUUAGGAAUGGAAAGGAUAACUGAAUACAUAGCUAGUGAAUUUUUAGGAGAAGAUUGGCUAGAAAAAUCGGGCAUAUAUGAAAAUUUAAAAAUUUAUGAUAAAAAGAUCUUAGUGUUUUUAUUAAAAAAUUAAAAUUUACAUGACUAUUUCUUUAAAUAUUUAGGGCAUAUAUGAACCACGGAGGAGAAAAGCUUUAUUUAAUAUUUUAGAAUAGUUUUUGAUCAGUACAAUUGGGUCCUUAUUCAGAAUUAUUGUUCUCUUCCGCAACAGUUUUUGUUUAUCAAAGUCGUCAAUUAAAAUUUUAGAAUUCUUAUCAGAAGAAGUAGUCGUUUUAGAAGUUGGGUCUUGGAUCAAAUUUCUACGAGUGCAUGAAUUAACAAUAAAAAAAUUUCAUUACACACGGUUUAAGCUACAAACUACUAUUUGCACAGUUGACUAUAAAACUUACCUCCAAUUACACUAAACCUCUCUAUUUGGUAACGUUGAGACUAAAUUAAUUUUAUUAGCAUGAAAAGAUGAUAGAAAUAUAAUUAUAAAUAUUAUUGUUGUUAAUCAAUUAGUACAUGUGAUAUAAAGGUUAAAUGUGCACUAUAUUUAAUAAUUAAUUAGUGGAGCAUGUUAAACAAAAUGUUAAUGUAUAUUUAUAUAGUGUUAGGAAUAUGCAAAGUCAAGUCCUCAAUUUGCAUUAUCCUGUAUAGAAUAUUACUCUAAAAAUGUUUUACUAUAAUUGGCUUAGAACAUUUGUAAAGAAAAAUAAUAAUAAAAUAAUAAAUAACAUACACCGUCACAUAGCACCUAGACAAUGAUAGAAAAUUAUUAAAGAGAGUGCAAACAAUUAAUUAGAGAUUUUUAUGAUGACUUUUAAUAUUCAUGAUAAUAACAAAUAAAUACAUGUAUCACUUUUUUAAAAUAUUAAAUUUGACUGCUCCAUUAAUAAAUUAUUAUUGUAAUUCAGACUCUAUCUAUAUAUCCUUGCACUAAGAAUAAUUAAGGUAACGUUUGUUUUUUAACUUAAUGACUUAAAGUGACUUAACUUAAUUAAUUAAGUUAAUUAGAGGUGUUUGUUUUAUAACUUAAUGAGACUUUUUAGAUAAUUUUGACUUAAUAAAAUAAGCUAAUUUUUUUUGGCUUUUUACUUAAUGGAGAAAUCUGAAUUAAGUCAAUUACUUGCUAAUGUCAAAAAUAUCCUUGUUUUAUAAUUUAUUUUUCAUGUCUAUCCCAAAACUCGCCCGUAGAUAUUUACCCCACAUAAAAAUAUCCCUGUUUUUUUCUUUCUUAUAUUAUAUACGAUAAAAUUUGAAAUUUAUAGUAUUUUAUAUAUUAAAAUUCUAAAAUAAUUAUGUAUUCACUUGAAUAUAGUUUUACUUAUAAAUGUUAAAAUAUGAUGGUAUUUAAUAUAUUAUUUAUUUGACAUUCAAAUUUAAUAAGGAUACAAAUGUAAAAGUACAUAUUUUCAGCUUUUUAAAUUGAAAAAAAAUAACUUAAUAUUUAUUUUCUGAGAUUCAGACGAAAAAAUAAACAUAUUAUUCAGAUUCAUACAUUCAGAUCUAUUCAGAAUUCAAACUAAUUCAAGUCUAUUCAAAUUUUAGACAAAAAAAUAAACGCCACCUAAGUCAUAAUAAAAAUUUUCGUAACUACAUCUCGUUUCUUCCUCAUAAUAAUAAUUAGAUUGGUUCGAAUAUUAUAACUAUAUAGAUUUAGUGUAUAGCCACAUCCAAUUUAAAUAUUGACCCAAUUGGGAUGGUCCCCAAAAAAAAAGAUUCGUUAAAGGAUAAUUCUAAUUAUUUUUACUUCUCAAACGUUAGUGGGACGUUUCUAUUAGCGCACUCGUAAGCCAAGUUGUCAAAUAUUUAUACUAAACUACAAUUGCUAACAAGAAAAAUCAAGAUCGUGUUAAGCAAGUGGGUCCCGAAUAGGACGUGCAAAUCUCUCGUAAGUCAAGUUGUCAAAUGUUUAUAUAAAACUAACAAUUACUGACAAGAAAAAUCAAGAUCGUAUUAAAAAUGGGUCCCGAAUAGGAUUAUCUUUUUAAGAAUAUUAUUAUUUUAUUAUUAAAAUUUUAUUAAUAUAACAGUAUUAAAAUUUAUUAAAAAAUAUAUUUUAUUAUUAAAAUUUUAUACCGUUAUCAAUUUAUUAUUAUUUUAUUAAAAAAAUUAAUAUUUAACAAAAAUUGAGAUAAAAAUUAAUUUUUGUUCUCUGUCUUUAUUUAUUUAUUUAUUUUUUUGGGUCUUCUGCAAAUCACAAUCAAAUGUUGAAUUAUAAAUUUGCCGGCAUUGCUUUUUUUUUUUUUUUUGGGCCGGGGGGUGGUGUUGAAUUGAUGCUCUGGGUUUUUGACUUUUGUUGUCAAAUUUUACUCUGUUUUUCCCAAAUUGAUGCUANNNNNNNNNNNNNNNNNNNNNNNNNNNNNNNNNNNNNNNNNNNNNNNNNNNNNNNNNNNNNNNNNNNNNNNNNNNNNNNNNNNNNNNNNNNNNNNNNNNNNNNNNNNNNNNNNNNNNNNNNNNNNNNNNNNNNNNNNNNNNNNNNNNNNNNNNNNNNNNNNNNNNNNNNNNNNNNNNNNNNNNNNNNNNNNNNNNNNNNNNNNNNNNNNNNNNNNNNNNNNNNNNNNNNNNNNNNNNNNNNNNNNNNNNNNNNNNNNNNNNNNNNNNNNNNNNNNNNNNNNNNNNNNNNNNNNNNNNNNNNNNNNNNNNNNNNNNNNNNNNNNNNNNNNNNNNNNNNNNNNNNNNNNNNNNNNNNNNNNNNNNNNNNNNNNNNNNNNNNNNNNNNNNNNNNNNNNNNNNNNNNNNNNNNNNNNNNNNNNNNNNNNNNNNNNNNNNNNNNNNNNNNNNNNNNNNNNNNNNNNNNNNNNNNNNNNNNNNNNNNNNNNNNNNNNNNNNNNNNNNNNNNNNNNNNNNNNNNNNNNNNNNNNNNNNNNNNNNNNNNNNNNNNNNNNNNNNNNNNNNNNNNNNNNNNNNNNNNNNNNNNNNNNNNNNNNNNNNNNNNNNNNNNNNNNNNNNNNNNNNNNNNNNNNNNNNNNNNNNNNNNNNNNNNNNNNNNNNNNNNNNNNNNNNNNNNNNNNNNNNNNNNNNNNNNNNNNNNNNNNNNNNNNNNNNNNNNNNNNNNNNNNNNNNNNNNNNNNNNNNNNNNNNNNNNNNNNNNNNNNNNNNNNNNNNNNNNNNNNNNNNNNNNNNNNNNNNNNNNNNNNNNNNNNNNNNNNNNNNNNNNNNNNNNNNNNNNNNNNNNNNNNNNNNNNNNNNNNNNNNNNNNNNNNNNNNNNNNNNNNNNNNNNNNNNNNNNNNNNNNNNNNNNNNNNNNNNNNNNNNNNNNNNNNNNNNNNNNNNNNNNNNNNNNNNNNNNNNNNNNNNNNNNNNNNNNNNNNNNNNNNNNNNNNNNNNNNNNNNNNNNNNNNNNNNNNNNNNNNNNNNNNNNNNNNNNNNNNNNNNNNNNNNNNNNNNNNNNNNNNNNNNNNNNNNNNNNNNNNNNNNNNNNNNNNNNNNNNNNNNNNNNNNNNNNNNNNNNNNNNNNNNNNNNNNNNNNNNNNNNNNNNNNNNNNNNNNNNNNNNNNNNNNNNNNNNNNNNNNNNNNNNNNNNNNNNNNNNNNNNNNNNNNNNNNNNNNNNNNNNNNNNNNNNNNNNNNNNNNNNNNNNNNNNNNNNNNNNNNNNNNNNNNNNNNNNNNNNNNNNNNNNNNNNNGAAGGGUCUCUAAUCAAUAGCUGGAAGCAAUUGAGAAGGCGGUUGCUACAGUGAAUUCAAAUGUAAAAUGUUUGCUAUUCUUCGAUUUGGUUAAUGAUUUCGUAUGAAUAUUGUUGUUCCGUUGAGUUGCAUGCGAAUUCAAAUGCAAAAUAUUCUUCGAUUUUCAAUUUUGAAAUCAAAUUUUUUUUUCCUUCUCAAGCAUGUUAUGCAGAAACGAUUGUCAUGUUAUGCAGAAACGAUUUUUACUAAAUCAUUUUUAACAAACUAUUGAAAUUAAACCACUGGAAUAAGAAUUGUAAGGAUUUAUCGUAAGCUUACUAAUACGAUAAUUCUGAAACUAUCACCUUUUUUUUUUUAUUUGUUGCAGGGAAACCCAAAUUUUGUAUUUUGUCAAUUUCAUCUGAUAUGGAAUUUAUUUCCUCCCUAAAGAUUUAUCAAACUGCUUCUCUUCCCUGCUUCAAUAUCUUUAUGCAAUUACGAUCUCAUAGGAAAAGAGAGUUUGGGUUGUAUAUCUUAUAGUAUUUAUUUAUUUUUUGUUAAAAGAAAUUUAUUUUAAAAUAGUUUAUAGCAACAGUUUUUAUUUAACAAUAAUGAGGAAGGAUUAUUAUAGGUUCAAAUAGUUGUUAGAACAUUAUAAAAAAGUCCAUUUACUAUCAAAUGUUUUAAAUUGGUGCAACGUGAUAAUUGUCUCAUAUAAUUUUUUAAGGGUAAAAACUCGUUUCAUUCCCAUAUUUUAAGAUUAUUACUCAUUUAGUCUUUAUAUUUUUAAAAAUGUUUCAAAACAUUCAUACCCUUAAAUUAUUAACAUCUCUGCUGUUACUUUUUAUUUUUUUUUGACUUGUUUUUACAAUAUUGCCCUCUUACAAUAAUGUUUCUUUUUAUAAAAUUAAUAAAAAGAAAAAAAAUUAAAUUAUCAAUUUAACCCCAAAAAUAAAAUAAAAAUAAAAAGAAUAAAUAUUAAUUUUUGUGAAAGUUUACAUGUGUCCAAAAUAAAUUUUAUUGUAAAAAUAAUUAAAUUGCCUUUUUUUUGGACAUUAGUAAUAAAAAAAUUAAUAUAUUAAUUCCUCAGCAGUGUGUUACAAAAAAGUAAAAUAUAUUAAUUUUGUUUUUAUUUUAGACAAUGAGAUAGAGAAAAGUACAAGAUAAAGGAAAGGACUUCAAAACUCACUGUUCAUCAUAAUGCCCUUUGCCUUUAAAAAAAAAUCAUUCUAAUAUUUUAUAACACAUAAAAUAUAAUCCUAAGAUAAAUAUAAUAAUACAUAUUUUAAACUAAUCUCGAUAUUUAAAAUAUGUUUUAAUAUUUUAUAAUCUAUCAGACAUAUUUUAUUAUAUUAAUGUAAAAUUUAUAAUAAAUACAAACAUAUUAUUAAAAUAAAUAUAUAAAAAAUAUUUAUUUUUUAUAUGUUUACACUGAGGACUCUCUUUAAUUCAUUUAUUUUCUCUCUCUCCAAACAGGUACUGUCUUCAGUUAGCAAUGCUAUGAUAGUAAUCCAAUUCUCUUCUCCCCCACCUGAGCGAGAUUUGAAUUUGAAUCCCUUGUUUUUCACCCACUCUGUUUUUUUUCACGCAAGAUUUGACAAUUUGAGUUAAAAAAUAUGGUCCAAAACUUGAACACGUAUCUUUUAAUUGUAAUAAAAGUUCUUUAAGCUUUGGAGAUGGCAUAUAUAUGGCUGGAAGUGUCCUUUUCUUUGACCUAGAGGCAGCACCAAGCUAUCCAGCAUCAUCAUUUUUCAAGUGGGUCUUAAAUGCCUAGAAACGUUGGUGUUUCUUGAUUUAAAGAUGACACAUGCUAUAAGUGUGAAUGGUUUGGCUAAGCCUAAAUUUAAAGUCUACUCAAGUCGCAUUCAGGAUCAUGGAAAUUGGAAAGGGAGAGAUGAUAGCAAGAUUUAUAAUAAACAAUUAACUUGGGUCCUCAGUGUACAAAGCAAAUGCCACGCAAGCGAUAGCCGGCCCAGCCCAGAAAACCCAGUGGCGAUCCCAGAGAUGGCCUCCUCUAACGAGUGCUGGGCCCAAAAAUCUUUGCGGGUUGAGCCCAGCUCCGGCAUAGCCCUUUUGAGCAGUAACAGUUGUCGAGACAAAAACCAGAAGACCCAACACUGUUCCAAUGACAAUGCAUACGGUAAACUCUGCCAAGAGCCUUGGCUUGUCUGGAGUCAAAAGCCAUCCACACAGAAGCAAAAAGGAACACAAACGAGCAAAUUAUCUCAAGCCAAAGGGCCUGCCUAGUCCCCAAGCCGAUCUCAACAGGCCCAUCUGGCCCAGGUACGACAACAUUCAGGGUGCAGCCUCCAAGUUGUCAAAUAUUUAUAUUAAACUACAAUUGCUGACUAGAAAAAUCAAGAUCGUAUUACAAGUGGGUCCCGAAUUGGACGUGCCUAAAUCUUUUUAUAAUUUUCCCAGUGUAGCGGACAGAGGUCAUUACUAAAUUUCUCUUCCACACGCCACAGCAGCUUCGGUUAAUCAAACUCAAUCAAUUUUCUUGGCUUCUCCGCUUAUCAAUAUUACAAGGUAUGGGUAGCAUUUUUCAAAUCACAUGCGAUGGUACUAUUUUCAAUCGUUGCUUAGAUUGCUUUCUUGGAAAAGCAGCAUACAUAAGUAACCUCCAAGAUAAUCUUGUUGCCUUGGAGACUGAACUAAGGAAACUAAUCGCAGCAAAGAACGAUGUGAUGACGGCGGUUGUCAAUGCUGAACGGCAACAAAUGAGAAGGCUGGACCAAGUGCAAGUGUGGGUUUCGAGGGCGGAUGCUGUUAAAAAUGAAGCUGAUGAACUUAUCAGAGGCGGCUCUCAAGAAAUUGAAAAAUUAUGUCUUAGAGGGUUCUGUUCCAGGAACUGCACGUCAAGCUACAAGUUCGGAAAACAAGUGGCUAAAAAGCUACGAGCUGUGGAGACUUUAAUCGCCGAAGGAGUUUUUGAGGCGGUGGCUGCCGAGGUGGUGCCUGAGAGAGCUCCAGAGCCUGUAGCAGAUGAAAGACCUACCGAGCGAACAGUAGUAGGCUUGCAAUCACAACUUGAACAAGUCUGGAGAUGUCUUGCAGAAGAAUCAGCGGGAAUCAUUGGCCUAUAUGGUAUGGGCGGUGUUGGUAAAACUACACUAUUGACCUAUAUCAACAAUAAAUUUCUCGAGAGUCCAACCAACUUUGAUUGUGUGAUUUGGGUAGUAGUUUCAAAAGACCUGCGACUUGAAAAACUUCAAGAAAAUAUUGGGAAAAAGAUAGGUUUGGUUGAUGAUUCAUGGAAGAGUAAAAGUGUAGAGGAGAAAGCUCUCGACAUCUUCCGGAGUUUAAGAGAGAAGAGAAUUGUAUUGCUGUUAGAUGAUAUAUGGGAGCGGGUUGAUUUAACAAAAGUGGGCGUUCCACUUCCAGGACCACAAAAUACUACCUCAAAAGUCGUAUUCACAACCCGUUUGAUCGAUGUUUGUGGUAGCAUGGAAGCUGACAGGAAGUUCAAAGUAGCAUGCUUAUCAGAAAAGGAUGCUUGGGAACUGUUUCGAAAAAAAGUUGGGGAAGAAACUCUUGGAAGUCAUCAUGAUAUCGUUGAGCUAGCCCAAACUGUGGCCAAAGAGUGUGGUGGUUUGCCACUCGCACUUAUUACUAUCGGUCGAGCUAUGGCCUACAAAAAGACAGCCGAAGAGUGGAGACACGCAGUUGAAGUUCUAAGAAGAUCAGCUUCGGAAUUUGCAGGUUUGGGAAAAGAGGUGUAUCCUCUUUUAAAGUUUAGCUAUGAUAGUUUGCAGAAUAAGACGAUUAGAUCUUGUUUCUUAUAUUGUUGUUUAUAUCCUGAAGAUUAUGGCAUUCUUAAAUGGGACUUGAUUGACUGUUGGAUUGGUGAGGGAUUCUUAGAGGAAUCUGACAGGUUUGGUGCAGAAAACCAAGGAUACUACAUUGUGGGCACUCUUGUUCAUGCGUGUUUACUAGAAGAGAUAGAAGAUGAUAAAGUAAAAAUGCAUGACGUUGUUCGUGAUAUGGCUCUAUGGAUAGCUUGUGAAAUUGAGAAGGAGAAGAGAAACUUUUUGGUUUGUGCAGGUGCGGGACUAAAGGAGGCACCUGAUGUUAAAAGAUGGGAAAAUGUGAGAAGAUUGUCAUUGAUGCAAAACCAAAUUGAAACUUUGUCAGAGGUUCCUGCAUGCCCUCAUCUCCAUACUCUAUUUCUUGCCUCUAAUAAUAGUUUGCAGAGGAUCACCGAUGGCUUCUUCCAAUUUAUGCCUUCUCUCAAAGUUUUCAAGAUGUCAAACUGCGGGAAUUUAAUUUUGGAAUUACCUUUUGGGAUGUCAAAGUUGGGUUCAUUGGAACUUCUCGAUAUUUCACAUACCUACAUACAAGAGUUACCACAAGAGUUAAAGUUGUUGGUAAAUCUGAAAUGUUUGAAUUUGAGGUGGACAAGCGAGUUAAAUAAAAUUCCACGGCAGCUAAUAUCAAAUUCUUCAAGGUUACGUGUGUUGAGAAUGUUGGGUACUGGCUGGUUCAAUUUUCAUGAAGCAUCAGAAGACAGCGUUUUAUUUGGCGGGGGUGAAGUUUUAGUACGGGAAUUGCUCGGUUUGAAAUAUUUAGAGGUAUUGGAGUUGACCUUGCGAAGUUAUCAUGCUCUCCAAAUUGUUUUGAGCUCAAAUAAGUUAAAAAGUUGUAUUCGAUCUCUUUACCUCCAGUUGACCGGAGAUAGAAAGUCGAUUAUUGAUGCUACGGCUUUCGCAGAUCUAAACCACCUCAAUGAAUGAUUGAUUUUUAAAGGUUUUGAGUUGGAAGAAUUGAAGAUUGAUUAUACAGAGAUAGUACGAAAAAGGCGGGAACCUUUUGUUUUCCGCAGCCUUCACCGUGUUACCAUAGAUUCGUGCCUUAAAUUGAAAGAUUUGACAUUCCUCGUUUUUGCUCCAAACCUCAAGUCUCUUUCGCUAUUCAAUUGCCGUGCUAUGGAAGAAAUAAUCAGCGUUGGAAAAUUUGCUGAGGUUCCUGAGAUGAUGGGACAUAUAAGCCCUUUUGAAAAUCUCCGAAGUCUUCGUUUGUCACAUUUGCCAAAUUUGAAGAGCAUCUACUGGAAGCCAUUGCCUUUCACUCAUCUGAAAGAAAUGGUGGUACAUGGGUGUGAUCAGCUUAAAAAGCUUCCACUCGAUUCCAACAGUGCAAAAGAGCGUAAAUUUGUUAUUCGUGGACAAGCAGACUGGUGGGACCGACUUCAAUGGGAGGAUGAAGCCACUCAAAUUGCUUUUAGUUCCUGUUUCCAACCUUAACUUGAUUUCUGGUUAGUGCUGUUUCCUUAACUUUUACAUAUAUUCUCGUCGUUUGCUUCGUGCAAAAUACUAGGUCUUUUGUUCUCUGUUUUUAUUUCGCCCAUUUUUUUUUUUUUUUUUUGUCUUCUGCAAAUGACAGACAAAUGUUGAACUAAAAGGAAUUAAUGCUUUAUAACUUUGCCGGCAUUGCUUUUUUCUUUUUCUUUUUUGAUUUUUUGGGGCGAGGGGGGAUCGAAUAGAUGCUCUGGUUUUUGACUUUUUGUUGUCAAAUUUUACUCUGUUUUUUUCAAAUUGAUGCUUGAAUAUUUGAAUCAAAUUAAUGCUCACGUAAAUUUGUUCAGUUGCCGUAAAAGGAUAUAAUUACACUGAAAUACACAAACUCUAGAAUGAAUAGAAUUAAACAGAGAAAAUCUUGAGUAUAUUAGCCGUCUUCACAUAAAAUCAUAUGAAAAUUAAAUUUUGAAGUUUUUAUUUUCUAUUUUUAAUCAUACCCUUUAUAAUUUCUUCUGUUCUAACUACAAUAAAAUUUUUGGUUCAAGGAUUUUUAUGAGGGGUAUUAAUAAUAGUCCACCAAAAGAGUGAACAGUUGGAUGCUGCCCUAAGGGUCUCUAAUCAAUAGCUGGAAGCAAUUGAGAAGGCGGUCGUUACUGUGUACAAAGCCAUGCAGUAUUUGCUAUUCAUCUUAGUAAUUAUGAAGCUUUGGUAAAAUUUUCAAACAAAGUUGACAUGUUAUUUUGAGAUUUGGUUCAUGAUUUUGUAUGAAUAUCGUUGUUCCAUUGAGUUGUAUAUGAAUUCAAAUGUAAAAUAUUCUUUGGUUUUCAAUUUUGAAUUCAAUUUCUUUUCUUAAGCAUGUUGUGCAGAAAUGAUUUCUACUAAAUCAUUUUUGAUAAACUACUUAAAUUAAACAACUGCAAUAAGAACUGUUAAGGAUUUAUCGUAAGCAGACUAAUAUGAUAAUUCUGAAACUAUCAUUUUUUUUUUCAAUUUGUUGCAGGGAAAGCCAAAUUUUGUAUUUUUCAGUUUUAUCUGAUAUGGAAUUUAUUUCCUCUACACUAGCUACCUAAAGAUUUAUCAAAUUGCUUCUCUUCCCUGCUUCAAAUUAAUAUCUUUAUGCAACUACAAUCUCAUAGGAAAAGACAGUUUGGGUUGUAUUUAUUAUAGUUUUUUUUUUCGUUAAGAGCAAUUUAUUUUAAAAUCGUUUAGUAGUAACAGUUUUUAUUGAAUAAUAAUGGGGUAGGAUUAUUAUAGGUUCAACUAGUUGUUAGAACAUUAUAAAAAGUCCAUUUACUAUCAAAUGCUUUAAAUUGGUGCAACAUGAUAAUUGUCCCACAUAAUUUUUAAUAAUAUAUAUGGCCCAUAAAUUUAAUAUGAAUAAAUGAGUUUCGAUAGUUAAAUUUGAUACGAUUAUUAAAUAAGUUAUAUCCAUGUCAAUUCGACUUAAAAUCUGGUAAAUUUAGAUUUAGAGUUUAUAACAUGAUAACUUGUUUUAUGACAUGAUUUACUAAUCAAUUAAUAUUAAAUUAUAUUUUAGCCAAUCAGAUAUGUGGUACAUUUGUCAAAUUUUAAAAAUUAUUUAUUUAUAUAUGAAAUAAAUUUGACUAGACUGUGUGUAGGUAAUAGUGCAUAAUUUCUAAAAAAAUGUAAUAAUAACACGUUAAAAUGUUAUUUUUAUGAAGAAAAAUUGAAAUUUUAUUAAAUAGGCGACACAAUAAUAAAUGGGUUGAGAUUAUUUACAUUUUAAGAAUUACUCUGAACAUUAUUUUAUUUUAUAAAUUUUAUAUUACAAAAACACCCAUAGUUUAAUUUACCAUUAAGAACAAUUUUGUGCGAUUAAAUAAAAUACAUUACUCUUUACCCUUUCACUACAUCGACAUAAAUCCUAAUUGUUAUGUUUCUAAUUUCUUUGAUAUGCUUAUUGAAGUCCACAUUAUAAUCAAUUUUAAACUAUUAUACCACUUAAAUACAUUUUAGAAUGAGAAGUUUGGUUUUCUUCAUGGGCUGCCUUGCUGAUGCUGUUAUUGAAACUAUCGAACUUAAUAAUUUUAUGGCCAAAAUGAUAUAUGUUGAACCAGCUUUUACAUCGAAUUCUACCACCAUAAAAAAUCGUACUUGUAACAUCUCAAGGUUCCAAUUUAUCAAAAGUUAAUCAUUCAUAUUUGUUAGUUCCUAACAGUCACAAGAGCGUACAAGCCAAUUUUUGUAGCUCCUUUUUCUGCAGUAGAUUCAAGUAUAUUAUUAUCAAGCAUUUUUGUUACACCCUUAAUUCCUUAUCAUCAUCCCUUCAUUCAGAGCAACUAAACAGAGGUCAAUGUCAUUAUGUUAGAGUUACGAGGAAGAGUACUGCCAAAAAAGUUCUUUGUAUGGGAUUUAAUUUUCUGGGUUUGUAGUGAUGAACAAAUUGAGGGUUGUUUUGGUAUUUUCAAGAGUGUAUUGAGUGAAAAUUAUUUUUAAAAAAUUUAACAAAUGAGUGUAAUGAGUAAAAAAGUGUUUAAAGUAUUUUUUAGAGUACAAAUAGCUCCACCUUAAUAAAUGAGUUCUUGUAAAAAUUGAGAUUAUUGAUAUAAUUAUUAAAUAGGUUGGAUUGAAGUUAGUUUAAUUUUGACAAGAUAAUAAGACGACGCGACACAAAUACAACCAACCAGUCAACCCAAAUUGCAACCUUUUACUAAUAAAAGAUACCUGUUUGAAAAGUAAUUAUAAGCUAUCUUCUUUGUGUUAUUUCUCUAAAAAUUUGCGGCACAAAUAUUAUUUCCAUGGAGAAAAGUACGAAAUACCCGCUUUCACUUCAGCAGAAGCAAAGCAAAGCUAUGAGCCAUCUCUGUAUAAUUGAAACGCCAUUGCUAAACGGUUCUUGAUGAUGGGUGCCACCGUGCCAGCGUUGUCGCUGAUUUGCAUGAUUUAUUAGUUGUUCAGAUGGCGGAUUUUGUACUGUCACUUUCAUUUCAUUCUUGAGAGCCACGUACAAUACUAGGUGGCAUUGAAGUUGCCCCAGUGGUUAGUUUUCUGAUUUUUUUUAAUUCAAAUUUUUAUGUUUUAGAAAAAUGUAAGAAAUAUGUAGAAAUGUUGACAGCUACAAUUUUGAAACUUUGCCUAAAAUUAUUAUCGUUGCUUAUUGUUUCUUAGCUAAAGAGAAAUCCUAGAAACAUGAAAUUAUUAUUCUAUGCUUGUUUUAAUAUUAUACAUUAGCAGGUUAAUUAAAAAUUAGACGUGAAUACAACAAGAGAUAAGUGGAGAGAAUUUGGUAGUCGACCGCAUUUAGAAUUUAAUUUUUCUUUUAGCUGCCGAUCAUUAAAUUUUAUAUUUCAGAAAAUUAUACCUAGAAUAUUUCAAGGAUAUACUACGAAGAUUAUGAAGGUUUGAUUACAUGUCACUAUCAAUUGCCUCAAUCAUUUGUAGUAAAUUAAUUAAUCAUUUUGCUGCAAAUGAUUUCCUAUUAAAAAAUUCAAGUCAGAGCUGAAUUGCACAGUAGUUAGUCGUGCUUGCAAUUCAAAUCAAGUAUUGUAUUUUCUGCCUGAUUUGGUUGAUUCAACUAUGUGCAUUUGCAUAAUGGAGAUGCUUAUGAACGUUGUAGUAUAGAAAUCGAAACGUCUUGUCUUUUGCUAAGCCCAGAAGCAAAGUUCUUUGUAUUAUACUCAUCAGUUUUCUUCGUUCUCUUCGUUGAAAUUUUAUCCAAACAGCGGUUUCUUCGAAUUUUUGCCCUCUCUUACAUUUUUAAAUCUAUCAAAGAACGGUUACCUGAGAAGAUUGCCAUCAGGUAUUUCGAAAUUGAUUUCACUACAAUACCUUAAUCUAUCAGAUUUUAAUCUAUCAGAUGCUCCCGUCACUCAGUUGCCAAAAGUGACAAAAGCCUUAGUAAAUUUUUAGAGUAAAAACUCAUUUAUUCCUUAUAUUUUAAGAUUAGUAUCUAUUUAGUCCUUAUAUUUUGAAAAAUACCUUGAAACAUCACUGCCAUUAAAGUAUUGAUACCCUUACCGUUACUUUUUAUUUAUUUUGGCUUAUUUUUACAAUAUUACCCUUUAAUAAUAAUUUUUUUGUUUAGACAUUAAUAAAAAUAAAAUAAUUAAAUUACCAAUUUAAUCCUAAAAAAUAAAAAUAAAAAUUUAUAUUAAUUUUUAAUUGUAAAAAAUUGUAUGCAAACUACCAAAUGUGCAAACGGUGCUUGCAAAAAAAUUAAUAUAAAUUUUUUAUUUUUAGGGUUAAAUUAGUAAUUUAAUUAUUUUAUUUUUAUUAAUGUCCAAAAAAUUAGUAAUUUAAUUAUUUUCUUUUUAUUAAUGUCCAAAAAUUAUUAUAAAAGGGUAAUAUUAUAAAAGUAAGCUAAAAGAAAUGAAAAGUAACGGUAGGGGUAUCAAUACUUUAACGGUAGGGAUGUUUCGAGGUAUUUUUAAAAAUAUAAAGAGUAAAUGGACACUAAUAUUAAAAUACAGGGACUAAAUAAGUUUUUAUCCUAAAUCUUUAAGUGUUUGAAUUGGAGUACAUAAAUUAUCUCUCUACAAUUCAAAAACAACAGAUUUGUUACUUUUCAACGCUACAGGUUCCGCGAAUAUUCAGUUGUGGUUAUCUUGUUGAAACACCAGAAAAUAGCGUUCUAUUUGGUGGUAAUGAAUUCUUGGUUGGGGAGUUACUUAGUUUAAAACAUUUAAAUGUAUUAAGCAUCGCCUUAAAAGGUUUUUCUACCGUCCAAAAAUUUAUGAGCUCCCAAAAGUUUCAAAGUUGUACAAAAUGUUUGGAGCUUAUAGACAGUGAUGAUUCAAAGUCGUUUGCCAUGGCAGAGUUGAAGCAUCUUGAAAAACUAGGUAUUUCAAAUUGUGGAAAUUUGGAAGAGUUUAAGUUCUGCUGUGUCGAAGUUGGAAAAACUUGAGAAGAUUUUUGUUUGAACAGCCUUCACCAAGUUAAGAGAAAGGCUUGUCAUAAAUUGAGGGAAGUGACAUGGCUUGUGUUUGUACCAAAUCUUAAGGUUAUUCAGAUAGAAAAAUGUAUGGAGAUGGAGGUUGUUGGGAAAGAGACUACCACAAGCAGCUAAAAAUUAAGCGAAUACAAAAUUCUUUCUCUCUUUGUGUGAUUAAAAUAGGAUGUGCACCACAAACAAAUAAGCAGAAAAAUAAACCAAUAAAUGCAAAGCAAAAACCAACCACAAGAGACACCGAUUUUUAAGUAGAAAAUUUAAAUUGGGAAAAAUCACAGGAUAGUAGUCUGAUAUAAACUUCUACUAUAUUAAUGAGAUUACAACACAAAUUCUUCUCCAGAUAAUACUAGAUGCUAACAAUAUUAAAAUUCUCAACAAUCUUAGUUUAUAAUAAUAGAUCUAAAAUCUAUUUCUUCAAUAAGUGAGUAUCUCAAAUAAUAGCUACUGAGAGAAUAAAAUACAGAUCAACACCAGUAGAAAUAUAGAGGGCAAUGUCAGGAACUUACCCUCCAAAUUUAGGACUAAUCAGAGCUAAAAUAACCUUUUGAUUGUUGAAUCAAAGAUUGAAAACCAAAAAAAAAAAAAAUAUCUCUUUCUCUCGCAGUGUCUUCUCACUUUCGCAAAAUGUCUACAGCUCUCGCGAUUCUUUACUUAUUUCCUUAGUUAAUUUCAUCCAAGUCCAAAAUUUUACAAUAAUUACACAUCAAGCAAAUUAUUUUGGACUUUGAACUUUUUGGUCCACUGAAGUGAAAUGGACCUUACAAAUCUCCCCCUCCAUCUCAUCUAAGGGGCACCACCAAGCCCGCUCUCUACUUACAGCUUUCCAGCUUCUCCUUGGGUAAUGACUUUAUCAUCAUAUCUGAUGCAUUCUUCGUUGUGUGAAUUUCUCCAAGCUGCAACUGUUUCUACUCAAGCACGUCUUGUAUCCAAUGAUACUUCAUAUCAAUAUGCUUCGAUUUCAAAUGAUAUGUUGAAUUCUUUGCCAAGUGGAUGACACUUUAACUGUCACAGUACACAACAUAACUAUCUUGAUUAACACCUAGUUCUUGUAGAAAAUUCUUCAUCCACAAGGUUUCUUUGUAACUUUCAGUGAUUGUAAUAUACUCUACUUCUGUAGUAGACAAAGCAACACACUACUAAAGUCUAGACUGCCAUGAAACUGCUCCUCCUACAUAGGUGAGCAAAUAUCUUGAUAGAGACUUUCUAGAAUCAACAUCUCCUGCCAUAUAUGCAUCCGUAUCUACUUGUAAUAUAGGUUUGUCACCACCAAAACAUAAACAUGCCUUGGAAGUGCCUCUGAGAUAUAUGACAAUCUACUUUACUGCUGUCCAGUGUUUUUUACCCAGAUUAGAGGAAAACCAGUUGACUACCAACUGUUGAAGCGUACCUCAAACUACCAACUGUUGAAGCAUAAAAAACUCUUUUUAUCUCUUGCUUCUCUUUCUCACUUAUGGGACAAUGCUUGAAACUAAGCUUGAAAUGACCUGCAAGUGGAAAAUAAACAUAUUUUGCUUUGUCCAUAUUAUAUCUUUUAAGAACUUUUUCAACAUAUGCUUCCUGAGAUAACCAUAAAUUCCCAGUUUUUCUGUCACGAGAAAUCUUCAUGCCAAGAAUUUGUUUCGCCGAUCCCAAGUCCUUCAUUACAAAAGACUUGCUAAGCUCUCUCUUCAAAUUGUCAAUCUUACUAGUAUCCUUGCCAACAAUCAACAUGUCAUCCACAAAAAGUAAAAGAAUAAUAAAAUCAUUAUCACUAAACUUUUUCACAAACAUACAAUGAUCACACAUUGUCUUGCAAAAGCCAUGAUUCUCCAUAAAAGAAUCAAACUUCUUAUACCACUGUCUUGGUGCAUGUUUCAGCCCAUAUAAAGUUUUUUUCAAUUUGUACACAAGUUCUUCUUUACCUUUGACACUGAACUCUUCAGGUUGUUAUAUGUAUAUUUCCUCCUUUAAGUCAUCGUGUAAGAAAGCAGUCUUUACAUUGAAUUGUUCAAUUUCCAAAUCCAAGCUAGCUACUAAUCCCAGAGGUGCUUGCUCAAUUGGUUCUGCUGGACCAUUAUUAUUAUCCUCUCCAGCUCCCCUAUGAUCAUCAUGAACAACAUGUGGAGAAACCGAAGUUGGAAUAAUAAGAAUCUCUGGAGAUGGCUGAGACUUAUCAUUUUUUUUUCAUCACCAACUAUCUAAUUUUUAAGAAACACAACAUCUCUAAUUCUGAUUACUUUUCUUGUCACUGGAUCCCAUAAUCUGUACCCAAAUUCUUCAUGUCCAUAGCUUAAGAAAAUACAUUUCUUGGCUUUAUCAUCAAGUUUUGAUCUCUCAUCUUUAGGGAUAUGAACAUACACUCUGCACUUAAACACCCUCAAGUGUUUAUAAGAAACAUCUUUCCCAAUCCAAACUCUUUUAGGUACAUCGUCAUCUAAUGGAGCUUAAGGAGAAAGAUUAAUCAAAUCAACUACAGUACGCAUAGCCUCCGCUCAGAAGGAUUUAUAAAGCUUGGCAUCAGAAAACAUACAUCUGACUAUCUUUUCAAUUGUUCUGUUCAUUAUUUCUGCAACACCACUCUGCUGAGGGGAUUUUGGUACAGUUUUCUUAAGUUUGAUUCCAUGAGAUCUGCAAUACUGCUCAAAUGGUCCUCUGUACCCACCAUCAUUUUCUGCCCUGACACAUUUCAAUUUUUUUCUUGUCCCUCUCUCAACAUAAGCACGAAAGAAUUUAAACAUAGUAAGCACGAAAGAAUUUAAACAUAUCAAGCACUUAAUCUUUAGAUUUUAAAGCAAAAGUCCAUACUUUUCUAGAACAAUCAUUAAUAAAAGUCAUAAAAUAAAGUGCACCUCCUAUUGAUCUAUUUUGCAUCAUGCAAAUAUCAAUGUGAAUCAAAUCAAGGAUUUGUGACUUUCUAGAUGGAGAAAAGCUUUUAAAAGUUACUUUAUGUGCCUUUCCAGCUAAACACUAAACACAAGUCUUGAGGGACGUACCUACAAAGCUUGGUAGAAAUCCUUUUUUGGCAAGAGUUCCUAACCCUUUCUCACCAAUGUGACCAAGCCUUUUAUGCCAUGUCUCAAUGUCAGAAUUGUUUACAGCCAUAUUCAUAUAUUCUUUCUUGAUUUUGGCUUCUAUUACGUAGAGGGUGUUCAUUUUCUUUCCUUUAGCCAACACUAGAGAGCCUUUGGUGAGCUUUCAUUUUCCUUCACCAAAUUAGUUAGUAUAACUAUCAUCAUCAAUUUUUCUUGUGGAGAUCAAAUUAAGACGAAUAUCUAGUACAUGCAAGCUUUUUUGUGGAGAUCAAAUUAAGGCGAAUAUCUAGUACAUGUCUGACAUCUUUAAGGAGUAGCUUAUAGCCAACACUGGUUUGAAGCAAAUAUCUCCUAUGCCCACAAUCUUGGAUGCCCCCUCAUUUCCCAUCCGAACAUGGUCAUAAUUACCAUUAACAUAGGAUGUGAAGUAAUCAUGAUGUGCAGUUGUUGUGCAAAUUUUAAUGUACUCGCAAGCGCACGAAUCUAUUGUAGUAUAGAUCAAUGGUGACGAGUGUCGAUCCCACGAGGAGGUGGAUUUUAAUUGUGUAUAGAAUUAAUUUUGCAAAUGGUUGAUUGGAUUUGUGGUGGAAAUGAUUUGGAAUAUGCUAAAACUUAAAUUAAAAUGGCGAGAAUAAAUUCUAAAAUUGGAAUUGAAAUUGCGAGAAUAAAGUUGAAGAGAAUUCUAUUGAAAUGACGUACUUGGGUAUCUGGAUCCGUAUCAACAUGCAUCAUGGGCUAAAUAAUGCGUAUUAAUGCCAAUUAAAUCAUGAGGGGGGAAUCCACACCUCAUGAACCACGCUCUAAUCAAUAUGGUGCUAAGGGCUUAUCGUGCCAAAUAAUAAUAACCUUGUACUAGAGAGCCGGUGUAACCAAGGCGGUACUAGACAAGAUUAGUAUUAUUUGUCGACGAGAAGUCAAAACAUCCACAAAAACUAGAGGGGAAGAGAAAAUAAAUUUACCAAAUAAAGCCCAUGACACAUGUUGAGACUUCACCUUCAACCCAAGCUUAAAAGAAAAUUAGCUACUCAUAAUUGAACUAAGGGCAAAAUGGGAAUUUAUUAAAAUACGAAGAAAAUACAAGAUAGAGAGGGAAUUACAGAAAAUGGAUCCCAAAAAUGGAUUCAGAGAUAUCAAAUUAGGGGGGGAGGCCCCCUUUUUAUAGAUACAUGGAGUAAAUCAUGGCAAUCGGAUUAAAAACAGUUUGGACGCUCAGGAUUGCGCCACGUCAUCAGUCAACAGUCCACGGUUUGACCACGCGGAUGAACAGUAAUACGGUUUGACCCAUAUGAACAGUACGCGGUUUGACCCGGAUGAACAGUAACGCGGUUUGGUUGAAAAUAAUCCUGUGUGAUGCAUGCACCGUACGCGAGAUUUUUUGUCCACUGAUAUGCUGCCACGUCACCAUCAACAGUACAUAAGAAUUUUAGUCCAACAGGAUCGUGACACCUCAUCAGUCAAUGCCACAUCAUCGAUCCGUCUAUGUGAGCAGUGCCGUGAACAGUAACAUAUACAGUACCGUAUACGUGAAUAGUACCGUACAUGUGAAUAGUGCUAUUUUUCCUUUUAUGCUCCUCCUAAGGUUUUCGACCGUCCUGAGUUCAAAAGUGAUGUCCGUUUUACCGUCUGAUCUCUCCUUUAUUGUGAAAUCACUAUAAUACCACUAAAAUACAUAAAAUACUUAAUUAAAAUAAAACACAUGUAAUUAAAUCACAAGAAGGUUAAAUACAUAAAAGUAAGGGUUGUUAGUAAGACUUGAAAUGUAAAAUGAUGGUUUUCUCCUUUAUAAAUAUGCAUUUUCUAACACUCAACAGCAGUAACCACGAUGUGCAGUAACAUCAAACGAAGCACCCGAAUCAAUCACCCAAUUACUGGUAUGGCAAGUAAGAUUUAUAGAGCUAUCAUUAUAAGCAAUGCCCAUAUCACCAUUAAUUACGGCUGUAACAUUCUCUUUGUCAUUUUUCUGACCAUCGCCUUUUUCUUUCGCAUGUUCUCUUUUCCACAAUUUACACUACCUUUUUACAUGGCCCAUUUUCUGACAAUGAAAGCACUUAGCUUCUCCUAUGGGACUUAGAUCUUCCUCCAGGGUUAUCAUUAUUCUGAUGACGGAAAUUUCUGCUUCGACUUCUCCCCCGUCUUUUUUGGUUUUCUGAAACAAGUGUAGCUGACUCAGAGGGAACUACUUCAGCAUUCUUUCUUCGAGAUUCUUCAUUCCGCAGUCUAUCUGUAACCAUAUCCAAGUUUAAUUUACCAUUCGGUGCCGAAUUAUUCACUGACACCACUAAUGUCUCCCAACUAUCAGGUAAAGAACUAAGCAACAACAAUGCUUGUAACUCGUCAUCUAGAAUAAUCUUCAUAGUAGUCAACUGAUCAACCAAACCCUGAAACUCACUAGUGUGUUCAGUAAUACUGUGGCCUUUUUUAUAUUUCAAGUUAACAAGCCUUUUCAUUAGAUUGACUUUAUUUUGUGCUGUUGGCUGCUCAUAAAUUAUUUCUAAUUUUCUCCAAAGAACAUCAGCCUUGGAUUCCUUCGCGACAUGAUGGUACACACUCUGAUCAAUCCAUGACCUAAUAGUGCCCACGGCUUUCUGGUUCAAUUGAGCCCAUUUCUUAUCAUCUAUAUCAACAAGUUUAACUUCAUCACCUUCAAUAGGUUCAUGUAAGUCUUUCAUGUAGAGCAAAUCUUUCAUUCUAGACUUCCAAAUAUCAUAAUUCCACGACUCAAUUUAAUCAUGAACGCCAAAGACUCCUCUAUUUCAACCACAUAAGUAAUAAAAACACACAACCUGGCUCUGAUACCACUCUAUUGGGAAAACGACUACCACAAACAGCUACAAAUUAAGCGAAAAUAAAAUUCUUUUCCUCUUUGUGUGAUUAAAAUAGGAUGUGCACCAUAAACAAAUAAGCAGAAAAAUUAAUCAAUAAAUUCAAAGCAAAAAUCAACCACAAGAGACACCGAUUUUAACGUGGAAAAUUCAAAUCGGGAAAAACCAUGGGACAAUAGUCCGAUAUAAAUUUCCACUAUAUUAAUGGGAUUACAGUACAAAUUCUUCUCCAGAUAACACUAGAGGUUAACAACAUCAAGAUUUUCAACAAUCUUGGCUUACAAUAAUAGAUCUAAAAUCUAUUUCUUCAAUAAGUGAGUAUCUCCAAUAACAGCUAAUGAGAGAAUAAAAUAUAGAUCAACACGAGUAGAAAUGUAAAGGGCGAUGUCAGGAACUUAUCCUCCAAAUUUGGGAGAAAUCAAAGCUAAAAUUAUUUUUCGAUCGUUGAAUCAAAGAUUGAAAACCCAAAGAAAAAAAAUAUCUUUUUCUCUCGCAACGUCUUCUCACUUGCGCGAAAUGGCUACAUCUCUCGCGAUUAUUCACUUAUUUCCUUUAUAUUUUUUUUGGUUAAUUUCAUCCAAGUCUAAAAUUUUACAAUAAUUACACAUCAAGCAAAUUAUUUUGGACUUUGGGCUUUUGGUCCACUGAAGUGAGAUGGACCCUACAGAAGCAAUAAUCAGUGCAAGAAAAUUAAGUGAAGUUCCAGAGAUGAUGGCAGAUCUAAACCCUUUUGUAAAACUCCAAUAUCUUGGCCUCCGAAUUCUACCAAAAUUAAAAAAGCGUCUAUUGGAAUGUGUUGCCCUCUCCACAUGUCAGGGAAAUUUUUGUAUCUGAAUGCCCAAUUCUCAUUAGAGGAGAGGAACACUGGUGGAAUAAGUUGCAAUGGGAGGAUGAAGCAACCUAUAAUGCUUUUCUUCCUUGUUUUGGAUCCAUUUGAUGGGCAUCAACAUGGAUUAAUAUUUUGCAGCGAACCAAUUUGAAUAAAACUUACGGUAAGUGCUUUUCCAUUUAUUGCAUAUUUAUAUCUAAUUUUUGUUUUCCUUUAUGGUUAAAUUUUGCCCUGUAUAUGUUGUUGUACGGUGACAUUCUUGAAUCAAUUAUUAAUUUUUUUAAUUCUCGUCUCACAACCACCCUUUUGAUCAUGAGGAUAUGCCGAUAUCAAAGAGUCAUAAUUUGGGAUACAAAUGUAAGAAUUAGGCAGAUGACAUGUUGUUUCAAAGCUUUCGAAGAAGGACUAAAUAUGUCAUUGAAAGCCUCCAAUUUUGCGACUGAUUUUUUUUUAAUUUGUUAUUUUUAUAGGUGGCAAAAAUACCCGUCUGAUUUGGACUCGGCUGAUUUGGGCCGGGUACGGAGUAUGAAGCCGGGUUGGUCCUGGGCAUCACUUGAAACUCGGAACCUGGAUUUUAUUAAAAAAUAUUAUAAAUAUAUAUUAUUUUAAAUAUCUAUAUUUAUUAGACUCAUCUAUUACAUAUAUCUAAUUUCAUUGAAAUAAAUUUAAAAAUUAUAAAAUUACCAAUAUAUAUAUAUAUAUAUAAUAUUAAAAAAGUAUAAAAUCUGAGUCCUCAGAUUAAAACCCAGUUCAAGUGUCUAAAAAAUACAUGUGGACCGAGUUUGAACAUUGCGAUACCCAGACCCAAACUUGGGUUUUGCCAACCCUAGUCUUUUAAAUUGCUUGAUUGUAAUGUUUUAGUAUAGAAAAAUGAUAGCCAAGACAACAAUAAGAGGGCACAUUGUGCAUGCACAAUAGUGGAUAAUUUCGGCAUUCCAAAUCCAAUUAGGGUGGAUAACCUUUUAUUAGUAUUAACCUUCUCUCGUAUUCAAGUAAUGUAAAAUAUGCUUAGAAGCUGUGGAUCCCCCUUUAUAAGUGUUGGGCUUAUGCCAAACUCGAUUGAUGUGGGAUGCCUUUAUAGGCAUCAAGUUUUCUCCCAUACACUUUAUGUUAAAAAUAAUAAUGAUAAAAUAAAUCCAUUUUAAAAUAGACUUCUUUUUCUUUUCUAUAUAAACAAACUCAUUCUUCAAAUCAGUUGUGGGUGGAAGGAGUGAGUAGAGAAGAACUGGGCCCCUUUCGUUCCUCUAAAAACCUCACCAAACCUCUCUUGUAAGCUUCUCAGUGUCCCUCUCAAUAUUUCUUAUGAUCUCGUUUUUUAUUGAAUCACUUCUUUUGUGUGCUGCAUUUUUGUGUGUCGUAUUUGGGUUUAUCUUAUCUGGAAUCCUGUUAUGAUUGAUGGAACAAGUAAUCGAUUUUUGGUUUAUUUGGAAUGGAAUUAUGGUUUAUUUGGAAUGGAAUUAUCUGGGUGUAACGGAUUAAAUUAUGACAUUGGGGAGAAGGCACUAAGGGGUUUGCUUGACACAUUUGGUUCUGUGUUUACUCUGAAAGAAAUAGCUUUUGCUUAUCGUAAUGCAAGGCGAAAUCCCGAUUUGGGUGGUGAAUUUCUCUAUCCCAAUUGGGCUGGUGAAUUUCUCUGUGACAAAUAGGCAAACAGCUCAACCUCUUUUAUCUAUCUUCUACUAGUGAGGCAAGGGAUAAAAAGUCUUCAAAAUCAUCAAAUAGUAACAUCUUCGAGAAUUCAUUUUAUGCAAAUGGAAAAUCUAGACCUUCUAAGACAAAAUGGCGUCCAGUAUCAAGAGGUACCGUUUCAAGUUUUCUUGGUAAAAAUUAUGUAAACUUGCACAGCCAGCUAAUGGCACUUUUCUAGUUUUCUGGCAUCAAAGCCAUUGAAGUCGUAUCCAAAGGAGUUUCCCAUGUCUGCACUUUGUGGAGAAGGAACUAAACAAAAACAAUCAAAGGAUGACCAUUUGCAGAAGGAUGUGGAAGAUUUUCUGUUUAAAUUGCUAGGAGAAGUGUUCCAGCUGAAUAGGGAUGUGAUUCGGGAAGUUCCAGUAAUGUCUUAAAUAUGUUGAUGCCAAUUUAAUAUAUAUUGUCAUUUUCAAUGUUCUUUCUUUCUUUCUUUAUCUUCUUUUCUUCUACUUCUUCUUCUUUUUCUUUUCGUGUGCAUGUGAUCACUAAUUUGUUAUUAUACUUAACUUGCAGGUAGUUGUGGAUAUGAUAUGCAAAAGGUAAGGACUAUAUCUUCCUGAUAGAGGCCUCUGCUUUUUCCCUUUUAUGUAAUUUAGUAAAUCUCAUCUCCCUUUGUGAUUGUUAUAUCAUAUCAAAGUCAAGUCUUAAAUACUGCUGUCAUAUGUUAAGGUUCAACUUGCAUUUUGACUAACAUCCAUUUGUUGUCGCUUCCAAAAGUGAGAAUGAGAUACUUCGGUUAAUUUCAGUAGUUGAACCCAAUCGAGUACUUUAUCUAGAUCUUCAUGGUUCAAAGGCCUGAAACUUGCCCGUGAUUGUAAAAUGAUAUUAUGUGCUUUUAAUGCAAUAGGGGGAACAAGGUGUCAAAGGAAUUAGCAGAUUCUAUGGCAGAUUCUAUGCCUGUACAACUGUAACAAUUAUCCUUAUGAUUGUAAAUCUUAUAUGUUUUCCUUAUUUAGGAUAUACUAGCUGUAGGCUAUUUUAGAUAGUUAUGUAUAUGAUAGUUUAGCUAUGUUUAGGGCUAAACAUAAGCUUGUAUUCAUAGUAUAUAAAGGGAAUUCUCUUCUAAGAGAAAGCAUAACUUUUGCUCAAAAUUCUCUGAGUUUAUCAUGGUAUCAGAGCCUCAGUUCUGAAUUCUCUUCUUCCUAGUUCAUUCCCUUGUUCUUAGUUAUUCUUUUUUUUAUCAAGUUAUCUCAGCCUCAUGUCUUCAGACAAGUAUGAUGCUUUUUUGAUCCGUUUUAAUGGCACAAACUACUCAGCCUGGGCAUUUCAUUUCGAGAUAUUUGUCAAAGGCAAAGAUCUAUGGGGACAAGUUGAUGGCAGGAAACCUGCCCCUGAUAAAGAGAUAGACCAGGAUGGGUACGCCAAGUGGGAAGUCAAGGAUGCUCAAAUCAUGGCAUGGAUUCUAGGAUCUGUGGAAUCCAACUUCAUCUUGAAUCUUCGACCCUUCAAGACUGCAGCAGGAAUGUGGAAUCAUCUAAAGAAACUCUACAGUCACACCAACACUGCUCGUUGAUUUCAGCUUGAACAUGAGCUAGCCAAUCUCCAACAAGGCAGUCUCUCUAUUUCUGAUUUUUAUUCUAUCUUUAUGAUUAUUUGGGCUGAAUAUACUGAUAUAAUCUAUGCUACCUUACCUCCGAAGGUCUUAGUUUUGUUCAAUCUGUACAUGAAACUACUAAGAGAGAUCAAUUUAUGAUAAAACUGAUAUAUGAAUUUGAAAGCACUAGGUCCAAUCUUAUGAAUUGAGAAUCUGUCCCUUCCUUGGAUACAUGCCUCAAUGACUUAUUUCAUGAGGAGCAACGACUUCUUACUCAAAAUACCAUGAAACAAAAAAAAUCUACUUCUGUUCCUAUGGCUUAUGCAGCUCAAGGCAAGCCAAAAGGUAAGGACAUCAGUAUAGUUCAAUGUUUUUGUUGCAAAGGAUUUGGACAUUACGCUUCAAAUUGUUCAAAAAAAUUAUGCAACUAUUGCAAAAAAGAUGGACAUAUCAUUAAGGAAUGCCUUACUCGACCCCCCAAGAAAUCUGAAACAACAUAUGCUACCUCAGUUGGUUCUUCUAGUGAUGGUAGUUCUGUGGAUACAGCACAUUUGACCCAAAGUGCUCCUGUUCCUGUUCAAUCUGUGACCCCAUAAAUGAUUCAACAAAUGAUCAUUAUUGUAUUCUCCUCAUUAGGACUCUCAGGUAAAUCACCCACUAGAUCUCCUUGGUACUUUGAUUCUGGGGCUUCCCAUCACAUGACAAACAAUGCUAAAUUCUUCACCAAUGUAAGUAAAUACCUUAGAAAUCUAAAAAUUCAUACAGCUGAUGGCAACUCUUUACCUAUCACAGCCACUAGUGAUGUUUCUUUUUCUAUAACCAAUGUCUUUGUCUCUCCUGGUCUUCCUACUAAUCUUGUUUCAAUCGGUCAGUUAGUUGACAAUAAUUGUAAAGUAGAAUUCUCUAAAUCUAGUUGUGUUGUGCAGGAUCAGCAGUCAGGGAAGAUGAUUGCCAGGGGGCCUAAAAUAUGACGUCUUUUCCCUCUCCAAUUUGCUAAGUCUCCAUGUUUCUCUUUGCCUAUCAUCACUUGCAAUUUUACUAAGGUUAAUUAUCGAGCAUGGCAUAAACGUCUAGGACACCUAAACUCUAAUGUAUUUUAUGCUUUGCUAAAUUCUGGUUUACUUGGGAAUAAAAGAUCACCAUCCCUUAGUGUUGUUCAAUUUGAUUGCAAUUCUUGCAAGCUUGGAAAAAGUAAAAUUCUGCCAUUUCCCACUCACACACCGAAUGUUGUCCAGCCUUUUGAUUUGAUACAUAGUGAUGUGUGGGGUAUGGCGCCUGUUACAUCUCAUGCUAAUUACAAGUACUUUGUCACUUUUAUUGAUGACUAUAGUCGCUUCACAUGGAUUUAUUUUCUACAUUCUAAAGAUGAAGUGUUCUCUGUUUUCAAGCUUUUUCAUGCAUAUAUUCAGACCCAAUUUUCUACUAAUAUCAAAAUUCUUUGCUUUGAUAAUGGGGGUGAGUAUAUGUCUCAUUUAUUUUAAGAAUUUUUGCACACCAAUGGUAUAAUUUCUCAAAGAUCUUGUCCUUCAACCCCUCAACAAAAUGGGGUGGCUGAAAGAAAGAACUAUCACCUUCUCGAUGUUGUCUUCAUUUGUACCCUCUCGUUUUUGGUGUGAAGCUUUCUCCACUGUUGUCUAUCUCAUCAACAGAUUGUCCUCUCAUUCCUUGAACCAUGUCUCCCAUUUCUUUCAGUUAUUUGGCCAUACACUAAGUUACUCUCAUCUCCAUACCUUCAGUUGUGUGUGCUAUGUUCAUCUUCCUCCAUAUGAGCGUACAAAACUCACAGCCCAAGCUGUGAAAUGUGCUUUUCUAGGAUAUUUUAUGCACUAAAAAUGUUUUCUUUGUUAUGAUCCAAAUUUGCAUCAUAUAAGGGUUUCUCGAAAUGUGAUUUUCUUUGAAAAUCAGUAUUUCUUUUCCGCAUACCACGACGAUUCUUCGCCUUCAUUUUCUGUUUUGCCAAAGUUUACUAACCCUUCUGCAGAUUCUGCACCUUCUAAACCUAUCAUAGUCUAUCAGCGACGCAAGAAUUUAGUACCUCUCGGGCCCCCUCCAGCAACUUCCCUGAAUGUUGAUCCAGUUCCAGCAACUGCACCUGAACCUUUCAGACAUAGUACUCGGGUUCGUAGACCACCAGAUAGGUAUGGUUUCACCUCUCCAUUAUUUUUGACAGCCACUUUGUCUUCUAUUCUUAUUCCUUCAUCAUAUAAACAGGCAAUAGAGCAUGAAUUUUGGUGAAAAUCUAUUGAAUCAGAACUUCUUGCACUUGAAGAAAACCAAACUUGGGAUAUUGUUUCAUGUCCUCCAUCCGUGAAACCCCUUAGUAGUAAGCUAGUGUUUUCUAUCAAGCUGCGUUUUAAUGAAUCCAUAGAUCGUUACAAGGCUCGGUUGGUGGUUCUUGGCAACAAGCAAGAAUAUGGCCUAGACUACGAUGAGACCUUCGCGCCGGUAGCCAAAAUGACCACUGUUCGAACAAUAUUAGCCCUUGCUGCAUCACAAUCAUGUUCUUUACAUUAAAUGGAUGUAAAGAACGCUUUCCUACAUAGUGAUCUCAAGGAGGAAAUUUACAUGAAACUUCCCCACGGUAUGACUACUUCCUCUCCUAAUGAUGUUUGCAAACUAAAAUGUUCGUUGUAUGGGUUGAAGCAAGCACCGCGAGUAUGGUUUGAGAAGUUUCGAUCAACUCUUUUCAGUUUUUCAUUCACUCAAAGUCAGUAUGACUCCUCCUUUUUUUUUUCCAACAGACAUCUAAGGGCAUCAUUGUUCUCCUUAUUUAUGUGGAUGACAUCGUUAUCACUGGUUCUGAUAUGGAGGCAAUUUCUAAACUUCAGAAUUUGUUGCACUCUAUUUUUCACAUGAAAGACCUCGGUCAACUCACCUAUUUUUUGGGGUUAGAGGUGCAUUAUCUGCCUCAAGGUAUCUUCUUGAAUCAACACAAGUAUAUUCAGGAUUUAAUUUAAUUAGCUGGACUUAUGGACAAAAAUUCUGUUGACACCCCAGUGGAACUUAAUGUGAAAUAUCGACAAGACGAAAGGGAACUACUUCAAGAUCCUACUUAUCUAUCUAACUAUCACCCGCCCAGACAUCUCUUAUGCUGUCCACACCGUUAGCAAGUUCAUGCAAGCCCUUCGACAUCUCCACGUAUCCACAGUCCGCCGCAUCAUUAGAUAUAUUCUUGGCACUCUUAACUGCAGUUUAUUCUUCCCUACUGGUUCUUCACUCCAACUACAAGCCUACAAUGACGCAGAUUGGGCUAGCUGCCCGGACACGAGAAAAUCUACUUUGGGAUGGUGCAUGUUUCUUGGUGAUGCCCUUAGCUCUUGGAAAUGCAAAAAGCAAGACUCAGUCUCCAAAUAAUCCACUGAGGCAGAAUACCGCGCCAUGUCUGUAGCCUGCUCCAAGAUCAUUUGGUCGCGUGGUCUCUUAACAGAGCUUGGUUUCUCACAACAUCAACCUACUCCCCUACAUGCUGACAACACAAGUGCCAUCCAAAUUGUAGCCAACCCUGUCUACCAUGAGCGCAUGAAACACAUAGAGGUUGACUGCCACUCUAUUCGAGAGGCCUAUGACCACCAAGUUAUCACCCUCCUGCAUAUCUCCACUACUCUACUGAUUACGAAUAUCUUCACCAAAUCCAUGACAUGUCAGCGACAUAACGUUCUUGUUAGCAAAUUGAUGCUUGUAGAUUUACCAGCAUCAAUUUGAGGGGGGAUGUCAAAGGAAUUAGUAGAUCUUAUGGCAAAUUCUAUGCCUGUACAGCUGUAACAAUUAUCUUUAUGGUUGUAAAUCUUAUAUUUUUUCCUUAUUUAAGAUAUACUAGCUGUAGGCUAUUUUAGAUAGUUAUGUAUAUGGUAGUUUAGCCAUGUUUAUGGCUAAACAUAAGCUCGUAUUCAUAGUAUAUAAAGGGAAUUCUCCUCCAAGAGAAAGCAUAUGAAAGAAACUUAGUUCUAUAUUGUUUGGUAGGCUAGAAAAUGAAAGAAAAUAAAAGAAAAGCUUUGCAAAGAAAACUGUUAGAUCCUUUUAUUAUACCAAACUUACAGUUUAAUGACUAAAAAUUGAUAUUUAUAUUGAGCUACAAACUCUUCACACACACACACGAGAUUGUUGCAACACAUAACCAAUUGCUGUAUAACUAACUUGACACAUCAGCUCAACCAGCUAACUAACUUUGACAGGUCAGCUUAAUGAUUUGAUCUGAUACAACCAGCUACACAGCAACAUCAUGCUCUGCUCCAGCUUCAUCUAAUUCACUAACAACUUUUGCUCAAAAUUCUCUUAGUUUAUCACAGGGAAGUAUAGCUUUGGAAAAGGCCGGAUCAAUAACUAUGGAGAGAUUUAUAAGUGAUAAAAAUUCCCGUAACCCGCUGUCAAGAAAAUUUCACAUAGUUAAAGACGCCAUUUUGUUUCAGCCAAAAAUGUUUGUUUAAUCUGCCAAAAAUGUUUGUUUCGAUUAAAGACUUGAACCGUUUUCAUUUAACCUGAUUGUGAUGCUUUAUGUUAUGUAUGUUCCUCUCAAUCAAGAAAAGUUGAGGUUCAUGAUUUUAUAUUUCUAUCUUGUAACUUGCAAUAAUAACUGGUCUUCUUGUUUUUGUAGCUUGAUAACAUGAAUUUUCCUUCUCAAGUUAAUUUGAUCAAUAAAGUAAUUCUUCAAAGAAAAUAUGCCCAUUCUAUAAUCAUUUUCUUAGCUAAUAUGUUUUUUUUUUGUUUACUCUUCAGAGUGUGUCGAAACUAAUUGAUUGCUCGGCAGAGACUUUGGGUGACAAGUCAAAAUUUCAUGGUAAAUCCUCUGAAAAGGUAUGCAUAAUUCCUGAAUAUUAAAUAACCAAUGGUCAUAGUUUUUGUACACGACUCUUUUUGUGGAGAUCGUUAAAAGUGGUUGAUGAUCCAUUUGUAAUUUCAUAGAGGGAUCAUCAAUUCCUUUUCUUUUCUGUGGCUAGGCAUCACUUUCGUGCCAAAGUAAGGAAAUCUAUUUUAGGUAAUGUAAAAAACAAUGGUAGGAUGUAAUAGCUUAUUAUGCACUGACAAUAACUUUUUGUAUAAUUGUCAGUUUAAGGAAUACAAGAGGAACUCUGUUGACAAAUUCAUCCAAGAUAGAUGCUAAAAUUAUUUAUGCAUGCCAGUUGCCUUAACUAAUUUUUCUUAACACUUGUAUUGAACAGGAAAUGAGUAUGCAAUUUGUGUACGUGCCAUUGUGGAGAAUUUGGAUAUUCUUAUUUAAGUAAGAAGAAGAGUAUUUGCCUCAUCUUUAAACAAUGAAUCUUUGAGAAAUGAGGAGUGGGUGAUUGGAAGUGUCUUCAUGUAAAUGUUCAUUUACUUGUAUUUUGAACUAUUAUGAGAAUCUUUUAUAUGCCAAAUUAGUAAUACAAAUGUUCAGAUGAUUUUUCCUGUUGAUCACGCGUUUGUGUCUGCAGACAACCAUUGUAUAUCACUUUAUUCUGAUGUGCAAUUAUGUAUAGAUUAGAAGAAAAGAAAUAAUAGUCUUAUAUUAUUGUUUGGUUCAUGAUUAUUAAACGAUUAUGGCUUCAAAAAAUCUACAAAUUCCUUCUGUUCAUAUAUGAAUGUGCCAAGUUUGCUAUAUCUUAGAUUGCCUUCUUCCAAGAUAACAAGUUCAUAUGUUUUUUAAUCCUCUUCAAUCACAGUUGAAUUUUAAGUGUUAAGAUUUGUUAUUAAUACCUGGUUCCCUGUUAUUAUGAUUUUUAUUAUGAUUUCAUAAACAGUGUACGGACAUGUGCUCUACUUUUAAAGGGCCUCCACGUGAAAGAAAAUUGCAACAAUUGAAUUCUUCCGGAGGGUAUGGCAUUUAAUUUAUUUUCUCAACUUCUUGUAAGACUAAUAUAUUUCCUUCAGUAGGCAGGGCAUGUUGGGAAGGGCUUUUAUUGAAAGAAUUCUGAUAUUUCUUAGACUUUGUUUUGGAAGGGAGGUGGAGGGAUUUCUCAUCCAUAUAUGGUUACUUGAUUAGCUUUUGACUGUAUUGCCUCAGUCGUGCAAAGGAAGAUCCAAAUACUAAUGAAUGAGAAUUGGUUAGAGACCCAAAAGACAGAAAUGAACUACAGAAGGAAGUUUUUGCUGCUUUAUUUAGUGUUCCUGAGAACUCUGAUGAAGAUGGAGUGGAGGUCCAAAGCAUUAAGAAAGGUGGUGAGUGAACCGCCAGAGGAAUUGGUACCAGAAUACAAAGCUAAUGUGGUGCAUUUGCAGCAAGAUAACCAGACUAGUAUGUGCUCUUGUAUUAACUAUAUUGACUGGAUUUGUGAGCAUGUUCAUUUUUGUGUGUAUAAUCACUUUUGUAUUUAUGCAUAUUAAUGUUAGUAGGAUUCUUGAUUUCCUCCACUUACUGGAGAACUAGUGGAAAGCUUUAUAGUGAAAUAUCUGCAAUAACUAAUGGAAACCAUGAUUUGAAUAUUUUCUCUCACCUGGAGAGCUUUGUAACAGAUGUACUUUGUGGCUAUGGAAUACUAGAGAUUCUGCAAUAACUAAUGGAAACUCUGAUAUGAAUAUUUUCUCUCACCUGCAGAACUUUGUAACAGAUACACUUUGUGGCUCUGGAAUGUCUAAAGAUUUUGUCUGCUUCAGUUAGAUCAAAUAUCUUUUAGUUACCUACAUUAUGGAAAAGAUAGAGUUCUCUGAAUCUGAAAGACUGAAACAUUUUGCAUAUUUCGUGAAAGGAAAAUAUCUGUAGAUACUAGUUCAUGCAUUGAGGUAACAUCAAUGUUAAAGAAAAACAGCAAUAACUUAUUAUAUAGAAUUAGGUUCACUUGCUUUAAAUGCUGGUCUGGUCAACCAUAUGAACCUGUAAGUGUAUCUGCAGAAAUAUAUAUGGGGGGACAAACUAGCUAAAUUUUCCUCUCAUUUCUGGCUUUGGUCAUUUUUUCCCCUUAUUUUUCAGCUUUCCUUCUCCUGAAGUAUGUUAACAAUUGCAGAUAAUGACGAAGAGGACAGCUUGCAGGCUCUUCGUGGAGCUGUGAUGGAAUAUAGGGGCACAAUGAAAGAACAUUUUAAAGCUGUAGGUUCUUUUUCUCCUGUCAUUUAUAUUUGCUCACACAUUUUUCAUAUGCUCCAAGCAUGCAAGUUUGUAUGUGUCUUUGCCUUUUAAGUUUUAAAAACCAUAAGGUAAGAAUACAGUUCCUCGUCAGGUUAUUGAUGCAUUCACUCCGGAGGAUCAUGUUCGAGCAGGAAAACUUCUAGAACAGGCAAGGUUUUCCAUCUACAGCCAUCUAUUGACAACAGAUACAUUUUCAUUCAGCAGACACUGUUAGCAUUCAAGAUGCUGGCAGAUUCACUUGAUUCUUAUUAGUUUGUUUAGUGGUAAAGCAUAUAACCUGUUUUUCAAAGCCAAGUUGUGCUAUUGAUUAUGUUAACUUUAUUGUUCACAUAAAGUGAUAUGGAGGAAAUAAUCAUUGUAGGAAAAUUAGGUGAAGAGGUGAUGUCAAAUCUUGAACCUGUUACAAAACUCCAAGUUCUUUACUUGAAGAAGCUACCAAAUUUGAACAGGGUCCACUGGAAGGCCUUGCCAUUCCCUGAUGCCUGCAGAAUUUUUGUAUUUAAAUGCCCAGAGCUUAAGAAGCUGCCACCGGAUCUUGAAAGGGCAGGCCAAGGUAAAAUUCUUAUCAAGGGAAAGGAAGAUUGGUGGAAACAACUUCAAUCGGAGGAUCAAGUAACUCAGAAUGCAUUGCUUCUAUUUUUAAAAUCAACUGACAAGUGAUUGAAGGGGGCAUCAUCAACAUCAUCAACAUGGAUGGAGAGAUUCAGGAGCAGAUCCGCAGGGUUUAUUACGACCUGUGGUGGUUGCUUUUUUGUGACUUGUUCCCUUUCAUUUUUUCACUUCCUGUCAUAUUAUCAUUUCUUUGUCUCUGUUUCUAUUGCUGAUGUUGCUGCAUGCUUGCAGCCCUUGACAAAGUUAGCAAUGCAAUAUAGAUUUUGAAAUUAAAUUUUGUAUGUUCGGGACAGUCACAAAGUACUACUUGUUCUAUAUGGGGGUGAUGUGAAUCAACUUUUCAAUUAUAUAUUCUGUGGUAAUUGUGAAUUCAAUUUCAUUUGUCUCCUGCAAAUUAUGAAGAAAGUGCAGAGUUAGAAUAUCGAAAAGUUCACUGGCAAAUACUUUGUAAAAGCUUCGGAGUGAAACAGGGAAUGCACUUGCAACUAAGGACAAAUUGGUGGCCAGCUAAUGCAUUCAUUUUAUGUACAUUCAUCUUUUUAAUUAUUGAAGAUAAGUGGUUCGUUGCUUUUGUUGUAGAAAAAAUUCAGACGACCUCAAUUGUGAGAUGAAAAUAUUUAAAAUAUCUCUUAAAUUAUUAUAAACUUUAAUUUAUCUUAAUUUUAUUUAAAAGAUAAAAGAAAAAUGUGGUAUAUGGGUAAAAAUUUUUUUAUCUUGUUAAUAAAAUGAAAUAAAUUAAAAUUUACAAUAAUUUAAAGUAUUUUAAAAUUAUUAUUUCAUAAGAGAUUAAUAUGAAAUUAAUCCUUUUUACUUUUUGAAUGUGAAAGGACAAGAAAAGAGAAAGCUAGUGUCACUGCUUUUUAUUUUAUUUGAAAUCGGAGUUAUCCCAUAUACUUUACUACUUUAGCUCUAACAUUACAAUGUUUUUAGGCUACACUUUUAUUUUUCUUUUUCCCCCUUUUUUUAUACAUGCAUGUGGAUUACUUUUCUCUAAGCUCCUUAAUAUUUAAGACAAAUCAUAAAAGCAAUUGAAGCAUAACAAGAUGAUCAAAACAUUUAACCGAAAAAAAAAGAAAUAAAACAUUGAAAAUGGAGAUGUUGAUUAAUUUAGAAGAGAUGCAAGCAAAAAAUAUUCCCAAAAAAAAAAAAAAAAAAAGCAACGUUAGUUCAUCCAUGUCUGUCAAUGCGUUUUUUAUGGUUUUUUUUUUCCAGUUGUUUGUUGUAAUAGAUUAAUUGUAAAUUGAUAUAAACUUGAUGUUGUAAUAUGUUCGCUUUUGUGGAAAUAAAUUUCAAUAUUCAAGAUUAUUCAAGUCUUAUCUAGUAUGUGUUCGGUUGUGUUGUCGAUAAUUUUACAUUCUAAUAAGUUUUCACCUAAAAUAUUAGCAUGAGUAGUAGUCCUUAAACCUUUGGUCAAAAUUAUUGUUAUUGUUUCUUUUAGAGGAAAUUUUUUUAUUAAAGCCUCGUUAACACUAUUCCUUAUUAAGAUUAUAAGUUAGUGUCGGUGCAGGAUUUGCAGCGACAAAUCUUGUCUAGCCACGUGUCAAAAUACAAAUAAAUCAAGGGAAAGCACAUGACAUGGAUUAGGAUCCAAUAAAAUUUAAAUCCCAAGGAAAAGGACAACUGUAUCCUAAAGUUUCAAUAAGAGAUACUGGGAUAUCUUUUGACUAAUGUUAUUUUUUGGCUUUAUUAAUAAAAAGAUCCAAUAGUUUAUAACAAAUAAAAAUAUAGUAUUAAGCUAAAUGUGAUAAUUUACACAUUUUACAUAAUUUCAAUAAAAAUUUUUUUAAUGUUUUACAAUCUAUCAGACAUAUUUUAUUAAAUUAAUAAGAAUUUUCUUAUAAAUAGCAACAUAAUAUUAAAAUAAAUUUAUAAAAAUUUAAAUGUAAAAUAAUUUUAGUAUAAUUAAUACGCGGGAUAUAUUUUGUAAAUUAUAAAAUUACUUAACCCAAUGAUUUUUAAAAAUCUUUAAAAUAAAUAAAAAUAAAUUAUUCACAUUUUGAUGUAAAUAUUUAAAACAUUUUUAUACAUUAGUCCACAAUUAUUUAUGUUAUAUUUGUAUUUAUUAGAAAUUUUGAAAGUCAAAUGUUUUUUACCUCUAUGUUAUUAGAAUUAUUGCACACAGAGAAAGAGCCAUAUAUGCUUUAUAACUUUAAAAUCGAUUUGUUUUAUAGCUGGGAAUAGAGAUGAUCAUUAUUAUAAGGAUUUUUUAAAAAAAGAUAAAGAAUAUUAAUGAUUAGCGAAAUCUCUAUGGAAAUUGAAUUUAGUAAGAAAAAAUUGAGCUGAUUUUAGUGGUAUAGUAAUAUUUUAUAUAGAGAAAAGUAAAAGCUGCACCCAAGGUUAAGGGAAAUGGUCAAAAUUCUUUUUUAAUCAUAAUACCCUUUUUCCUAGAUAAUUUAAAAAUUUUACUCUAAUAGUUUAUAAUAAAUAAAAACAUAUAAUCCUAAAAUAAAUAAAAUGAUAUAUAUUUUAAAAUAAUCUCAAUAUUUAAAAUAUAUUUUAACAUUUUAUAAUCUAUUAGAUAUAUUUUAUUAUAUUAAAGUAAAUUUUAUAAUAAAUACAAAACAUACUAUUAAAAUAGAUAUAAAAAUUUUAAAGUAUUUUGAAUAUUAUAUAAAAUAACUUUAAUAUUGUUAAUGCAUGAGAUGCAUUUUAUUAAUUAAAAAUUCUAUGUAACCCAAAGAUUUAUUUAUAAUAAAUUAAUAAUCAUAUUUUUGAAAUUAUUUUAAAUAUUAAAAAAUAUUUUAAUAUUACUAACUAUUAGAUAGACUAAACUAUUUAUUUUAUUUUCUAUUUAUUAUAAAAUUUCAAAGUUAAUCUUUUUAACUACUAUUCAAAAGAUGUUAUGAUAAAAACAGAAUUUUUGUGUUUUUAUUGAAAAUUUGGAGUUUACAUCUAUUUUUUCAAAUAUUCAGGGUGUAACUGUUUUUUCCCUUUUAUAUAUACGAACGGUGGUGAGAAAGUUUGAUUUAACGUUAUUUAUUUAAAUAAAAUCUCAGUUAAAAAUGUACAGAGAAGAAAUUUCGGUUGGUAUUUUAGUCUUGGUAAUCUCUAUAUUAUAUGCAUAUAAGAUACAUCAUUCUCACAUGAAUAGUAUAUGUGUGAGAUCCAUAUAUUAUUCAUGUGAGGGAGAUGUAUCUUAAUAAGAUAGAGGGAUCCGUUAGUCUUUUACCAAUCAUCACGAUUAGGCCUUGGCCUUGAAACAUUAAUUGUUUCACUUUUAGCGCUAGUGGCGUUGAAAGUUGUCAAGAAAAAGCAAGACCAUAUUCCACAAAAGCAAAAGUAACGUAGGCUCUUUUAUUAAAGGCAAAGUAUAAAGUAGUCAAGAAUCGAAUAUCCUGUCGUCUACUCUUUUUUAAAUUCUUCUUUUAUUAUCGUUUAGAAUAGUUUUUGGUAAUUACAAUCAUUAUUCAGAGUUAUUGUUAUCUUCCGGGGCAGUCUCUGUUCAUCGAAGUCGUUACCUUUUUUUUAAUGGAUCAGUUCCAGUGGUAAGCAGUAAUUUUCUUAGAACUCGGAUCUUUAAUUCGAGUUUCUGUGUGAAUUAAUAAUAAAAAAUUUUCAUUACACGCAAUUUAAGCUACGAAUUACUUUUUGCAAAGUUGAAUAUGGAAUUGGAGAAAUUAAGUAAUUUAGAAUGUUGGUAAAAAUUGACGAACAUAUCUCCAAUUACAGUAAAACCUCUCUACAGUCAUAACAUUAUAACAAAAUUAAUUUUAUUACUAUGUUGAGGUAAUAUAGGUUUAGUUACAAAAUUAUUGUUUUAAUAUGGUUAGUGUCAAGUGAUAUAAAGGUUAAGUAUGCAGUACAUUAAUAAUUAAAUAAUGAAGUGUCAAAUCUAAUGUAUAUAUAUUAAUGAUAUAGAUAGACAUAGUUUUAAAAAACUAAUUAAUGUAUAUUUAUGUAGUGUUAUGAAUAUGGAAAGUCAAGCCUACACUUUACAUUAUCCUUAAUUUUUUCUCUCAGUUAAAUUCUACAAAUAUUGUACAAUGGUUGGGCAAGAACUCUAAAUUAAGAAUAAAUUAUUGUCACAAAUAAUUUUAGAAAAUAUUUUAUUUCGUCUUAAACCUUUAAUAUAAAUAAACAUAUAUAUAUAUAUAUAUAUAUAUAUAUAUAUAUAUAUGUGUGUGUGUGUGUGUGUGUGUGUGUGUGUGUGUGUGUGUGUGUGUGUGUGUGUGCAUAUUUUGCAACGUAUAGAUAAUUGUUAGUAUAUGGAGACAAGUCUUUUAAGGUAGGACCUAGGAAAAUUUAUAACUUACUACACUGUGGAGUUUUUAUUCCUUUUUAUAAUUGGCUCAUAUUGAUACAUUCUUACACAAAAUAUUACCAUUGACAUAUUUUACUACAAUUAGUUUAGAACAUUUGUUAGGAAAAAAAAGAAAAGAAAAGAAAACAUCCCUUGGAUGUAGCUCUCCUGACUAUUUAAAUCUUUUAAGGAAAAAAAGAAAAAAGAAAAACUGGCACAUUCAAAUCUUGAAGCAAUUACAUUAAAAUCUCUCCAUAAUGAUAGGAAUAAUCUCCAUUUAGUAAUAAAAAAUUUUGUUCGCAAUUUAGGCAGAGUUAUAAAUAAGAAUAAAAUCCUCAUUGUAAUAAGUUAUAUUUAUUAUGGAUCCCAUCCUAAGGAAUUCGUCUCUAUAUAGUAAUAAUUAUUUGCAUAUUAUAAAUAUAUAUGUUGCAUUAGAUUAAAUGAACUUGUCUCCACAUACUACUUAGACAACGAGAGAAAAUUAUUAAAGAGAACACAAAUAUUUAGAUAUUUUUAAGAUUACUUUGCAUAUUUAUAACAAUAAUACAUUGAUAUAUGUAUUAGUUUUUUGAUAUAUUAGAUUUAACAUGCUCUAUUAAUAAAUUAUUAAUACGAUGCAUAUUCAUCUCUAUAUCCUUGCAAUAAAAGUAACUAAGUUAUAACAAUAAUUAUUAAUAAAUUAUUAAUACGUUGCGUACUUCAUCUCUAUAUCCUUACAAUAAAAAUAACUAAGUUAUAAUGAUAAUUUUUGUAACUACAUACUUAUUAGGUUUUAACUACUUCAUAAUAAUAAAUUAGUUUCGUCCUAAUAUUAUAAUUAUGUAGAGUUGUAGUGUAUAGACACACCCAAUUUAAAUAGUAUAUCAAAUAAAAUUGUCCCCACGAAAAAGAAAAAAGGGGUAAAGGAUUCUCAUUUCUUCAAACAUUAGGAUCACGUUUGUACAAGUGCGAUGCCUUUCUUUUGAAGGCAACGUCAGUGGGUACCCAAUAGGACGUGUGUAAAUCUUUCCAAAAUUUCUCUGGUAUAACGGACAGAGAUCAUUACUUUUCUCUUCCAUAUACCACAGCAGCUUCAGUUAAUCAGACUCAAUCAAUUUUCUUGGUUUCUUCGCUUAUCAAAAUUCCAAAAUAUGGGUAGCAUAUUUCAAAUCACAUGCGAUGGUGCUUUUUUCAAUCGUUGCUUGGAUUGCUUUCUUGGAAAAGUAGCAAACACAAGUAAGCUCCAAGAUAACCUUGUUGCCUUGGAGACUGAAUUGGGAAAACUAAUCGCAGCAAAGAACGAUGUGAUGAUGAGGGUUGUCAAUGCUGAACGGCAACACCUGAGAACGCUGGACCAAGUGCAAGUGUGGCUUUCGAGGGUGGAAGCUGUUGAAACUGAAGCUGAUGAAUUGAAAAGACACGGCUCUCAAGAAAUUGACAAAUUAUGUGUUGGAGGCUACUGUUCCAAGAACUGCGCGUCAAGCUACAAGUUCGGGAAACAAGUGGCUAAAAAGCUACGGGAUGUGCAGACUUUAAUCGACGAAGGAGUUUUUGCGGCGGUGGCUACCGAGGUGGUGCCUGAGAGAGCUCCAGAACCUGUAGCAGAUGAAAGACCCACUGAGCCAACAAUAGUAGGCUUGCAAUCACAACUUGAACAAGUUUGGAGAUGUCUUGUAGAAGAAUCAGUGGGAAUCAUUGGCCUAUAUGGUAUGGGCGGUGUUGGUAAAACUACACUAUUGACCCAUAUCAACAAUAAAUUUCUUGAGAGUCCAACCAGUUUUGAUUGUGUGAUUUGGGCCGUAGUUUCAAAGGACUUGCGACUCGAAAAAAUUCAAGAAGAUAUUGGGAAAAAGAUCGGUUUGGUUGAUGAUUCAUGGAAGAGUAAAAGUGUAGAGGAGAAAGCUCUCGACAUCUUCCGGAGUUUAAGAGAGAAGAGAAUUGUAUUGCUGUUAGAUGAUAUAUGGGAGCGGGUUGAUUUAACAAAAGUGGGCAUUCCACUUUCCGGACCAAAAAAUACUACAUCAAAAGUCGUAUUCACAACCCGUUUCGUCGAUGUUUGUGGUAGCAUGGAAGCUGACAAGAAGUUCCAGGUGGCAUGCUUAUCAGAAGAGCAUGCUUGGGAACUGUUUCGAAAAAAAGUUGGGGAAGAAACUCUUGAGAGUGAUCAUGAUAUCGUUGAGCUAGCCCAAACUGUGGCCAAAGAGUGUGGUGGUUUGCCACUCGCACUUAUUACUAUUGGUCGAGCUAUGGCCUUCAAAAAGACAGCCGAGGAGUGGAGUCAUGCAAUUGAUGUGCUAAGAACAUCAGCUUCUGAGUUUGCAGGUUUGGGAGAAAAGGUUUAUCGUCUUUUAAAGUUUAGCUAUGAUAGUUUGCAGAAUGAGACGAUUAGAUCUUGUUUCUUAUAUUGUUGUUUAUAUCCCGAGGAUUAUAGCAUUCUUAAAUGGGACUUGAUUGAUUGUUGGAUUGGUGAGGGAUUCUUAGAGGAAUCUGACAGGUUCAGUGCAGAAAACCAAGGAUACUACAUUGUGGGCACUCUUGUUCAUGCAUGUUUAUUGGAAGAGUUAGAAGAUGAUAAAGUAAAAAUGCAUGACGUUGUUCGUGAUAUGGCUCGAUGGAUAGCUUGUGAAAUUGAGAAGGAGAAGAGAAAAUUUUUGGUUUGUGCAGGUGCUGGAGUAGGAGCGGUGUCAGAUGUUGAAGGAUGGGAAAAUGUGGGAAGAUUGUCAUUGAUGCAAAACCAAAUUGAAAUUCUGUCAGAGGUUCCCACAUGCCCUCAUCUCCUCACUUUAUUUCUUGACUUUAAUUAUAAAUUGGAGAUGAUCACCGAUGGCUUCUUCCAAUGUAUGCCUUCUCUCAAAGUUUUGAAGAUGUCAAACUGUGGGCAUGUCAAAGUUUUGAAAUUACCUUUUGGGAUGUCAAAGCUGGGUUCACUACAACUUCUUGAUAUUUCACAUACCGGCAUAAGAGAGUUACCAGAAGAGUUAAAGUUGUUGGUAAAUCUGAAAUGUUUGAAUUUGAGGUGGACACAUAUGUUAAAUAAAAUUCCACGGCAGCUAAUAUCAAAUUCUUCAUGGUUACGUGUGUUGAGAAUGUUCGCUAUUGGCUUUGAAAAUUCUAAAGAACCAUCAGAAGACAGCGUUUUAAUUGGUGGGGGUGAAGUUUUAGUACAUGAAUUGCUCGGUUUGAAAUAUUUAGAGGUAUUGGAGUUGACCUUGCGAAGUUAUGAUGCUCUCCAAUUUUUUUUGAGCUCAAAUAAGUUAAAAAGUUGUAUUCGAUCUCUUUUCCUCAAUAAGCUGGGAGAUACAAAGUCGAUUCAUGCUACGGCUUUCGCAGAUCUAAAGCAUCUCAAUGAACUAUGCAUUCGUUCGGCAGUGGAGUUGGAAGAAUUGAAGGUUGAUUAUACAGAGAUUGCGCCAAAAAGGUCGGAACCUUUUGUUUUCCGCAGCCUUCACCGUGUUACUAUGGAGCGGUGCCAUAAAUUGAAAGAUUUGACAUUCCUCGUUUUUGCUCCAAGCCUCAAGUCUCUUUCGCUAUACGGUUGCAAUGCUAUAGAAGAAAUAAUCAGCGUUGGAAAAUUUGCUGAGACUCCUGAGGUGAUGGGACAUAUAAGCCCUUUUGGAAAUCUCCAAACGCUUUAUUUAACUGAUUUGCCAGAGUUGAAAAGCAUCUACUGGAAGCCAUUGCCUUUCACUCAUCUCAAAGAAAUGACGGUACAUGGGUGUAAUCAGCUUAAAAAGCUUCCAUUCGAUUCCAACAGUGCAACAGAGCGUAAAUUUGUUAUUCGUGGAUACACACUCUGGUGGAACCGUCUUCAAUGGGAGGAUGAAGCCACUCAAAUUGCUUUUCGUUCCUGUUUCCAAUCUCAUGAAAUAUAAAUUCCUGAGCGGUGGUUGCAAAAUUUGAUUUCUAGUGAGUGCUUUUUUCUUAAACUCUUACAUAUAUUCUCGUCGUUUGCUUCGUGCAACGGACUAGGUUUUUAUUUCAGAUUCGUUUUUUGUCUCCUGCAAAUCACAAUUAAAUGUUGAAUUAUAUGGAGUCAAUGCUUUAUAAAAUUUUCAAGGCACUGCCAUUUCCUUUUUCUUUUUCUUUUUUUUUUUGGGUCGAAUUGAUGCUCUGGCUUUUUACUUUUUGUUGUCACAUUUUGCUCUGUUUUUUCAAGUUGAUGCUUGAAUAGUUGAAUUCAAUUGAUGCUCACAUAAAUUUGUUUAGUUGCCGCAAAAGGAUAUAAUUAGACUGAAGUACACACUUCUAGAAUGAAUACAAAAUGUUAAGUAUACUAGCCCUCUUUACAGAAAAUCAAAUGAAAAUCAAUUUUUUGGGGCUUUGAUUUUCUAUGGUCUAUUAUAUACUCUUUUUAAUAUCUUCUGUUCUAACUAUAACCAAAUCCUUUGUUCAAGGAUUUUUAUUUGGGGUAUUGAUAACUGUCCACCAAAAGAGUGAACACUUGGAUGCUGCUCAAGGAUCUCUAAUCAAUAGCUGGAAGCAACUGAGAAGGCGGUCGCUACUGUUUACAAAGCGAUGCAGUAUUUGCCAUUCAUCUUAAUAAUUAUGAAGCUUUGGUAAAAUUUUCAAACAAAGUUGAACACAUGUUGUUUUGAGAUUUGGUUCAUGAUUUUGGAUGAAUAUCGUUGUUCCGUUUGAGUUGGAUGUGAAUUCAAAAUCUAUAUAUUCUUUGGUUUUCAAUUCUGAACUCAAUUUCUUUUUCUCAAGCAUGUUAUGCAGAAAUGAUUUUUUACUAAAUCAUUUUUGAUGAAUUGUUUAAAUUAAACAAUUGGAAUAAGAAUUGAAAAGGUUUAUCAUAAGCAUGCUAAUAUGAUAAGUUGUUUUAUGAACGAUUAAUUAAUUAAUCAAUUAAUAUUAAAUUAUCUAUUAGUCAAUUAGAUAUGCGUUACAUGUCAUGUUUAAAAAUUAUUUAUUUAUAUUUCAAACAAAUUUGACUGGAUGUUGUGUAGGUAAUACUACAUAAUUUCAAAACAAAAAAAGUAAUAAAAACACGUUAAAUUUUGUUUUUAUGAAGAAAAAUUUAAAAUUUUAUUAAAUAGGUGAAAAUAAUAAAUGGAUUCGUGUAUGGUUUGAGAUUCUUGACAUAAUUAUGAAAUAAGCCGGAUUCGACUUAGUUCAAUUUUGACGCGAUAAGAAGACGACACCACACAAACACACGAUAAGAACCGUUACCUGAGAAGAUUGCCAUCAGGAAUUUUGAAAUUGAUUUCACUACAAUACCUUAAUCUUUCAGAUACUACCAUCACUGAGCUGCCAGAAGAGCUAAAAGCCUUGGUAAAUCUUAAGUGUUUGAACUGUACACAAAUUAUCUCUCUACAAUUCAAAAACAACUAAUUUGUUACUUUUUCAAUGCUACAUGUUCUGCGAAUAUUGAGUUGUGGUUAUCUUGUUGAAAUAUCAGACAAUAGAGUUCUAUUUGGUGGUAGUGAAUUGUUGGUUGGGGAGUUGCCUAGUUUAAAACGUUUAAAUGUAUUAAGCAUCACCUUACAAGGUUUUUCUGCUGUCCAAAAACUUAUGAGCUCUCAAAAGUUUCAAAGCUGUACAAAAUGUUUGGAGCUUAUAGACUGUGAUGAUUCAAAGUCUUUUGCCUUGGCAGAGUUGAAGCAUCUCGAAAAACUAGUUUUUUGAAUUGUGGAAGAGUUUAAGUUCUGCUUUGUUGAAGUUGGAAAAGCUCAAGAAUGUUUUCGUUUGAACAGUUUUCACCGAGUUAAUAUAAAGGCUUGUCAUAAAUUGAGGGACGUGACAUGGCUUGUAUUUGCUCCAAAUCUUACAGUUAUUCAAAUAGAAAAAUGUAUGCAGAUGGAAGUAAUAGUCAGUGCAAGGAAAUUGGGUGAAGUUCCAGAGAUGAUGGCAGAUCUAAACCCUUUUGCAAAUAUCUUUGCCAGCGAGUUCUACCAAAAUUAAAAAGCGUCUAUUGGAAUGAGUCACCCUUUCCACAUGUCAGGGAAAUUAUUGUAUCUGAAUGCCCAAUUCUCAAGAAGCUUUCACUCGGUUUUAACAAUGCAAAGGAAUCUAAAAUUGUCAUUAGGGGAGAGGAACACUGGUGGAGUGAGCUGCAAAGGGAGGAUGAAGCGACCGUUAAUGCUUUUCUUCCUUGUUUCGGUUCCAUUUGAUAGGCAUCAACAUGGAUUUAUAUUUUGCGGUGGACAACUUGUGGUAAGUGCUUUUCCAUUUAUUACAUGUUUAUAUCUAACUUUUGUUUUCCUUUAUGGUUAAAUUUUACUGUAUAUAUGUUGUUAUACGGUGACAUUCUCGCAUCAAUUAUUAGCUUUUUAAUUCUCUUCUGGCAUUAAUUGCCCUUCUGAUCAUGUAGGAUAUGCCGAUGUCAAAGAGUAGUAAAUUGGGAUACAAAUGUAAGAAUUAGCCAGAUGACAUGUUGUUUUGAAGCUCUCUCGAAGGACUAGUUAUGUCAUUCAAAGCAUCCAAUUUCGCUACUUUUUUUUUCAUUUGUUGCUUUUUAUAUUUCUAGAUAGCUUGAUAUUCGGCCAAGACAUCGAUAGGAGGGCACAUUGUGCAUGCACACUAGUGGAUGAUUUGGGCAUGCCGAAUCCAAUUAGCGUGGAUGACCCUUUAUAAGCAUCAGGCUUCUCUCAUACCAGAGCAAUGUAGAAUAUGUUUAUAAACUGUGGAUUACCCUUUAUAAGUUUAGACUUCUUCUAUACUCGAGCGAUGUGGAAUACCUGUAUAAGCAUUAAGCUUCUCUCAUACACUUUAUGUUAAAAAUAAUAAUAAUAAUAAUAAAAUAAAUCCAUUUUAAAAUAGGCUCUUUUUUUCUUUUUUUAUAUAAACAAAAUGCAUUCUUCAAAUCAAUAGUGGGUGGAAGAAGUGAGUAGAGAAGGACUAGGCCCCUUCAUUCCGCCUAAAACCUCACCGAAACCUCUCUUGUGAACUUCUCAGAUUCUCUCUCAAUAUUUCUUAUGAUCUCGUUUUUGAUAGAAUCACUUCUAUUGCAUGCUGCAUUUUGUGCGUCGUUUUUGGGUAAUAUCUUAUCUGGAAUGCUGUUAUGAUCAAUAGAACAAGUAAUCAAUUUUUGGUUUGACGGAAGUCGAUUUAUUUAUUUACUAUUGUUUUUUAUUUGAAAUUUUGACAGUUGUGUUUCAUUCAUUUCUUUCCUUCUUUUUUUAUUUUAUAUUUAUUAUGUAUAAUUGUGUUUCAUUUGAUAUUGAUCAUACUGUAGAUAACUAUGUGAUUGUAGCUGGGGAUUUUAAGUUUUGUGAAUUCAAGAAACUGUCAAAAUGCUAGUGAAAUUGGGACCUUUAUUCAUAAGCUUGUGGUUUUCAAAAGUAGCCGGGUUCAACUGAUGAAGUUCCUUUUUGGGAUUCUUUUUUUUCUAGGCUGCAAUUCGGAUAUGUACCUGAUAGACAAUCUUUUGUGAGUUUAGCAUAUCUUCUCCGAUUUUGUCUUUUAUUCCCCAACUUUACAGCUACACACCAUGAAUGCUGGGUGAUUGUACAGAAAAUUUGUGUUAGAACAAAAGCAUUGUGAAGGAGUUUCUGUGCUAUAAGUUAUUGGCUUCAGCUUUAUUGGCAUUAAUUGGGUAGAUUAUGUGUUACAGUGAUUCAAUUUGUGAUCCACACUUUAAUUUUCUCUUUUCCCCAAUUAUUUAUGUCAAAUUCAAAUCCAGAAGCAUGCGCUGAUUUUUUUUUUUUUUUGUGAUAAUCUGUGAAGUUUAUUUGGAAAGGACGUAUCUGGGUUUAAUGGAUUAAAUUAUGACAUUGAGGGAAAGGCACUAAAGGUUUUGCUUGACACAUUUGGUCUGUGUUUACUCUGCAAUAAAUAGCUUCGCUUAUCAGAAAUCCCUAUUUGGCUGGUGAAUUUCUCUGUGACAGACAGGCAAACACCUAAACCGCUUCUAUCCAUUUUUCUGCUGGUGAGGUAAGGGGUAAAAAGUCUUCAAAAUCAUCAAAUAGUAACAUCUCUGAGAAUUGGUUUUAGAAAAAUGGAAAAUCUAGACCUACUAGGACAAAAUGGCGUCCGGUAUCAGGAGGUACCGUUUCAAGUUUUCUUGGUAAAGAAUAUAUUAAACCUGCGCAACCAGCUAAUGGCACUUUUCUGGCAUCAAAGCCAUUGAAGUUGGAUCUAAAGGAGUUUUCCCAUGCCUGCAUUGUGCAGAGAAGAAACUAAACAAAAACAAUCAAAGAAUGACCAUUUGCAGAAGGAUACGGAAGAUUUUCUAUUUAAAUUGUUAGGAGAAGGGUCCCAGCUGAACAGGGAUGUGAUUCAGGAGGUUCUCGGUAAUGUCUUAAAUAUACUGAUGCCAAUUUAAUACAUAUUGUCCUUUUCAAUGUUCUUUCUUUCUUUCUUUUUUUUUUCCUUCUUCUUCUUUUUCUUUUCGUGUGCAUGUGAUCACUGAUUUGGUAUUAUGCUUAAGUUGCAGAUAGCUGUGGAUUUGAUAUGCAAAAGGUAAGGACUAUAUCUUCCUGAUGUAGGCCUCUGCUUUUUCCCCUUCUAUGUAAUUUAGUAAUUCACAUCUUCCUUUGUGAUUGUUAUAUCAUAUCGAAGUCAAGUCUUAAAUACUGCUGUCAUAUGUGAAGGUUCAACUUGCAUUUUGAUUAAGAUCCAUUUGCUGCUGCUUCCAAAAGUGAGAAUGAGAUACUUUGGUUAAUUUCAGUGGUUGAACCCAAUAGAGAACUUUAUUUAGAUCUUCAUGGUUCAAAGGCCUGAAAAAACUUGCCCGUAAUUGUAAAAUGACAUUCUGUGCUUUUUAUGCAAUAGGGAACAGGGAAGUAGAGCUUUGGAAAAGCCUGGAUUGAUAACUAUGGAGAGACUUAUUAUUUAAGUGAUGAAAAAUUCCCAUCGCCCGCAGUCAAGAAAAUUUCAGAUAGUUAAAGACUCCAUUUUGCUUCAGCCAAAAAUGUUUGUUUCAAUUAAAGACUUGAACCAUUUUCAUUGAACCUGAUUGUGAUCCUUUACGUUAUGCAUGUUCCUCUCAAUCAAGAAAAGUUGAGGUCAUGAUUCUAUAUUUCUAUAUUGUAACUUGAAAUAAUAAUUGGUCUACUUGUUUCUGUAUCUUGAUAAUAUGAAUUUUCCUUCUCAAGUUAAUUUGUUCAAUAAAGUAAUUCUUCAAAGAAAAUAUGCCCAUUCUAUAAUCAUUUUCUUAGCUCAGAUGUUUUUUCUUCACUCUUCAGAGCAUGUCAAAACUAAUUGAUCGCUUGGCAGAUACUUUGGGUAAGAAGACAAAAUUUCUUGGUAAAUCCUCGGAAAAGGUAUGCAUAAUUCCCGAGUAUUAAAUAACCAAUAGUCAUAAUUUUUGUACAUGACUCUUUUUUCUCUUUUUUGUGGAGAUCAUUAAAAUUGGUUGAUGAUCCAUUUUGUAACAUCAUAGAGGGAUCAUCAAUUCCUUCUCUUUUCUGUGGCUAGGCAACACUUUCAGGCCAAAGUAAGAAAAUCUAUUUUAGGUAAUGUGAAAACCAACGGUAGGAUGUAAUAGUUUAUUAUGCACUGACAAUAACUUUUUGUAUGGUUGGCAGUUUAAUGAAUACAAGAGGAACUUUGUUGACAAAUUCAUCCAAGAUAGAUGCUAAAAUUAUUUAUGCAUGCCAGUUGCCUUAACUAAUUUUUCUUAACACUUGUAUUGAACAGGAAAAUGAAUAAGCAAUCUGUAUAUUGUGCCAUUGUGGAGUAUUUGGAUAUUCUGAUUUAAAUAACAAGGAGAAUACUUGCCUCAUCUUUAAAUGAGGAGUGGGGGAUUGGAAGUGUCUUCAUGUAAAUGUUCAUUUAUUUGUAUUUUGAACUAUUAUGAGAAUCUUAUAUGCCAAAUCAGUAAUACAAAUCUUCAGAUGAUUUUUGCUGUUGAUCAUGGGUUUGUGUCUGCACACAACCAUUGUAUAUCACUUUAUUCUGAUGUGCAGGUAUGUGUAGCUUAGAAGAAAUGGAAUAAUAAUCAUCUAUUAUUGCUUGGUUCAUGAUUAUUAAACGAUUAUGGCUUUAAAAAGUCUACAAAUUCCUUCUGUUCAUAUAUGAAUGUGCCAAGUUUGCUAUAUCUUAGAUUAUCUUCUUCCAAGAUAACAAGUUCAUAUUCUUUUUAAUCUUUUUCCCUCACAGUUGACUUUUAGGUGUUAAGAUUUGUUAUUAGUCCCCUGUUAUUAUGAUUUCAUAAACAGUGUACGGAUAUGUGCUCUAACUUUGGAGGACCUCCACAUGAAAGAAAAUUGCAACAAUUGAAUUCUUCCGGAGGGUAUGGUCUUUAAUUUAUUUUCUCAACUUCUCGUAAGAUUAAUAUAUUUCAUUCAGUAGGCACAGCAUGGGGGGAAGGGUUUUUAUUGAAAGAAUUCUGAUAUUUCUUAGACUUUGUUUUGGAAGGGGGGUGGAGGGAUUUCUCAUCCAUGUAUGGUUACUUGAUUAGCUUUUGACUGUAUUUCCUCAGUCAUGUAAAGGAAGAUCCAAAUACCAACGAAGGAAUAUUGCCUAGACACCCGAAAGACAGAAAUGAGCUACAGAAGCAAGUUUUACUACUUUAUUUAGUGCUCCUGAGAAAUCUGAUGGAGACCGAAUGGAGGUCCAAAGCAUUGGAAAAGGUAGUGAGUGAACCGCCGGAGGAGUUGGCACCAGAAUGCAAGGCUAAUGUGGUGCACUUGCAGCAAGAUAACCAAACCGGUAUGUGCUCUUAUAUUAACUAGACUGACUGGAUUUGUGAGUGUGUGCAUUUUUUUGUGUAUACUCUUGUAUUUAUGCAUAUUAAUGUGUGUAGGAAUUUCUGCCACUUACUGGAGAACUAGUGGAAAGCUUUAUAUCGAUAUAUCUGCAAUAACUAAUUGGAAACUAUGAUAUUAAUAUUUUCUCUCACCUGAGGAACUGUGUAACAGAUAUACUUUGUGGCUCUGGAGUACUAGAAAUUCUGCAAUAACUAAUGGAAACUAUGAUAUGAAUAUUUUAUCUCAACUGGAGAACUUUGUAACUUGUAGCUCUGGAAUGUCUAAGGAAUUUUGUCUGCUUCAGUUAGAUCAAAUAUCUUUUAGUUGCAUACAUUAUAGAAAAAGAUAAAGUUCUCUGAAUCUGAAAGACUGAAACAUUUUGUAUAUUUUGUGAAAGGGAAAUAUCUGUAGAUACUAGUUCAUGCAUUGAGGUAACAUCAAUGUUAAAGAAAAACAGCAAUAAGUUAUUAUGUGGAACUAGGUUCACUUGCUUUAAAUGCUGGUCUGGUCAACCAUAUGAACCUGUAAGUUCUGCAGAAAUAUAUAUACGGGGAGAAACUAGCUAAAUUUUCCGUUCAUUGAUGGCUUUGGUCAUUUUUUUCCCCUUAUUUUUCAGCUGUCCUUCUCCUGAAGUAUGUUAACAACUGCAGAUAAUGAUGAAGAGGACAGCUUGCAGGCUCUUCUUAGAGCCAUGAUGGAAUAUAGGGGCACAAUGAAGGAACAUUGCAAAGCUGUAGGUUCUUUUUCUCCUGUCAUUUAUGUUUUCUCACACAUUUUUUAUAUGCUCCAAGCAUGCAAUUUUGUAUGUGUCAACUGCUUUCUAAGUUUUAAAAACCAUAAUGUAAGAAUACAGUUUCUUGUCAGGCUAUUGAUGCAUUUGCUCAGGGGGAUCAUGUUCGAGCAGGAAAACUUCUAGAACAGACAAGGUUUUCCAUCUACAGCCAUCUAUUGACAACAGAUAUAUUUUCAUUCAGCAAACACUGUUAGCAUUCAAGAUACUGGCAGAUUCACUUGAUUCUUAUUAGUAAUGUUUAGUAGCAAAGGAUAUAACCUGUAUUUCAAAGCCAAGUUGUGCUAUUGAUUAUGUUAGCUUUAUUGUUCACAUAAAGUGAUAUGGAGGAAAUAAUGUGAAGUGAUAUGGAGGAAAUAAUCAAUGUAGGAAAAUUAGGUGAAGAAAUGAUGUCAAAUCUUGAACCUCUUACAAAACUCCAAGCUCUUUACUUGAAUAAGCUACUAAAUUUGAACAGGGUCCACUGGAAGGCCUUGCCAUUCUCUGAUGCAUGCAGAAUUUUUGCAUUUAAAUGCCCAGAGCUUAAGAAGCUGCCACUGGAUCUUGAAAGGGCAGGCCAAGGUAAAAUUCUUAUCAAGGGAAAGGAAGAUUGGUGGAAACAACUUCAAUGGGAGGAUCAAGUAACUCAGAAUGCAUUGCUUCCAUUUUUAAAACAACCAGCAAGUGAUUGAAGGGGGCAUCAUCAACGUCAUCAACAUGGAUGGAGAGAUUCAGGAGCAGAUCAGCAGGAUUUAGUACGACCUGUGGUGGUUUCUUUUUUGUGACUUUUUUCCCUUUCAUUUUUUCACUUCCUGUCAUAUUAUCAUUUCUUUGUCUCUGUUUCUAUUGCUGGUGUUGCUGCAUGCUUGCUGUCCUUGACAAAGUUAGCUAGUUUUUUUUUUUUUAAUUAAAUUUUGUAUGUUCGGUCGGGACAGUCACAAAGUACUACUUGUUCUAUAUGGGGGUGAUGUGAAUCAACUUUUCAAUUAUAUAUUCUGUGGUAAUUGCGAAUUCAAUUUCAUUUGUCUCCAGCAAAUUAUGAAGAAAGUGCAGAGUUACAAUAUGGAGAAGUUCACUGGCAAAUACUUUGUAAAAGCUUCGGAGUGAAACAGGAAAUGCACUUGCAGCUAAGGACAAAUUGGUGGCCAGCUAAUGCCUUCAUUUUAUGUACAUUCAUCUUUUUAAUUAUUGAAGAUAAGUGGUUCGUUGCUUUUGUUAAGAUUAUAAGUUAGCGUCGGUGCAGGAUUUGCAGCAACAAAUCUUGACUAGCCACGUGUCAAAAGCACAAAUAAAUCAAGGGAAAGCACAUGACAUGGAUUAGGAUCUAAUAAAAUUUAAAUCCCAAGGAAAAUGACAACUGCAUUAUGAAGUUUCAAUAAGGGAUACUGACUAAUGAUAUUUUUUGGCUUUAUUAAUAAAAAAAGAAUAUUUUAUAACAAAUUAAAACAUAAUAUUAAGCUAAAUGUGAUAAUUAUAUACAUUUUAAAUAAUUUCAAUAAAAAAACAUUUUAAUGUUUUACGAUCUAUCAUACAUAUUUUAUUAAAUUAAUAUGAAUUUUUUUUUAUAAAUAGCAACAUAAUAUUACAACAAAUUUAUAAGGAUUUAAAUGUAAAAUAAUUUUAGUAUAAAUAAUACGUGGGAUAUAUUUUGUAAAUUAUAAAAUUAUUUAACACAAAGUUUUUUAAAAAAUAUUUAAAAUAAAUAAAAAUAAAUUAUUCACAUCUUGAUUUAAAUAUUUAAAAUAUUUUUAUAUAUUAGUCUACAAUUAUUUAUGUUAUAUUUUUAUUUAUUAGAAAUUUUGAAAGUCAAAUGUUUUCACCUCUAAGAGAAAGACACAUAUGCUUUAUAGCUUUAAAAUCGGUCUGUUUUAUAUCUGGAAACAAAUAUAUCAUUAUUGGUAAGGAUUAAAAAAAGGGAUAAAGAAUAUUAAUGAUUAAUGAAAUCUCUAUGGAAAUUGAAUUUAGUAGGAAAAAAUUGAGCUAAAUGAUUUAGACAUUUAGUGGUAUAGUAAUAUUUUAUAUAUAGAAAUGUAAAAGCUGCACCCGAGGUUAAGGGAAAUGUUCAAAACUCUUUUUUACUCAUAAUACCCUUUGUCCUAACUAACUUACAAAUUCGACUCUAAUAUUUUAUAAUAAAUAAAAAUGUAAUCCUAAAAUAAAUAAAAUAAGAUAUAUUUUAAAAUAAUCUCAAUAUUUAAAAUAUACUUUAAUAUUUUAUAGUCUAUCAGACAUAUUUAAUUAUAUUAAAGUAAAUUUUGUAAUAAAUACAAACAUACUAUUAAAAUAGAUAUAUAAAAAAUUUAAAGUAUUUUGGAUAUUAUAUAAAAGAACUUUAAUAUUGUUAAUACGUGAGAUAUAUUUUAUUAAUUAAAAAUUCUAUUUAACCCAAAGAUUUAUUUAAGAUAAAUUAACAAUCAUAUUUGUGAAAUUAUUUCAAAUAUUAAAAAAUAUUUUAAUAUUACUAACUAUUAGAUAGACUAAACUAUUUAUAUUAUUUUCUAUUUAUUAUAAAAUUUCAAAAUUAAUCUUUUUAACUACUAUUCAAAAGAUAUUAUGAUAAAAAUAAUUUUUUUGUGUUUUUAUUAAAAAUUUGGAAUUUGCAUAACUCUUUUUUUAAAUAUUGGGGUAUAGCUGUCUUUUCCCUUUUAUAUAUACAAACCACAGUGGUGAAAAAGCUUGAUUUAAUGUUAUUUAUUUAAACAACACCGAUAUUCACACCACAUUGAGCACCAUAGUUUUUUUUUUUUUUUUGAAAAGAAAGUACACCUUUCAUUGAAUUAAGAGAAAAGAAACAAAACAUCCUCUGGAAAUUCAUCCAGCCAAAUACAAGGGUCUGACUUUUUGAAAGCCAACUUUGCCAAAUCAUGCGCUAAAAAGUUACACAUCCUAAGGACGUGCUGAGCUUUAAAAUUCUGAAAGAUUUUCUUAGCUUCUAUAAUAUCAAAAAUCACCCAAAAGGUGUCUGUCAAAGUGCUUCUCUUGUUAUUGAUUAGCUCUAUCACCCCUUUAGAAUCAGACUCUAAGAUAACUGAAGUUGCCCCUGCCUUGGCAGCUGCCUGCAUUCCCCACAAAACAGCUUUUGCCUCACUCAACUCCACAUCUCCUGAGCUCUUAAAAGUGCUAACAGCUGCAGCAACUGUUUCUCCCUUAUGGUUUUUAACUACUGCUCCCAGCCCAGCAAGAUAAUUCACCCUAUCCAUAGCAUCAUCAACAUUUACCUUAAGCCAUCCUUCUUCGGGUGGACUCCAUUGGCUUUGCUGAACAUUGUUUUGUUCUGCUAAGAAAUCCUCUUCUGACAUUGAGCACCAUAGUUAAGUACAAAACGGUGCGUUUUGUUCACGCAUGUUAGUAAACACCCACGCAACUUACACACAUACGCGCGGCUCACAACACGCGCUCUCCUCGCCCUAAAUCUCACCUGAUUGAAGCCACAAAUUUGGCCACGUUCUCCCACAGCUCUCUCCGUUCUGACCGUUUACUCUUCCUCUAGCCCCAUCGAUUACAUCUCUCAUAGCACCUCAUUCAACCGACGUAAUUGCCAGAAAACAACCUACCUGGUAAUAAAAGUCGAUUCUCUUACAAUUUUGGCCCAAAAAAAAAAAUUGCACAACUGAAAAAUCAAAAUGCCACUCUUUAAAACCAAAAAUCAAUUUUGGGCCCCCUUCAUCACCGCCUUCACUCUAGAUUUUUUCAAUCCACUUUGUCGUCAAAACCGUGGUGUUCUUAAACCAUUAUUAUAUUCACCAUCCCCUUAAUCACAUCCAACCAUCCCCAUUAUUCGUUUGUCAAACACGCUGUUCUCUUCCCAAAUUAAUUAAUUAAUUAAUGACAGACAGGAACAAAAGUACUUUAAAUCUCUGCCAAAUCGUAUUGUUAUUACUUCUUCCGAGUCGAGGCCACGUCGUUCUCGAUGGAAACCAUUGCUUUUUAUUACCACUCUUGAGGAGUUCGAAGCAUUCUCGACGGAGACCCGCGCAAGCUGUGGAAAGAGAGAGAGUCAACGGUGAAAAGAGAGCAUGGUGAGAUGUGUGAGCGACGGGGGGAGAGAGAGAGAGAAAGAAAGCCGACGGAGAGAGCACAUAGAGCUGAGAUGCGUGAGUUGGGUGAAGAUUUGGUGAGCGUUGUGUCAGUUGCCCGUGUGUUGUGUGAGCUCUGUGCCAUGUGAUAUGCGUGCUACUUUGAGAAUUUAUAGAUAGCACAAAACUCAAUCUAUAUCCAAUUCAUACCUAGAUAGAUGCGGAUUUGACUCAAUUUAUAUCCAAUUCGUCAUUUGCGAACUAAAAAUUUUUAAUUCUCUCAAAUUCACAAACUAACUAAAUAAAUAAAAAUUUAAUAUAAAAAUAACUGUACUACCGAUCAAAUUUAAAAUUAAAUAAUAUUUAAAUAAAUUAAUUGUUUAAAUAAAGUUAGAAAAUACAUUCAAAAUUUUAAAAUAUAACACAGUAAAAAGAAAAAAUCUCAUUUGUUUAGACCUAUGUAUGAAAAUUAAUUGUUUAGGAAUCUAUAUUUAUUUAUUUUUAUAUUAUUAUCGGAUAAGAUAUAAUAUGGUGUUAAUGUAACUAUAUUUUAACUUAUUUAUUUAUAAGACCAAUGCUAUAUGUACAAGUUUAAUUUUUUAAUUAAAUAAAUAUUUUUUUUUGCGGAAUUGUGGAUUUUUGCGGAUUUACAAAAGUAAAUCUAUAUCCAAUCCACCGACUAUGGAUUUUCAAAUUUUCAAAAUUUCAAAUUUUCAAAUUUUCAAAAUUUCAAAUUUUCAAAUUUUCAAUCCAAUCCAAUCCACCAAUUCACAAAUUCGGAUUUUUACGGAUUAGAUUUCUACAGAUUAAACGAAUUGAGCAGACCAUAUUUGAUUUUGAACAUUGCUAAUUUGUAUGUUAAGUAUAACAUAAUCAAUUAUUUGGAUAAUCCCUUGUGUUUUAUCUCUAAUUAGAGCAUCAAUCUUCACAAUAUCUACAAAGCUACAAUGGCUACAAAACAAACCUGCUUGCAAAUUGUCAAGGAUACUUAUCCUUUCUCUUGACAAGUCAUUUGGAAAAAUACUGUCCCUUGGCGGCUCCAUGACUUCUCUGCUCCUCCUUUUGGUCUUAAUGUACGGUUGCAUAAUGAUAGUUUAGGCCCUUUAGGGACUACUUUCCCUGGGGUUGUUAAGUCUUAGCUUGUGCUAGGCUCGUUUUUCUUACCAAAAAAAAAGGGAAUACUUCUCCUAUAAGAAAUAAUCUCUAUAUAUAGGGUGGUUGGAUUCACUUGUUUACAUAACAGAUCAAUUAGUUCUCUGUAAAUAGAGAGUUUCUAGUAUAAGAGAAACGGUAGAUCUAUUGAGAGAUUAUGUGUUAUUAAAAUUUUAGUUGCGAAGAAAAGUACUAGAGUGAUUGUAUUAAUUUUUUACAUAGUAGAUUUUUCUAUCGUCAUCUUUAUGGCUGUGAUUUUUCUUCCAUAUAGAAGUUUCUCACGUAAAUUUUUAUGUUGUGUGAUUAGUUUUAUUCUCUAUCUAUUUUUUGUUUAAUAUUUUAUUUGUAAGAUGCUGGAUGGGAUUAAAAUUUCUUAACAAAUAACGGAUUAAAAAUCAUGAAGAAAAAGCUCAAGAGAUCUUCAAGAUUUGAAGUGUGCAAAAGUUCAUAUUACUGCUAGAUGAUAUAUGGGAGCGGGUUGAUUUAGUAAAAAUGGGUGUCCCUCUUCCUAGAUCAGAAAACAGCACAUCCAAAGUGAUAUUUACAAACCCGUUCUGAGGAAGUUUGCGGCUUAAUGGAAGUUCGUAGGAGUUUUAAAGUGGCGUGCUUAUCAAAUAAAAAUGCUUGGGAAUUGUUUCUAUACAAAGUUGGGGAAGUGAAAGAAAACAGAGAUGUACUGUUUGGUUGAAUAGAAAAUUACAGAGAAAAUUCUCAAUACUUGUAUUUGAUAAGAUUCAAUUCUUAAGAGCUUUUACAAAUCAGUACAAGUAUUUAUAUUAUUCCUUACACGUGAGAAUUGCUAGUAACUCACUAACUAACUAACUUUCUUUGAGCUGGAUCACUAACACUUGACUAAUCACACUGAGCUGUUAUUCUUCACUAACAACCUUCUGCUGACGUGGCUUCACCAAGCUACUUGAAUAAUGAGCAGCCUUGACAGCCCCCCUCAAACUCAAGGGACAAGACAUGACGUUGAGUUUGGCCCUAAGAUAGUUAAAAUGGAUGAAUGAGAGUGGCUUGGUCAUGAUGUCAGCUACCUGCUCCUCACUUGGUAUAUAUUGAAUGUUUAGUUCUCCAGCAAGAACUUUGUUUCUAACAUAAUGAAUAUCAAUCUCAAUAUGCUUUGUUCUUGAGUGGAAAACUGGAUUGUGAGCUAACUCUGUUGCACUGAGAUUGUCACACCAAAUAACAGGUUUCUCUAUGCAUUGUAAUUUCAACUCAGAAAACAGUGAUUGCAGCCAGCUUAUCUCGGCACUUGCUGAGGCUAGGGACCUAUACUCACUCUCUGCACUGGACCUAGCAAUAACAGGCUGCUUCUUAGACGACCAAGAUAUCAGAUUAUGACCAAGAUAGAUGCAAUAGGCUCCAAUCGAUUUUCUGUCAUCCAGAUCCCCUGCCCAGUCUGCAUCUGUGAAUCCUGUUAGUUUCAGAUCACCAUCCUUAAUAAUUUUGAGUCCAUAGUUCUGUGUAGCCUUUAGAUAUCUGAGCACUCUUUUGCAAGCCAUAAGGUGCUGCAGUGUUGGUGCAGAAACGUAUUGACUCAGCUUGUGAACACUAAAGGCAAUUUCUGGUCUUGUUAAUACCAAAUAUUGCAUCCCACCAACAAUGCUUCUGUAAUGUGUUACAUCUUCAACAUAACAACCAAGAUUACCUUGAGCUUCCUUCUGUAGCUUCAUUCCUGUACUCAUAGGAGUAUCAAUAUCUUUGCAAUUUAUCAUCUCAACUCUUGACAGCAGAUCCCUUAUGUAUUUCCUUUGAGAUAAGAAAAUACAAUCUUUAUCAUACAGUACUUCAAUGCCUAAGAAAUAAGAGAGAACUCCAAGAUCCUUCAAAGCAAACUUUGUACUGAAUUCUGUAAUGAAUUUUUCCAGCUCAAAGCUAUUUGGUCCUGUUAUUAAAAUGUCAUCAACAUAUAUAAGAACUAGAAUCAUAGAUGACUUAUUUAUUUUCAAGAAUAAGGAGGUAUCUGAGCUGGAAUUUGUGAAUCCCCACUGCAACAAACAGCCUUUCAACUUAUCAUACCAAGCUCUUGGAGCUUGUUUAAGUCCAUAAAGAGACUUGUGAAGCUUGCAUACAAAGUCUGGUUUCUCAAAGCUGAUAAAUCCCUCUGGUUGAUCCAUGAACACUUCCUCUGUUAAGUCUCCAUUAAGAAAGGCAUUAUUCACAUCAACUUGCCUUAUCUUCCACUGAUUCAUCACAGCUAAACUCAAGACUACUCUUACAGUUGCUGGUUUUAUGACAGGACUGAAAGUUUCAAAAUAAUUCACUCCUAUAAUUUGUUGAAAUCCCUUUGCAACUAACCUAGCUUUGUAUUUAGCUACACUUCCAUCAGUGUUGUAUUUAACCCUAUACACUCAUUUGUUUCCAACAACUCUUUGAUCAUUUGUUUUUGGCACUAAGGACCAUGUACCACUCUGCAUCAAAGCUGCAUAUUCUUCUUUCAUGGCUGUAAACCAUUUUGGGUUUUGCAUAGCCUCAUAUACAGAAUCAGGUUAUUUGUGAACAAGGGUUGCUGUAUAAAGCUUUGGUUUGAAGAUACCAGUUUUGCUUCUGGUAGUCAUUGGAUGUGUAUUAGGUUGGACUGGAAAAGAUAUAUCAGGUGUAGGUUGAGCUAAUAAGGAUAUGUCAGGUGCAGGUUGUGGUGAAUUUUGAGGCUCUGUAGAUGGUUCAAUAAAUGUGGUAUGUGUUUGUGAAUAGGAAUGUUGAUUGUCAGUAUGAAAUGGAUUAUCUGAAUGUUGUGAACUGCUGCUGGUAGAAAUUGCAGAUAGAGGAUUGCAUGAGCUAUUUCCAUCUGAUACUGGUGUUGUAGAUAAUAUGGUCAGAUGAAACACUGGUUGGGGUGUAAGGGAUUGACUCGAAUAAGAUGAUGAUUCAUUAGAAUGAAAAACUGAGUCUGUAGAAUAAGGAAAUGUUGACUCAUAAAAAACAACAUGUCUGGCUAUGUACAUCUUGCCUGAUGAAUGCAAGCAUUUGUAACCUUUGUGAACUGGACUGUAGCCAAGGAAAAUGCAUUUGCUUGAGUGAUAAUCAAAUUUGUGUUUGUUGUAAUCCCUUAGAUAAGGAUAACAUGUGCAACCGAAACACUUGAGCAUGCUGUAAUCAGGUUUAAGUUUAAAAAUUGUCUCAUAUGGGGUAAGAAGUUUCAGAGCUGUUGAGGGUAAUCUGUUUAUAUGGUAAACAGCUGUAAGAAAAGCAUCCCACCAAAAUUUAAAUGGUAGCUUAGCUUGUGCUAAUAGGGUUAGUCCUAGCUCAACAAUGUGUCUAUGUUUUCUUUCUACCACCCCAUUUUGGUGAUGUGUAUAAGGACAAGAAUGUCUGAAAAUGAUUCCACAUUGGUUUAAGAAUUGAGUAAAUGAUCUGUAUUCUCCCCCCCAAUCAGAUUGCAGGUUUUUAAUGGGGCUGUCAAAUUGGUUUUCAACCUGCAAUUUGAAUAGUUUGAAUACAUCUAAUGCCUCAGAUUUCAACUUAAGAGGAUAAAUCCAAGUGUAUCGGCUAAAAUCAUCAACAAAACUUAUGUAAUAGACAUAGCUAUCUCUAGAAGGUGUAGGUGAGGGUCCCCAUAGGUCUGUAUGUAUAAGCUCAAGGGGUUUUGUUGUUUUGGUUUCUGUGCUGGGAAAAUGCAGCCUAUGGGAUUUGCCCAUUUGACAUGCUUCACAGAUAUGCUCAAGUGUUUGUUUUAUGUUAUUUCUUGAGAGAUUAACUGAAGUAAUUCCUUUUAGCAAAUGCAUUAGAAUUUGAGAAUUAGGAUGGCCAAAACGUUUGUGAAGAAGAAGAAUUUUAUUAUUCAAUGCAUCACAAGAUGAAAUGUAGCUGGAAAAUUUAUUUAUUGAUGCAUUACAAACUGUGACACAACUGGAAUCAUUAUUCUGAGUGUUUUUAAGAACACUUGAAUCAAAAGAACAUGCAGAUAACAUUGACAAAGGUUGAGUGGAUGAAGGUUGACCCAUGUAAGAACAAGGAAGAGACUCAGAUGGUCUUAGAAGUAGCUUAUACAAUCCUUUCUCAGCAAUUCCUGUCAGAAGCACUUGCCUCUUCAGAGAAUCCUUCACAUAGCAAACAUUAUCAACAAAUUCAAUAGAGAUAUUGUUAUCAGCAGUUAAUUUUGAUAUGCUGAGCAGGUUCUUUGUGAUAUCAGGUACUAAUAACAUGUCAUUCAGUAAGAUAUGUGUUGGUUUAUAUGCAGCAUUUGAUCCUUUAUAAGUAAAACAUGGAUUACCAACAUGAGUUAUAGGCAAACCUUGGCCAUUGCCGAUGACAAGUUGAUUAGAUCCUCUGAAUUCCUCUCUGACAUUCAUGUUGGCCAUACUGUUAGUCAAGUGAUGUGUGGCACCAUUGUCAAGGUGCCAUCCUUCAUCAGCAGGCCCUUCAUAGUUGGUAAGAUAGGCUUCAGGAAUUACUGUGUCUGUUGAUGGAUAAGAGGAGAAGGAUAAAGGAUUGUAGCUUGAGUAGGGUGCAGCAUACUGUUCUUCAGUUGAAGGAGCAGCAUAGGUUAGAGAUGGAUCAAAGUUAGCUGUGUAUGCAGCCUUAGAUUCAAAAGAUCUGCCCCUUCCAAAAUGCCUAGGUAAUGGUUGAGGAUUGUCAUCAUAUCUAUGCCAGCAUUCAUCUGCUGCAUGUCCUGUUUUGUGGCAUAUCUGACAUAUGGUUGGUAAUUCAUCAGCAUGCAUGUUAGCUGAAGGAUGAAAGUUUGGCUUCAUAGGUGGCCUAAAAGGUUGCAUCAUCUGGCCCCUGCCAUAACCCCCAACAUUACCAACACCAGGUGAAAAACCUCUGGGAUGUGGAUUGUGAAACAUGCCUCUUCCAACAUUAAAUCCUCUAGUCAUAGGUCGACCAUAAUUUCCAUUUCCAACAACACCUCUUCUAAAAUUUCCUCUCAUAUAAGGAUGAUUCACAUUCAUUGUGCUAUAGUUUGCAUUAAACACAGUUUUGGCACUUUGAUUUUGUUCAAGUCUAGCUUCAUGAGUCAGUAAUAAUGCAUAAGCAUCAUCAUAGCUCAUCUUAUUAGCUGUGAUUAUGGAAGCUAGAUCUAGAUAACCUGAACCUAAGCCAUUCAAAACUCUCAUUAACAGAUCCUUUUCAGUGAUUACAUCACCAGCACAAGCAAGUUUGUUGGCGAGUAAUUUCAUUUUAGCACAAUAUUCCUCAACAUUCAUUGAAUCUUUUCUUAAGAUAUUCAUUUCAUAUCUGAGUUGCAUAAUCUUAGCCUCAGAUUGAACUCCAAACUGUUUUUCAAUAGAUCUCCACACAUCAAAUGAAGUGUCAUAGCUAAGAACAGAACUAAGAAUACCUUCACUUAUAGUUGAGAGCAGCCAGCCAAGGAGUAUUUGAUCUUGUGCUCUCCAGUUGCUGUAGGCUGGAUUUUCAAUGCUCUCACCAGAUCCUUCGAUCAUUGAAUCAACUAGAUACUGUUCUGGAAUAAUUUGCGGCUCUAGAAUGAAUCUUUCAAGGCGAUUUCCUCUGAUUGAAGUUACCACUUGUUUGCGCCAAAGCAAGAAAUUUGAUCGAUCAAGUUUCACAGUUGCAGCAAAAGUAAAUGAUGUUUGUGUAUGUUGAUUUGAGUUUAUGAUUGUUUGAUUUGAGAUUGUAUUGCUUGAGCUGGCCAUUUGUGGCUCUGAUACCAUGAAAGAAAACAGAGAUGUACUAUUUGGUUGAAUAGAAAAUUACAGAGAAAAUUCUCAAUACUUGUAUUUGAUAAGAUUCAAUUCUUAAGAGCUUUUACAAAUCAGUACAAGUAUUUAUAUUAUUCCUUACACGUGAGAAUUACUAGUAACUCACUAACUAACUAACUAACUUUCUUUGAGCUGGAUCACUAACACUUGACUAAUCACGCUGAGCUGUUAUUCUUCACUAACAACCUUCUGCUGACGUGGCUUCACCAAACUGCUUGAAUAAUGAGCAGCCUUGACAGGAAGAAACUUUGAACAAUCAUCCUGAUAUCCUUCAGAAAGCACAAUAGUUGUUAAGGAGUGUGGUGGUUUGCCACUUGCACAUUUUACCAUCGGUCGAUUUAUGGCAUGCAAGAAGACACAGCCGAAGAAUGGAGAUAUGCUAUUCAAGUGUUCAAUUCGUCCGCUUCCCGUUUCCAGGUCUGGAAGAAUGGAUAUAUACUCUUGUAAAAUUCAGUUAUGAUAGUUUACCCAAUGACACAAUUACACCUUGUCUGUUAUAUUGUAGUUUAUAUCCAGAAGAUUGUUGCAUUUCUAAAGAGAAUUUGGUAGAUUGUUAGAUCAGUGAAGGAUUUUUUAAUGAGAGUGAUUGGUUUGGAGAAAAAAUCAAGGAUACUUCAUUUUGGGCAUUCUUCUUCACGUUUUUUUUUGGAAAAGGGAGGAGAUUGUGAAAUGAAAAAUGCAUGCAUGACGUUAUUCGUGAUAUGGCUUUGUGGAUCGCAUGCGACUAUGAGAAGGAGAAGGAGAACUUUUUGGUUUACGCUGGUGUUGGUUUAACUAAGGUACCGGAUAUUAGAGAUUGGGAAAAGGUAAGGAGAUUGUCAUUGAUGAAAAAUAAAAUUGAGAAUCUAUCCGAGGCUCAUACAUGCCCUCAUCUCCUCACUUUCUUUCUUGACGAUAAUGAGUUUCGGAAGAUCCCCGGUGAUUUCUUCCAGUUUAUGCCUUCUCUCACUGUUUUAAACUUGUCAUGUAUUAAACUAAAGUCAGUUCCUUUAGGGACUUCAAGGUUGGUUCCACUACAACAACUCGAUCAUUCAUAUUCAAGCAUAAAAGAGUUGCAAGAAGAGUUAAAUGCCCUGAUUAAAGUUAAAUGCUUGAAUAUAGAUCAUGUAGAGGAGCUAAUUACAGUUCCACAACAACGGAUAUUUAAUUUUUAAGGUUAUAUGUGUUGAGAAUGUUCGAUACUAUUAGUUUAAAUUUUCAAGAAGCAUUAAAUAAAGACAGCAUUUUAUUUGGUGGGGAGGAAGUUUAAGCAGAGGAGUUGCUCGGUUUGGAAUAUUUGGAGGUAUUGAGCUUCACUUGAGAGGUGUUCGUGCUCUCCAAUUUAUUUUGAGCUCACAUAAGCUACGAAGUUGUACUCAAGCGCUGUUCCUCCAAUCCUUCAAUAAUUCGAUAUGGCUUGAUAUUUCACUUUUGGCAGAGUUAAAAGCACCACUGCAGAUUUAAGUAUUUUUGGCUGUAGAAAAUUGGAGGACUUGAAGAUGGAAUAUACAGGGGGAGCGAAAAACAAGCGGCAACCUUGUGUUUUCUAAGGCCUACAUACAGUUCACAUAGAGGUUUGUUCUAAAUUGAAGGACUUAACAUUCCUUGUUUCUGCUCCAAAUCUCAAGAACUUGGAAAUACAAAAUUGCCCUGCUGUGGAAGCAAUCAUCAGUGUGGGAGAAUUUGCGGAAGCUCUAGAGGUGGUGGAAAAUCUAAACCCAUUUGCAAAACUCCAGUAUCUUGGACUAGAAAAUCUGCCAAAUGUGGAGAGCAUCUAUUGCAAGCCUCUGCCCUUUCCAUGUUUGAAAAGAAAUGACUGUGGAUAGUUGCGGUUGUCUUAAAAAGCUUCCACUCUACUCCAACAGUGUAAAAGAGUGUACAAUUGUUAUUUCAUCAUUCGGAGAGUUAAUGGUGCAAUGAGAUUUGGCAGUUAACUCUCGUGGGAAGAGCUUGAAUGGGAAGACGAAGCCACUCGAAUUGCUUUUCAUUCAUGUUUCAAAUCUCUGAUUGGAUUGGAGAUUGCAUUUCGCCUCAGGUUCGUACUUUUCUUGAAUUUUUCUUGUUAACUUCAUUUGUUCAUUUAUCCAUUUUUUUUUAAAGGAAUCAGAAGGGUUAAUAAUUUUGGUUGUGUUAGGUCGACUUCUAAUCACGAGGCAGAAGGAGUUGAGAUGAAGUUUAAUUUUGGUGGAGAAAUUGUUUGAUUUAAAAAAUUUAAAUGAGUUGACCAUCAUUCUUUAGCAUAUUUGUAUGAACAGGAGUGUGUAAAUAUGCAAACUGUCCAGCUGUAUGUGUAUAGCGUAAUAAUUUUGAGGAGUUAAAACAUUGAAGAAUAUUGAUGUUUCCAUUGUCAAACCAAAUAUACUUAAUUACUUGAGGAUAAUGAUUACUGCUAAUACAUUUGCUAAUACAUUUGCAAAGAAAAAAACAUGCCUAUUGAAAAACUCAUCUUAUUAGCAACAGCAUUAUAAGUAGUAUCCAAUCAUAGUUUCAUGCAAGAUUUUGAGAUUUUUCAAAUGCUGAUUCCGGGAAUGGAGAUUAAUAGAUAAUGGAGACAGGUUGACUGCAAUGGCUAAUUGCAAGAGGGAAUUUUAGUCGUAAAAACAGACCAACUAGCAAAGCAAAUUCCAAAUCUUGGAAUGAAGUGGCAAAAAAACGAAACAAACAAAUGGCAAGAGGAAGUGACUAUACAAUAAUAACAUCGACUUGCAAUUCAACAUUUAUACAGUUUUACUCACCAAGAAAAGAGAAAAUUACAAUAGCAAUUUGGCUACUAGAAGAUGUUCAUUCAUGCUUAUGCCUGUCAUAUGGAUUUGAAACAAGGAGUAAAAGCAUUUAGAGUGGCUUCAUCCUUCCACUGCAGCUCAUUCCACCAGUGUUGCUCUCCCCUAAUAACAAGUUUGCGUUCCUUGGCGCUGUUGUAAUCGAGUGGAAGCUUCUUGAGGUUCGGGCAUCCAGAUACAAACAAUUCUAAGAGAUUUGGAAAGUGCACUUAAAUUCUUAUGAAUUGCUUAAGUAUGCAAGCAGCAGAGCAGAAAACAAACAACCUUUUCAUAUAUUAUAAUAACAUGAAUAAUCAGAUAUACACAUCCUUCACAUAUUUAUACUAAACGUGAAAAAUGGUAGCUUGCUCAAAGGGAAAACAGAAAUGAAUAAAACAAAAGAUUACAGCUGCACUAGCCAAUCAUUGGAAACAUUCUAGAAACUCCAGCUUGCAGUAUUCACGUGUAAAUAUUCUCCUGCAUAACAGUUUUGCCAGCUCAUUGAAUACACCUCAACUUCUUCAUCAGCUGGUUGCUGGAUAUGGCUGCUCAGGUGGCAUGCCAGCAUGGCCUUUGGGUCAAUUGUUGACUCAUCUUCAUAAUCUGAAUUCUCAACACCCUCUCUCAAACUUAAGGUCUUGUCGAAGACAUUAAGUUUGCUUCUAAAUUGACUGAACUUGUAAUAAGGCAAUGGCUUGGUUAAUAUGUCUGCAACUUGAUCUCUGCUGGCUACAAAACUGAUUUCCAGCUCUCCUUGAGUGACUUUGUCUCUAAUGAAAUGAAGGUCUAUCUCAAAAUGCUUUGUCUUUGAGUGAUACACUGGAUUUGUGGCUAUUGCUGCUGCACUUGUGCUAUCACUUAAGAUCAUUGGAACUCUUUGCAUCUUGAUUUCCAAUUCACCAAACAGAGAAUUUAUCCAAGUGAUUUCAGUAGUACACAAAGCUAUGGCCCUGUACUCGGACUCAGCUGUCGAUCUUGCUACCAUGCCUUGCUUUAUUGAGCUCCAAGCUACUAAAUUGUCUCCCAAAAACACACAAUAUCCACUUACUGAUCUUCUGUCAUCUGGAUCACUAGCCCAGUCAGCAUCAAUAUAGGCUAUCAAAUCUAGAUGUUCUGACUUCUGGAACUUUAAGCACAUGUUUGCAGUGCUCUUUAGGUACCUCAACACUCGUUUGCAAGCUGUCCAGUGAGAUUGUCUUGGGUCAGACAGGUAUUGGCUAAGCUUGUUCACAGAAUAUGCAAGCUCUGGUCUUGUUAGAACAGCAUAAUGUAGACUUCCUACAACACUCCUAUAAAAUGAAGGAUUGUCAAGUUUGGUGCCUUCACCCUUCUUUAGUUUCUCUGCUGUGCUGAAAGGUGACUCUAUUCCCUUGCAAUUCUCCAUCUCUGUUUUAGCUAAUAGGUCUUGAACAUAUUUAGCUUGAGAGAGCAAAAUGGAGUUCUGAUUUCUUAUAACAUGUAUCCCAAGGAAGUAGCUUAAAUUUCCAAGAUCUUUCCACUUAACUUUCCUAUCACUUCCUCAAUACCCUUGCUGUUAUUUCCAGUCACAAUUAUGUCAUCUACAUACACAAGCACAAUGAUUAUUUCAGCACUGCUUCUUUUGAAGAAUAGAGAAAUAUCACACUUGGAGUUGUUGAAUCCCCAAGAGCACAGAGCAUUCUUUAAUUUGUCAAACCAUGCUCUGGGUGCUUGUCUCAGUCCAUAAAGAGCUUUCUUGAGCUUGCAUAUGUGGUUUGGUCUUCUCCUAUCCUCAAAUCCCUCAGGUUGUGGCAUGUACACUGUCUCUGUCAAAUCUCCAUUCAGAAAUGCAUUAUUUAUGUCAACCUGCCUCAACAGCCAAUCAUUACUUACAGCCAAAGUUAAAAUGAUUCUGAUUGUUGCAGCUUUGACCACAGGGCUGAAAGUCUCAUUAAAGUCAAGUCCUGGUGUCUGCAGAAACCCCUUCAAGACAAGUCUAGCUUUGUAUCUAUUUAUGGUGCCAUCUGGAUUUUCCUUUACUUUGUACACCCAUUUGUUGCCAAUGAGUUUGUAGUUCUGGUCAUGUGGAAUUAAGGUCCAGGUUUGGUUUUUGACAAGAGCAUUAUAUUCAUCCUCCAUUGCUCUUCUCCAUUUAGGAUCUUUCAGUGCCACAGUGGAGUCAGGGGGUAAGGAAGUUUGAGAUUGAGUGGAUAUUUGAUAAACCUUUGGCUUGCAAAUCCCUGCUUUUGACCUUGUGAUCAUGGGAUGUAAGGAGGCUUGAGUGUUUGGUUAUGUUAUGAGAGGCAAGGUGCAAUUUUCUACUGAGGUGUUUGGUGAGAGUUCAACAGGUGAGUGGUUGUCUGAUAUAGAGUUGAAGCUCAAAUUCUAACAAGCUCCAUCUUAACUAAAACUUGGGAGCUGUUCUGAGUUUCCAGCAGUGGCCUGAGAUUAACUAUGAGCUGCAUUUUGCUGUGUUGACUCAGGGGGAACAGUAGUGGAGAAAGAUACAACUUGAAAUUUUUCUAGAACUGUGGGGGAAUCAUUUUGGUCAGUGAGCCUUUGCUUGCAGAAAUUUGAGUCAUUUUGAAAAGGGAAUGAAUGAUCAUUAAAUUGACACUGGCUGAAAUGUAGAUCCUCCCAGAAUGAUGCAUGCAAAUGUAACCUUUGUGACUGAUGCUAAUGCCUAGUAGUGUGCACUUGAAAGUGUGAAAAUCAAACUUAUGCUUGUUGUAGGGUCUUAAGUAUGGAUAGCAUUCACAACCGAAAACUUUAAUUUGGGAAUAAUCUGGUUUGGUGAGAUAUAACAGCUCAAAUGGAGUUUUAUUUUCAAGAAUAGGUGAGGUUAAUCUGUUUAUGAUGUAGGUGGCAUAGCUGAAAGCUUCUUGCCAAUAUCUCAAAGGCAUUUUUGCUUGGGCUAGUAAUGUUAGGCCAGUUUCCACAAUGUGUCUGUGCUUUCUCUCCACCUUUCCAUUUUGUUCAUGUAAAUAAGGGCAUGAGUGUCUUAAGGCUAUUCCUUCUUUCUUGAGAAAGGGUUCGAAAGUUUUAAACUCCCCACCCAUGUCUGUUUGUAAAGCCUUGAUUCUUAAAUUUAGCUGAUUUUCUACUUGGUUUUUAAACACAAUGAAUGUGUCAAGGGCCUGUGAUUUUGUUGUUAAGGGAAACAACCAUGUGUAUCUUGUCUUGUCAUCCACAAAUGAUAUGUAAUAUCUGUGUCCAUGGGUAGAUGGAAUAGGUGCUGGUCCCCAGAGAUCACUAUGUAUUUGUUCUAAGGCUGUGCUGGUCUUGGUUUCAAUGCUUUUAAAGUUUAGUUUUGAUUGCUUUCCAUACUGACAAGCAUUACAGAAUGAGGGAAAUAUAUUUUUAUUUAAGUUGAGCUGAUUACAAGAUAAUAGAGUAUUUUUCAGAACUGACUCAUUUGGAUGCCUCAGCCUAUGGUGCCAGAGAUCUAUUUCAUUUGUUCUAAGAUCCCUACUGCUUGUAUCAGCUCUACUGGACUCGACAACACUGGCACCAACACUGGCACCUAAAGACUCAUUACUACUGAAAUUGAAACAUGCCAUUGACAUUGGAUUGCUAAUGCAACUUAUUGACUUGGGUAUUGGAAAUGAAGAUAACUCAGCAGCAUAAGUAACCUUGUUGCCACUCAAAUGAGUUGGCAUGCAUAGCAGCUCAUAUAGUCCAUCUCUAGCCACUCCUUUCACCAGAAUUCUCCCUUGGCUCUUGUCCUUGAUGAAGCAAACAGAUUUUUGAAACUCAACAUCAAUAUCAUUAUCAUGAAGCAAUUUGGAAACACUAAUGAGAUUUUUGGUAAUAUCAGGUACAAACAAAAUAUGAUUUAAUUUGAUGUGUUUGUGUGGACUGUAAGUGGGCAAUAUAGAAUAACCAAUGUGAGAGAUAUGAAGUUUGUUACCAUUACCAACAGUGAGCUUGUCAUUACCUUGGUACUCUGAGUUCAGGUUCAUGUUUCCAAUAGCAUUGGUCACAUGAUUUGUGGCACCACUGUCAAGGUACCAGGCAUUGCUGUUUUGUCCUUCUGUUGUGGCCAUGUAGGCUCCUCUCCUCCUAUUUAGCUGUGGCACAUAAUUUUUCUUAAACCUAUGCCAGCAUUCAACAGCUGUGUGCCCCAUUUUGAAGCAGAUUUGGCAUGGACCCUUUGAUUCAGAACCUUCACCUUCUGCAGCAGCUUUGCCUUUGCCUUUGUCUUGAAUAUUUUGAUUUCCCUGACCAUGACCACCAUUGCCACCAUUUCCAGUGCCACCACCAGGAUUUCUGAAGACUAUCCCAGGUUGUUGCUGACUGCCAAAUCUUUCACCAUUGCCCCAGUUCCUCCUGCCAUUUCUCAUCUGUGUGAAGUUAGCCUCAAGAAUCCCUGGGCUGAGAUUUUGCUCAGUCCUGGUUUCUUGGCUGAGGAGCAUGCUGUAGACCUCUGACAAUGAAGGAGUUUCUGGCAUAGAGUUAAUGUUAGUGACAACAGAGUCAUAUUCAGAUCAUACUCCAGCUAAGACACACAUAAUAAAGUCCUCAUCACUCAUGUUAUUUCCAGCUGCUCUGAGUGUAUUUAGGAUAGUUUUCAUCAUGGAGUAAUAAUCAUGGAUUGUAAGAGAGCCCUUUUUAGUGGUUUGAAUCUGUGUCCUCAAAUAUAGGAUUCUAGCUCUUGUUCUUGCACCAUACUGAUUGGUAAGAGUUGUCCAAACUUCAUGUGAAGUAGAACAAUCCACCACAGUGCCGAGGACACCCUCACUGAGAGAUGAGAGCAACCAGCUCAAAAGAAUGUGGUCCUGUUUCUUCCAGAUUUGAUAUUCUGGAUUUUGGUGGGUAACGGUAGCUUGGUUAGGUCCAGGACUGGUGAAAUAUCUGGGGGGACAGGUAUAGCUUCCAUUUAUGAAGCCUUCAAGCUCAUUUGCUCGUAUGCUGGAGACCACUUGUGAUCUCCAGAGCAUGAAAUUGUUCUGUGUUAACUUGAUGGGAGUGGUGAACACAUAUGUGUUGCUGGUGAUAUGUUGGGUAGGAGAUGGGUUCAUUAUGGUCACAUUUCUUGUGUUAUUAUCUGGAUUCUGAUUGUCGAUAUUUUCAGGUUGGUUUUGAUUCAAAUCAUUUGGUUGAUCAUCUGGAUUUUCCAGAGUUUGAUUCAUGUUUGUUUGUGAAUUUCUGCUGCUUUCCAUAGCUCAAAAGUUGCUCUGAUACCAACUUAAAUUCUUAUGAAUUGCUUAAGUAUGCAAGCAGAAGAGCAGAAAAAAAAUAACCUUUUCAUAUAUUAUAAUAACAUGAAUAAUCAGAUAUACACAUCCUUCACAUAUUUAUACUAAACGUGAAAAAUGGUAGCUUGCUCAAAGGGAAAACAGAAAUGAAUAAAACAAAAGAUUACAGCUGCACUAGCCAAUCAUUGGAAACAUUCUAGAAACUCCAGCUUGCAGUAUUCACGUGUAAAUAUUCUCCUGCAUAACAGUUUUGCCAGCUCAUUGAAUACACCUCAACUUCUUCAUCAGCUGGCUGCUGGAUAUGGCUGCUCAGGUGGCAUGCCAACAUGGCCUUGGGGUCAAUUGUUGACUCAUCUUCAUAAUCUGAAUUCUCAACAAUGCAUUCAAACAGAUCUUCUUCAAAUUUCUUAGAACUUGCAACCGAAGAUAUUGGAGUUUCGCAAAAGGUUUUAGCCCUGUAACUUCUUCCACUUUCCAAACACUGAUUAUUUCUUCCAUCUCAUAACAACGUUCUACAUGGACCAUCUUCAGAUUUGGGGCAAAAACAAGCCAUGUCAUCUCCCUCAAUUUACUGCAAUAGUCUAUGGUAACACUUUGAAGGCUGUUGAAACCAUAAGUUCUCUUGUUGUUUGAACUUCUGCAUAGUCAACCUUUAGCUCUUCCAAACUUGUACAAUACACAAAAUCUAGUUUGUCAAGAUACUUGAGAUCUGCUAUGGACAAAAUAUUCCAUGACCUUGAAUCCUCACAGCGUCGAAGCUCUAAAGCAUAUUUACAACUCUUGUACUGUUGGCAGCUCAAAAGUCUUCGUAGAGCAUAAAAACUUCUUAACGUGACGCUUAAUACAUUUAAAUGUUCCAAAGUAAUCAACUCCUCUACCAAAAUUUCACUACCACCAAAUAGAACGCUAUCUUCUGGUACUGUAUUAGCAGAGCCACAAUCUAGCAUCCUCAACACCUUUAACCCAGAAAAAUUACAAAGCAGUUGCCGUGGAAUCGUAUGGAGAUAACGCAUGUACUCCAAGUUCAAACACUUUAGAUUUUUCAAGGCUUUUAAUUCAUGUGGUAACUCUUUGAUGAAAGUUUCUGAAAGAUUAAGAUAUUGUAGUGAAACCAAUUUUGAAAUUCCUGAAGGCAAUUGACUCAAGGAGCGAUUCUUUGAUAGGUUUAAAACUUUAAGAGAAGGCAUAAAAUCGAAGAAAUCACUAGGGAUAGUAUCUAACAUAUUAAUGCCGAGGAACAAAGUUAUAAGAUGAGGGCAUAUUGGAGUUAUUGGUAAAAUCACAAUUUUAUUUCUCAUCAACGAUAUCCUUCUCUUAUCUUCCCAUUGUUUAACCUCGGGUGGUUCAGUUAAUUCAAUACCGGCAGAAACCAAAAAGUUUUCAUUCUCCACUUCACAGGCUAUCCACAAGGUCAUAUCACGAAUCACAUCAUGCAAUUUUACAUAAUCUGAUCCUGCUUCUUCCAAUAGGCAUGCAUGAACAAGAACACCAAUAAUGUAGUAUCCUUGGUUAUGUACUCCAUUAAUUCCUUCAUAUUCCUUCAGAAAACCCUCACCAAUCCAACACCCUAUCAAUUCAAUUUUGCUAAUUUGAUAAUCCUCAGGAAAUAAACUACAGUAUAACAGACAAGAUCUAAGGACGUCACUAGACAAACUAUCAUAACUGAAUUUUAAAAGACGAAACACCUCUUUCUCCAUACCUGGAAAUUCAUAAGCUGAUCUCCUUAACAUCUGAAUUGCAUAGCUCCAUUCUUCGGGUGUCUUCUUGCUGCUCAUGGCACGACCGGUGGUAAUAAGUGCAAGUGGCAAACCACUACACUCCUUUGCCACAGUUUUGGCUAACUCCGGAAUAUCGGGAUGACUUUCAAGAGUCUCUUCUCCGACCUUCUUUAGGAACAAUUCCCAAGCAUCUUGAUCUGCCAAACACUCCACCUUGAACUUUUUUUGAGCUUCCAUGAGGCCACAGACGUCCACAAGACGAGUCGUAAAUGUUGAAAGUCAUGGCUGGCGCCGGCCAUCUAGAUGGCCGGUGCCAACCAUUCAACAUUCAACACGGCCCGCCAUUAUUGGUGGUGCCGUGUUGAAUGACUCCAUAAAAAAAAAAAAAAAAAAAAAGAGCCAAAAUUUUGGCUAUAUAAAGAGGGCUUCCCACCCUCAUUUAUAAUCCAAUCUUGAGAGAGCAAUUUAGGGAGUUGAGAGAGAGUUUAAGAGCUUGCAUUUAUAAGCUCUUAUUUUAGUGAUUUGAGAGUUUGGGUGUAUUGGGGUUUUGGGUAGUGAGCUAAAAUACUACAAUACUUGUAACUCCUUUUCACUAGUAAAAUAUUUCCUUCUGUCUUUGCCCAUGGACGUAGGCUAAAAGCCGAACCACGUAAUUUCUGGUGUCCUCUAUUGUGCUUGUUCUUUAUUUUAUUUCCAAUUUCAUUUUAGCUGCGGUCCUGCUUCACCCACCAAUUUCCUAACAGUGGUAUCAGAGCUAUUGGUUGUAUUUUUGGAGUCGGGAACUGUUCACGUAAGGGGUACUAUUCACGUAUACGACACUAUUCACGUAUACUGUACUGUUCACGUAUACGGGUUUGUUCACAUAUACGGUACUGUUCACGUAUACGAUACUAUUCACGUAUACGGUACUAUUCACGUGAAACGGGGAAGCGAUCCAAGAAUUUUCCGGUGCAAAGCAGGGAAUAGUAGUGUGAGAAAAGCAACUGUGGUUUUGUACAUGUCUAGGAAAGUUCUGUCACAAAGGCGAUAAGAGCUUAAGGAGUCUGGGUUUUAAGUGGGACCAUUGUGACCCCUCCAGUCUUUCCUGGGAACUUUCCUGGUGUGCAUUCUCACACAUACUCACAACUAUUCAAGGUGGUAUACUAGCUUGUGUGCAGUAUUUAUCAACAAAAUGGCGGCAAAGUAUGAAAUUGAGAAGUUGAACGGAAAUAAUUUUUCGUUGUGGAAAAUGAAGAUGAAAGCUGUAUUGAGGAAAAAUAAUUGUUUGGCAGCAAUUGGAGAAAGGCCCAUGGAGAUAACUGAUGACAAGUGGAACGAGGUAGACGGUAACGCCAUUUCUGAUCUACACUUGGCACUUGCGGAUGGUGUAUUAUCUAGUGUGGCAGAGAAAAAUACGGCGAAGGAAAUAUGGGAUACUCUCACAAAAUUGUACGAGGCCAAGUCACUACACAACAAAAUCUUCUUGAAGAGAAAACUAUAUACUCUUCGAAUGGCGGAAUCUACAAUGGUGACCGACCACAUCAACACUUUGAAGACUCUAUUUUCACAACUCACAACGUUGGGUCAUAAUAUAGAGGAGAAUGAACGUGCAGAGCUUCUACUUCAAAGUCUACCAGAUUCGUAUGAUCAACUCAUCAUCAACCUGAUGAACAACAAUCCAGUGGAAAGUCUAGUUUUCGACAAUGUUGCAGCCUCCGUAUUAAAUGAGGAGAGCAGACGGAAAAAUAAGGAAAACAGACAAGCAAGUUCGCAGCAAGCAGAGGCGCUAUCGGUGACGAGAGGGAGAUCAACGGAACGUGGCCCCAGUGGGAGUCAAAGUUAUGGUAGAUCAAAAUCCAGAAGUAAGAAAAAUGUUAAAUGCUACAACUGUGGCAAGAAAGGGCACGUCAAGAAAGAGUGUUGGAGUAACCAGAAGAGAAGAGAGGGUAAAGAACCUGAGUCAUCAAAUGCUCAGGGGUGUGUAGCAAGUACCUCGGAUGAUGGCGAAAUUCUCUACAGUGAGGCAACAACUGUUUCAGAAGGCAGAAAACGACUUUCUGAUGUCUGGCUUAUAGACUCAGGAGCUACCUGGCACAUGACCUCUAGGAGAGAAUGGUUCUACACAUAUGAACCUAUCUCAGGAGGAUCUGUAUAUAUGGGUAACGAUCAUGCCUUGGAGAUCGCUGGUAUUGGUACUAUCAAAAUAAAAAUGUUUGAUGGUACAAUUCGCACAAUUGGGGAGGUACGACAUGUCAACGGCCUAAAGAAAAAUCUAUUGUCUUUAGGACAAAUGGAUAGUCAUGGGUACAAAACUCAUGUGGAGAAUGGAAUUAUGAAGAUCGUUAAAGGCGCGCUUGUAUUAAUGAAGGCAGAAAAGAUCAGUGCUAAUCUAUUCAUGCUUAAAGGAGAAACACUACAGGAGGCUGAUGCGUGUGUCGCGUCAAAUGGAGAAGAAUCAACGAUGAUGUGGCAUCUCAAACUCGGCCACAUGUCAGAACAAGGCUUGAAGAUUCUCUCUGAGCGAAAAUUGCUUCCGGGGCUCAAAUCAGUAAGUUUACCAUUUUGCGAGCAUUGUGUUAUAAGUAAGCAGUAUAGAUUAAAAUUCAGUAGAUCUAUUGCUAGAAGUAAAUGCAUUCUAGACUUGAUUCAUUCUGAUGUUUGGGAAUCACCGGAUAUAUCCAUGGGAGGUGCAAAGUACAUGGUGACUUUCAUUGAUGAUUAUUCCAGAAGAUGUUGGGUGUAUCCAAUUAAGAAAAAGUCAGAUGUAUUUCCUGUGUUUAAAGAAUACAAAGCGCGGGUGGAACUUGAAUCUGGUAAAAAGAUCAAGUGCUUAAGGACAGAUAAUGGUGGAGAAUAUACAUACGACGAGUUUCUUGCUUUCUGUAAGCAAGAAGGUAUUCAGAGGCAAUUCACGGUGGCAUACACUCCUCAACAAAACGGAGUAGCAGAGCGGAUGAACAGAACUCUUACAGAAAGAAUAAGAGCUAUGUUGAGGACUGCUGGUUUACCCAAUUCAUUCUGGGCAGAAGCAGCCAAAACCGCCUGUUAUAUAGUAAAUCGGUCGCCAUCUACAGCUAUUGGGUUGAAGACAGCGAUGGAGAUGUGGACUGGAAAGCCAGCUGAUUAUUCCUACCUACAUGCAUUUGGAUGUCCUGUGUACGUGAUGUACAAUGCCCAAGAAAGAACAAAGCUGGAUGCAAAAUCUAGAAGAUGUAUCUUCUUGGGGUAUGCUGAUGGAGUAAAGGGGUAUCGUCUGUGGGACCCCACUGCCCAUAAGAUCGUCAUCAGCAGAGAUGUUAUCUUUGUAGAAGAUCAACUACAAAGAAAAGAUGGAGAUGAUGGCACUGUAAAAGAAAAGUCAGAGACUGUACCAGUAUAUGUCGAAAAUAAUCUAGAAGAUUCAGAUUCUUCUGAAGCAGCACCAGAGCACGAGGAACAAGAACCAGUCGAGUCUGAGGCUCCAGAAGUUCGUCGGUCAACUCGUGAGAGACGACCACCGGCGUGGCACUCGGAGUAUGUCACAGAGAUCAACGUUGCAUACUGUCUUCUAACAGAGGAUGGAGAGCCUUCAACUUUCCAUGAAGCUUUAAACAACUUAGAUGUUGCUUUGUGGAUGACAGCAAUGCAGGAAGAAAUUGAAGCUCUACACAAGAACAAGACAUGGGAACUUGUACCACUACCACACGGAAGAAAAGCCAUUGGAAACAAAUGGGUCUACAAGAUCAAACGUGAUGGCAAUGACCAAGUGGACCGGUAUCGUGCAAGAUUGGUGGUGAAAGGAUAUGCUCAGAAAGAAGGUAUUGACUUCAACGAGAUAUUUUCUCCGGUGGUUCGACUCACAACAGUCAGAAUAGUCUUGGAGAUGUGUGCUACAUUUGAUCUACAUCUUGAGCAGUUAGAUGUUAAAACUGCAUUUCUUCAUGGAGAACUUGAAGAAGAAAUAUAUAUGCUCCAACCAGAAGGUUUUGCAGAAACAGGAAAGGAGAACUUGGUUUGCAGGUUGAACAAAUCUCUAUACGGUCUCAAACAGGCGCCGAGGUGUUGGUAUAAGAGAUUUGAUUCCUUCAUCAUGAGCCUUGGAUACAACAGACUCAGUUCAGACCAUUGUGCAUAUUACAAGAGGUUUGAAGAUAAUGAUUUCAUCAUUUUACUGUUGUACGUGGAUGACAUGUUGGUAGCAGGCCCCAACAAAGAUCAAGUCCAAGAAUUGAAGGCACAAUUGGCUAAGGAGUUUGAAAUGAAGGACUUGGGACCAGCAAACAAGAUUCUAGGGAUGCAAAUUCACCGAGACAAAAAUAACAGGAAGAUUUGGCUUUCACAGAAGAAUUACUUGAAGAAAAUCUUGCGGCGCUUCAACAUGUAAGAUUGUAAGUCAAUUUCUACCCCACUUCCUGUUAAUUUCAAAUUAUCCUCAAGUAUGUGUCCUAGCAAUGAAGUGGAGAGGAAGGAGAUGUCUCGAGUACCGUAUGCAUCAGCAGUGGGAAGUUUAAUGUUCGCUAUGAUAUGUACUAGACCAGACAUUGCACAAGCAGUGGGAGCAGUCAGUCGAUACAUGGCGAAUCCUGGUGGAGAGCAUUGGAUAGCUGUAAAGAGGAUUCUGAGAUACAUCAGAGGAACCUCAGAUGUUGCAUUAUGUUACGGAGGAUCAGAGUUUACUAUCAGGGGCUAUGUGGAUUCAGAUUUUGCAGGAGAUCUUGAUAAAAGAAAAUCCACUACUGGUUAUGUGUUUACACUUGCAGGAGCAGCUGUAAGCUGGGUUUCGAAACUGCAGAUCGUUGUGGCUUUANNNNNNNNNNNNNNNNNNNNNNNNNNNNNNNNNNNNNNNNNNNNNNNNNNNNNNNNNNNNNNNNNNNNNNNNNNNNNNNNNNNNNNNNNNNNNNNNNNNNAUAUUCUUGAUUAAUCCAUUUUCUGAAAUUUUUUAUUUUGUAUGGUCAAUUAUACCUUCAUACUAAAAAUUUCUGAUGUUAUGGGGUUGUUGGAUGUGUUUUGGAUAUUUGCAGCUAAGUUUGAGUUUAUAUCUCAACUUAAAAUUUGUAGUUUUCACUUGAAAAAAUUCAGUUAAAAAUUGAUUGGUAGAAUUGUGAAGAAGUUUAAAUUUUUAGUUCAACCCGAUUGCAUAUUUAAGAACAUCUCAAAUGAAUUGCUUACUGCUAUCAUCAUCAUAAUUGUCAGAGAUGGUUAAUUGAUAGACUAUGUGCCUGGGUCGAGCACUGGAAGCCUGCAAUGCAGACUGAUUGAUUUAUCAGUUUAACGUGUGCCAGGAAUGAAGAACUGGAAUAUCACCGUCAAGCAAGCACCCUGUGGAGCAAUACCAAAGAAUGCACAAUCCGGCUUUGCAAGGUGACACUGGAGGCUUUUUGAAAAGUGCUUCACGCUCACUUGCACAGAUUGAGCAUCCCCUCUGGAUAUUGCCCUCUCUGAUCGAGUCUGAGCACUCAAAUUUUGGUCCUCAGAGGGAGCUACAGUUUUCUCUCCAAUAACCAACAAUUUUCUAAACUCAGCACCUAGUGUGAUCAGAGUUGUUGAUAUUUAUAAAUGGAGAUCCCCAUAUUUGCAAGUGGAGACAUUUAACAAUUCACCAACAUGCUUCAUCCGGUGUACAAAAUUCUGCAGCUGAUUCAAAUCCGGAACCUGAACCAGAGUCGGAGGUAUAUCUUGAGCCAUAUCUAAAGUAGUUUGAAGUUCAAGACCUUGAGCCCUUGACAAUGGUUUUGAAAUUGGAACAUCUUGGAUUACUGCAGACUUGUACCCCUUGGUUUCAAAGGUAAGGAAAGGCAUUGCUUGAGUACAAUUUGGAGGCAGCUUCUUCACCAAUUUUAUUUGGAGGCGAUUGGCAGCGGAUCCAGCAGCACCAAUUUCAGAGCAAAUACUGACACUACUUCGAACAGCACACUGAAGAAGUGAUAUGUCUACGGCAAAGGCAAUGCAGUCCUCAUUUUGGCUUGAGAUGCAGUAAUCAUCGAAGAGAGUUUCCUUGUGAAACUGGGCAACACAUUGAAUCCCUUCGCCACUGAGAAGGUUGUGGAGGAAGUAAGCUUUCUCUCUAGUGAGGCAGAGGUGGCAUACCUUCCCCAUUUUGUCGAGGGCAGGUAGGAAUCUUUUUUCUAAGAGAUUUACUUCAUUCUCUGUGAGAAAUGCUUUGAACUUCAUCCCUCUGUCUCUAUCCUCACUUAUCAGGAAAUAAGUUGAAAGCACUACGAAGAGAGAGAGAGAGAGAGAGAGAGAAUUAAGAUAUAUAGACAAGAAAAAUAUUAGACGUUGAUCUUACAAACUAAUACUUCAAGCAGUAUCCUGGAAAGCUAAAAACUGCAAGAUGGCUUGAAAUUUGAAAAGAGCACGUGCUUUUCCUCCUUAACUUGAGAAAAUGUUUAAUAUAGUGCACCUUAUGGAAGCAUUUAAGCAAUUAGAACUUUGCACAAAAACAUCAAGAAGACUAAACAAGUCAGAUGCAGUGUAUUUGUCCAAGCACAAAUUGCAUUUUGUCCUCAACUUUAAUAUUUAUUGAUGAGAAUCAAUACAGGUCCCUCAUUUGUUAUAGAAAGCUUUCUUUCUUGUAGUCUCACCAGUUAAUUCACAGGUCUAUAAUCAUCUUGCAAAGUUAAGGGCAUUUCUUUUGAUCUAAAGUCUUUGCAUCACCACCUCAUCACACGCCAAGCCAAUAUUCCAUUUACCUCUACAACAAAAAGUUUUAAUUAAACAAUCCUAAUGCACGCAGCCAAAUAAAAUGCAGUAAGAAUAUUCAACUUAAAAAUCUGAAAGCCAACUUGGUGAAUUGCCUCCUUAGGUGAAGUUCCAUGCUUUACUAUAGUUGACAGAACUCAGCAAAAGCUUCCAUACAACAGAUUUUGAAAAUGAUGAUGCCAACAGAUACUCAUUCAAUCCAUUGAAACUCCAAAGGUUCAUUGUUCAUAGAAGUUUACAAAGUUUUGGUCAUCAAAUAGCUCAGACCUAAUCCCAAACAAAAAAAGAGUGAAAAUUAGAUCACGAGCAGCUAAUUGUAAAUUCUAACUUAACUCUUCAUCUCCUUUGUAAACAAGAAACAAAAUGGAGACACGCAAAAUGAAUAUGGAGAAAAUUUGAACUCAAAUGAAAUGAGGGCACGAAAGCAAACAAAUGGCAUGCACAAAAAAACCAAGCCUCAAUCAAAAACUAAUUAACCAUUAAGAAAAAAAUUGGUCAGACAAUGAACUCCAAAUUCAGGAGUCAAGCAAGAAGCUUUCAUUAUUUCAGAAGCUCCUGUACAAAUUAAUAAGUUAUGCUCUUUGGAAGCAAAACCAAAUUCCAAGAGAAACAGAACCCAAAAAAUUUGCAAUUAUUCGCAAAGGAAGUGAAGCACAGGAUUCUAUCACACAUAGGAAUUUUAUAACAAGAGAUCGAUAUAUCGAAUUAGAAAACUCAAUUCGAAUUUGUGUGAAAAAUCAAAAUUAGAAGAUUUCACAUUUCGAGAGGAACAAGCAACAGAUGAGUUUAAUUUCAGCCAUAACAUGCUAAAAAUGCUACACUUAACGGUUCCUUGUCAGCUAUUGAUGCGUUCGCUCANNNNNNNNNNNNNNNNNNNNNNNNNNNNNNNNNNNNNNNNNNNNNNNNNNNNNNNNNNNNNNNNNNNNNNNNNNNNNNNNNNNNNNNNNNNNNNNNNNNNAAGGGUCAUGUUCAAGCAGGAAAACUUCUAGAACAGGUAAGGAUUCCAUCUACAGACAUCCAUUGACAGCAGAUAUAUUUCAUUAAGCAGACACUGUUAGCAUUCAAGAUGCUGGCAGAUUCACUUGAUUCUUAUUAGUUUGUUUAGUGGCAAGGCAUAUAACCUGUAUUUCAAAGCCAAGUUGUGCUAUUGAUUAUGUUAACUUUAUUGUUAACAUUAAGUGAUUUGGAGGACAUAAUCAAUGUAGGAAAAUUAGGUGAAGAGAUGAUGUCAAAUCUUGAACCUCUUACAAAGCUCCAAGUUCUUUACUUGAAGAAGCUGCCAAAUUUGAAGAGCGUCUACUGGAAGGCAUUUCCAUUCCCAGAUGUAUGCAGAAUUUUUGUAUUAAUGCCCAGUUCUUAAGAAGCUGCCACUGGAUUUUCAUGGGGCGGGCCAAGGUAAAAUUCUUAUCAAGGGAAAGGAAGAUUGGUGGAAAGAACUUCAAUGGGAGGAUCAAGCAACUCAGAAUGCAUUGCUUCCAUUUUUCAAAUCAACUGACAAGUGAUUGAAGGGGGCAUCAUCAACAGAGAUGGAGAGAUUCUGGAGCAGAUCAGCAGGGUUUGUAUAUGAUCUUUGGUGGUUGCUUUCUUUUGUGAUUUUUUUUUUCUCAUUUUUUUACCUUCCUGUCAUUUUAUCAUUUCUUUGUCUCUUUUUCUAUUGCUGAUGUUAGUGUAUGCUUACUGUUGCUUGACAAAGUUUGCUUGCUUCUUGUUUAUUAAAUUUUUUAUGGUCACAAAAUAUUACUUGUUCUAUUUGAGAGUGAUGUGAAUCAAUUUUCAAUUAUAUAUUUUUUGGUCAAUGUGAAUUCAAUUUCAUUUGUCUCCUGCAAUUAUUAAAAAAAUGCAGUCUCAUAAUAUGGAAAAGUCGACCGGCAAAAAUUUUGUGAAAGCUUCGGAGUGAAACAGGGAAUUCACUUACUACUAAGGACAAUUGGUGGCGAGCUAUUCCAUUCAUUUUAUGUCCCUACAUCUAUUUAAUUAUUAAAGAUAAGUGGUCCAUUUGUAAAUUUCAGAUUGUGUCUCUCUGAAAAUAACAAUAUUUAAAAUGUCUCUUAAAUUAUUAUAAAUUUUAAUUCACUCUCGAUUUAAAAUGGAACAUGCUGAUGAAAAUUUUUUUCUUCUCAAUAUUCAAUAAAAUUGAAAUAAAUUGUGUUUGCAGUAUUUUGAAAUAUUUUAAAGAUUAUUAUUUUAUAAGAGAGUAAUAUGAAAUGAAAUUUACUCUUCAUGCGUGAAAUGUUGAAAAGGACAAAGGAAAGUGUCACUGCUUUUAUUUUAUUUCAAAGUGGAGUCAUCUCACAUACUUUACCUCUAUCAUUACAAUUUUUCACGUUACAUUUUGAUUUAUUUAUUUCUUUUAACACAUGCAUGUGGGUUACUUUUCCGUAAGCUCCUUAAUAUAUGUUUAACACAAAUCAUGGAAGAGAUGGGAGUAUAUCAAGAUGAUCAAAGCAUGAGACAAAAAUAUUUAAGAAGUAAAACACUGAAAAUAGAGGAGAGAUGCAAGCAAAAGAUAUUCCAAAGAAAAGCAAUCUAUCCCCUUUCGAGGGCAAACUUAAUCAGGUUUAAGAAAAGUACAUGUUUUGGAUUGGUAGUUGCAGCCUUGCAGGAUAAUUGUUUUUGCCAUUAUAUUAGUUGGAGGAGUUGAACCCAGCGAAGAAUGUUAUGGAAGAGCAAAUUAAUGAUAUUUCUGAUAGAGUCUAUUUGAUUAUGUAGCCUGAAUGGAUGUCUUGUUGAAAGAUAUCUCAGUGCAUUAGUUCAUCCUUGUCUGUCAAUGUGUUUUUAAUGGUUUUUCCAAUUGUUUAUUAUUAUAGAUUGAUUGUAAAUUUAUAUGAAAAUUUGAUAUGAAUUUAAUGUUGAAAUGUUUUCUCUUUAGUGGAAUGAAUUUAAAUUGAUUGAUUGUAAAUUGAUAUGAAUUUAAUGUUGCAAUGUUUUCUCUUUAGUGAAAUGAACUUAAAAGUGUAAAAGAUUAUUGCACACAUAGAAAUAAACAUAUAUGCUUUAUAGUAUAACUUUAGCAAUCGAUUCUUUUACGGCUGGAAACAGAGAUGAUGAUUAUCAUAGGGGUGAAGAAAAGGACAAAAAAUAUUAAUAAAUGAUCUUAAUGUUCCACAAAAGCAAAUCGUAAUAUUCCACAAGAAAAAGCAAGAUCUUAAUGUUCCACAAAAGCGUUAUUUAUUUUUUUUGGUGAGCCACGUGGAGCUCAAUUAUCAUUGUCUUUACUUUAAAAACGUUAUUUUAUUUUAUUUUCUUACAAAUUAAUGCUAACAAGAAAAAGCAAGAUAUAAUAUUCCACAAAAGCAAAUCGUAAUAUUCCACAGAGGAAUAAGAUCCACAAAAGCAAACAACUAGCUGGAUUCUUUUAUUAAACUACAAAUUAAAGUGGAAUCGUUUACUAAACAACAAAUUAAAGUUCAAAUAUUUAAAUAGUAGUGCGUUAGACGAUUAGGCUCUUUUAUUAAAGUCAAGUAUAAAGUAGUCCAGAAUCGAACAUCUCUAUUGUCUAGUCUUUUUUUUUUUUAAUUCUUCUUUUAUUAUUUUUCAGAAUAUGUUUUGGUGAUUACUAUUGGGUUAUUAUUCAGAGUUAUUGUUAUCUUCCGGGGCAGUUUCUGUUCAUCGAAAUCGUUAAUUAAAAUUUUAAAACUCUUAUCGGAAGAAUGUUUUUCCGUUAUUUUUUUAUAUUCUAAUUUCAAUUGUAAGAAGUAGUCAUUUUAGAAUUUGGGUCUUGAAUCGAAUUUCAAUGCAUGAAUUAAUAUUUUAAAAAAAUUUACUACAUGCAGUUUAGGUUACAAACUAUUUUUUGCAAAGUUGACUAUGAAAUUGGAGAAAUUAAGUAAUUUAUAAUGUUUGCAAAGAAAGAGACCAACAUACUUCCAAUUACACUAUAUCUCAAUUAUCAUAAUGUUAAGAUUAAACUAACUUAAAAUAAAAUUUAUUUAAAAAGUUUAUCAAACGCAGUCUAAUUUUAUUAACUUGAAGAGAUAAUAGUUAUAGAAAUUAUUAUUCUAACUUAAUUAGUAAAAGUGGUAUAAAGGUUAAGUGUGCACUAAAUCUAUUUAAAUUUUUUUCCAGUAUAACUAACAGAGGUCAUUACUAGAAUUAUAUUACUAGUCUAUUAGAUAGAAAAAAUUAUUUAUAUUGUUUUAUAUUUAUUAAAAAAAUUUAAAGUCAAUCUUUUUAAUUACUAUUUAAAGGAUAUUAUAAUUAAAAAAAUUUUAAUGUCUUCAUUAAAAAUUUAAAAUUUUAUAUGACCGUUAUCUAAAUAUUUAAAGUGUAACUGUCAUUUUCUCAUAUAUAUAUAUAAUUUCAUCAACCCCUUAUACUUUAUGUUAUUUAUAUUUUAUUCAUGAAUAUUAUAAAUUUUUUGAAAUAUAAAAUUUCGUUUAACCCUUUAUACUCAAUUUUAUUUUAUUAAAACCCUAGAGUAUGAAUUCGUCCCUAUAAUAUUAAAUUCUCAAAAUAACUUCCAUUUAAUUAAAAAAUAUAAUUAUUAUUAAAUGAAUUAUAAUUAUUAUUAUUAUGUUAUUAUAAUCAUAAAAAGCGAGAUCAUAUUCCACAAAAGCAUAAGUGACAAAACAACCAACUGGAUUCUUUUAUUAAUCAACAAAUUGUAUAGUCUUUUUCAAAUUGUUAUAAAUUGGUGGCCCCUACAAUCCUCAAUAAUUGUACCGAAAUUCACAAGUUGGUGGGCCCUACAAUUCUGUUCCGAUAAUUUAACUGUGCAAGUGCUCAUUCACAAUCUUCCAGGUCAUGCUCUUAACAAUUGUUUUUUCUUUUCUGCACGCCCUUUCAUGCUCUUAAUAAUUGAAGAGCAUACUUUUCAAAUGUGAAGCCGCAUCUAAUGUCGCUAAUUUAAUUUGGGAUUAAAUUACGGGACUAUUAUAUUGCAGUGUGCACUAAUUUUUAUGUUUAUCUAAACUCUUCAAAUUUAAAACAUAUUAUGGCAUAAAUAAGAAUGUAACAAUAACAAAAGAGUAAGAAAGUGUAGAGAAAAUCUUGCAGAAAUAUAAAUAAUAUUUAUUUUUAAAAUAAUAUUAAUAUUUAAAAUAAUUUUUAAUAUUUUAUGGUCCAUUAGAUAUAUUUUAUUAUAUUAAAAUAAAUUUUAUAAUAAAUAAAAACAUACUAUUAAAAUGAAUAUAUAUAGAAAAUUUAGAGUAUUUUAAGUAUUAUAUAAAAUAAUUUUAAUAAAAUAUGUGAGAUAUUCAUAUUUUAUUAAUUUAAGAUACCAUUUAACCUAAAGAUUUAUUUAUGAUAAAUUAAUAAUUAUAUUUUUGAAAUUACUUCAAAUAUUAAAAAAAUUAAUAUUACUAAUAUAUUAGAUAGAUUAAAUUAUAUAUAUUAUUUUUACUUAUUAAAAAAAUUUUAAAAUUAUUUUUAAUUACUAUUCAAAAAACGUAUUCAAAAAACAUAAUGAUAAAAAAAUCUUAACAUCUUUAUUAAAAAAUUAAAAACUUAUAUGAUAAAUUCUCUAAAUAUUUACGGUAUAUGUGAACCACGGUGGAUAAGCUUUAUUUAAUAUUAUUGAUUUAAAUAAUAUGUCAAUUAAAAAUGUACAGAGAAGAAAUUUCGGUGGGUAUUUUAGUCUUUUAAGCAAUUAUCAUGAUCAGAUCAGCCUUUAGCCUUCAAACGUCGGUCAGAAAAGUUUUAAAAUUAAUGCUAAAUUGUUUUUCACUUUUAACGUUGGUGGCCUUGAAAUUGCUUGUAUUUUAUUAAAAAUUAAUGCUAACAAGAAAAAGCUAGGUCAUAUUCCACAAAAUCAAAAGUGACAAAACAACCAGCUGGUUUCUUUUACUAAACUACAAAUUAAAAUAAAUUUUUUCGAUAAAUUACAAAUUAAAGUGGAUUCUUUUGAAUACAAAUGGGACAGACGAUUAGGCUCUUUUUAUUAGAGGCAAGUAAAAACUAGUCAAGAAUCGAACAGUCUUUUUCCAAUUCUUGUUUUAUUAUUUUUCAAAACUAGUUUUUGGUAAUUACAACCGGGUCAUUAAUCAUUAUUCAGAGUUACUGUUAUCUUCGGGGGCAGUGGGUAAAAGAUAAUUACUAACUGUUUUUCCUUCAAAAGUUAGCGGCUCAUGUUUGCAAGUGUGAAUGUGCGAUGCUCUUUUCUUAAAGGCCAUUACAGUGGGGCCCGAAUCAGACGUGCCUAAAUCUUUUUAAAAUUUUUGCCGUAUAACGAACAGAGGUCAUUACUAAAAUUUCUCUUCCACAGCCUACAGCAGCUUCAGUUUAUCAAACUCCAUCAAUUUUCUUUCUUAACAAAAUUCCAAAGAUGUGUAGCAUUUUUCAGAUCACAUGCGAUGGUGCUCUUUUCAAUCGUUGCUUGGAUUGCUUUCUUGGAAAAGCAGCAUACAUACGUAACCUCCAAGAUAAUCUUGAUGCCUUGGACACUGAACUGGGAAGACUAAUCGCUAAAAAGAACGAUGUGAUGAGGAGGGUUGUCGACGCUGAACGACAACAAAUGAGAAGGCUGGACGGAGUGCAAGUGUGGGUUUCGAGGGUGGAUGCUGUUAAAACUGGAGCCGAUGAACUUAUCACAGACGGCUCUGAAGAAAUUGGCAAAUUAUGUGUUGGAGGCUACUGUUCCAAGAACUGCAGGUCAAGCUACAAGUUCGGAAAACAAGUGGCUAAAAAGCUACAAGAUGUGAAGACUUUAAUCGCCGAGGGAGUUUUUGAGGCGGUGGCUACUGAGGUGGUGCCCGAGAGAGCUCCGGAACCUGUAGCAGAUAAAAGACCCAUUGAGCCAACAAUAGUAGGCUUGCAAUCACAGCUUGAACAAGUUUGGAGAUGUCUUGUAGAAGAAUCAGUGGGAAUCAUUGGCCUAUAUGGUAUGGGCGGUGUUGGUAAAACCACACUAUUGACCCGUAUCAACAAUAAAUUUCUUGAGAGUCAAAACAACUUUGAUUGUGUGAUUUGGGUCGUAGUUUCAAAAGACCUGCGGCUUGAAAAAAUUCAAGACGAUAUUGGGAAGAAGAUAGGUCUGUCUGAUGAUUCAUGGAAGAAUAAAAGUUUUGAAGAGAAAGCUGUGGACAUCCUGCGGAGAUUAGGAGAGAAGAGAUUUGUAUUGUUGUUAGAUGAUUUAUGGGAGCGGGUUGAUUUAACAAAAGUGGGCGUUCCACUUCCCAGCGCACAAAAUACUACCUCAAAAGUCGUAUUCACAACCCGUUCCAUUGGUGUUUGUGGCAGCAUGAGAGCUAGGCCGGUUAAAGUGGCAUGCCUAUCAGAAAAGCAAGCUUGGGAACUGUUCCGCGAAAAUGUUGGGGAAGAAACUCUUGAGAGUGAUCAUGAGAUCGUUGAGCUAGCCCAAACUGUGGCCAAAGAGUGUGGUGGUUUGCCACUCGCACUUAUUACUAUUGGUCGAGCUAUGGCCUUCAAAAAGACAGCCGAGGAGUGGAGUCAUGCAAUUGAUGUGCUAAGAACAUCAGCUUCUGAGUUUGCAGGUUUGGGAGAGAAGGUGUAUCGUCUUUUAAAGUUUAGCUAUGAUAGUUUGCAGAAUGAGACCAUUAGAUCUUGUUUCUUAUAUUGUUGUUUAUAUCCCGAGGAUUAUGGCAUUCUUAAAUGGGACUUGAUUGAUUGUUGGAUUGGUGAGGGAUUCUUGGAGGAAUCUGACAGGUUUAGUGCAGAAAACCAAGGAUACUACAUUGUGGGCACUCUUGUUCAUGCGUGUUUGCUAGAAGAGAUGGAAGAUGAUAAAGUAAAAAUGCAUGACGUUGUUCGUGAUAUGGCUCUAUGGAUAGCUUGUGAAAUUGAGAAGGAGAAGAGAAACUUUUUGGUUUGUGCAGGUGCUGGAUUAAAAGAGGCACCGGAUGUUAAAGGAUGGGAAAAUGUGAGAAGAUUGUCAUUGAUGCAAAACCAAAUUAAAACUCUGUCAGAGGUUCCCACAUGCCCUCAUCUCCAUACUUUAUUUCUUGCCUCUAAUAUGGAGUUGGAGAUGAUCGCGGAUGGCUUCUUCCAAUUUAUGCCUUCUCUCAAAGUUUUGAAGAUGUCACGCUGCUGGAAUUUUCAAUUACCUGUUGGGAUGUCAGAUUUGGGUUCAUCACUAGAACUUCUUGAUAUUUCACAUACCACCAUAAGAGAGUUACCCGAAGAGUUAAAGUUGCUGGUAAAUCUGAAAUGUUUGAAUUUGAGGUGGACAGGUGCGUUAAUUAGAAUUCCACGGGGACUAAUAUCAAAAUUUUCAAGGUUACGUGUGUUGAGAAUGUUGGGUACUGGCGGGUUCAUUUUUUAUGAAGCACCAGAAGACAGCGUUUUAUUUGGUGGGGGUGAAGUUUUGAUACAGGAAUUGCUCGGUUUGAAAUAUUUAGAGGUAUUGGAGUUGACCUUGGGAAGUUAUCAUGCUCUCCAAAUUCUUUUGAGCUCAAAUAAGUUAAAAAGUUGUAUUCGAUCUCUUUACCUCUAUUUGACCGGAGAUAAAAAGUCGAUUAUUGAUGCUACGGCUUUCACAGACCUAAACCACCUCAAUGAAUUAUGGAUUGAUAAUGGAAUUGAGUUGGAAGAAUUGAAGAUUGAUUAUACGGAGAUAGUACGAAAAAGGCGGGAACCUUUUGUUUUCCACAGCCUUCACCUUGUUACGAUAUAUAGUUGCCAUAAAUUGAAAGAUUCGACAUUCCUCGCUUUUGCUCCAAACCUCAAGUCUCUUUCGCUAUUCAAAUGCCGUGCUAUGGAAGAAAUAAUCAGCGUCGGAAAAAUUGCUGAGAAUCCUGAGAUGAUGGGACAUANNNNNNNNNNNNNNNNNNNNNNNNNNNNNNNNNNNNNNNNNNNNNNNNNNNNNNNNNNNNNNNNNNNNNNNNNNNNNNNNNNNNNNNNNNNNNNNNNNNNNNNNNNNNNNNNNNNNNNNNNNNNNNNNNNNNNNNNNNNNNNNNNNNNNNNNNNNNNNNNNNNNNNNNNNNNNNNNNNNNNNNNNNNNNNNNNNNNNNNNNNNNNNNNNNNNNNNNNNNNNNNNNNNNNNNNNNNNNNNNNNNNNNNNNNNNNNNNNNNNNNNNNNNNNNNNNNNNNNNNNNNNNNNNNNNNNNNNNNNNNNNNNNNNNNNNNNNNNNNNNNNNNNNNNNNNNNNNNNNNNNNNNNNNNNNNCACUGUUUUUAUUUCAGUCUCUCUCUCUCUCUUUGUCUCUGCUAAUCACAAUUAAAUGUGAAUUAAUGGAAUUAAUGCUUCAUAAAUUUGCCGGCACUGCCAUUACUUUUUUUUUUUUAAUACAAAUUGAUACUUUAUUUAUAUCUUCUUAGCGAUUUAAUUUCCUGUCAAUUGACGAACGAGAAGAACAUAUGACUUGAACCAAUGCUCGCAUAAACUUGCUGUAAAAAGAUAUAAUCUCACUGAAAUGCACACGCCUAGAAUGAAUAGAAUUAAAACAGGGAAAAUAUUAAGUAUAUUAGCCCUCUUUACCGAAAAUCAAAUGACAAUAAAUUUUUUGAAGUUUUGAUUUUCUAUGGUCAAUUCCACCUUUUGCAAUUUCUUCUGUUCUAACAAAAACCAAUUUCUUUGUUCAAGUAUUUUCGUUUGGGUAUUAAUAAUUCUCCACCGAAAGAGUGAACUCUUGCUCAAGGGAUCUCUAAUCAAUAGCCGGAAGGGCGCCGAGACCUGAUCGGACCUAGGCCCAAGUUUGGUCUUAAAGCCUGGGCUUGAGCCUGGCAAUUAAAUUAAAACAGUAAUUGAUUUCUUGAAUGAAUUGUCGUGUAAUUGAUUUAUGGGGGAUGACACAUCAACAUACUUGAAAAUACACUAAUCUCAGCAUCAUCCGUUAAUAACUUUUAGAUUUAUGGGCAAUCAAUAGUUAAAUUAGUUGUCAUUAAUACUAAAUAAUUUUUACUUUUUUUGUCUCUUCUAGAGGAUCUUCUAGAAAAAUGCAUCCACAAUUAAAUUUAAUACUUUACAUAAUAAAGAAAGCAUAAAUGUUAAAUUUAAGAAACUGCAUUGUAUUUCAGCUGAAGUUGACUUUAAUAUUUAGGGUAGAAAAAAAUUAAAUCCUUAAUGUGUUUAAUUUAUAUCACUUGUGUCAUUAAAAUUUUCUAGUCACCCUAACCAAUUACAUCUCAACCCACUUUUUUUUGGAUGAUUUUAUUUUUAUACUAUUAUUUUCAACAUUUUUUUUUCCUUUUAACACCAACAUUAGUGUAUGUUACGUAACAUAAUCCAUAUUUGGAUAAUUUGAAAUUUGUUUGUGUUUUAUCUCAAAAUAGAGCUUCAAUCAAUUUGUACCUCAUAAAUUCACAAUAUCUGGCAGGGCUAAUAAGACCAAACUCUGGCAUAUUAUCAAAUGUGCUUAUCCUUUUGCUUGACAUGUCAUUUUAAAAUUGUCAUUCAAUGCCAAAAAAAUCACAUCAACUGAUGGCCGACUACUUUAAUUUGAAAGCAUGCAUGCGAUCGCCACCAAUAAUUAUAACUUAAUUGUUAUAUUGAAAUUUUUUUCUUUAUAAUUUUUAAGUUUAAUACUGCUACAUGUGCGGCACAUAAGUUGGAAAAUAUAACAUAAAAUUUGAAAAAUGUGUAGUUUUCGUUCCUUUUUUUUCUUAAAAAUGGGGAAAAAGAAUGUAAUUUUGUUUAAAUUACUGUUGUGAUAACAAUUAUUAUUUUAUUGAUUAAUUGGCAGAGAAUCGUUAUGGUUUCGCAUGGUUGUUAAAACAUUGGAAAAUCCACUACAUCAUCCGAUAAUAACUUUCAGAUUUAUGGUUAAUCAAUAGUUGAGAUUUGUUAUCAUUAAUGUUAAAUAUUUUUUUAAUAUUUUUUCUCUCUCCUAGAGGAUCAUCCACAGUUAAAAUUUAAUAUUAUAAAUAGUAAACAAAGUAUAAACGUUAAAUCGAAGAAACUGCAUUGCAUUUCAGCUGAAGCUAACUUUAAUAUUUAACAGAGAAAAGUAAUUAAGUCCUUAAUGUGCUUUAUUUACCCAUAUAUAUGGCUAAUUUUUUAAGAUAAAGGGGAAGGAUGAUGCUCAAAAAUAUAAAUUAUAGAAUUAAUUGAGCUCUCAAGUAAGUUUAAAGUUCAUUAUUUUUAAUUACAUGUUUAUAAUUUAUUUUUAUUUCGUAUUAAUCUAUAGAUCUAAAUCCACUUUGGAUUCAUAUACAUAUAUAGACAUAAUGUGUAUGUUAAUCUAUAGGUCUAAAUUCACUUUAGGUCUAUAUAGGUAUUUUGACAAAUGUACUCCAAUCAUAUUGGCAAGUUCUAACUACUAUAUUGGUAUGUCAAUAUUAUCUCUAAUUGCCCUAUACAUUCAGAAAUAAUCUAGAUAUACAAAUUAACAUAAAAUAAAAAUAAUUGGUAGAAAAUAUAAAUUAUAAACAUGUAAUUGAAAACGAUAAACUUUAAAUUUACUUAAGAGAGUAAUUAAUUUCAUAGUUAAAAUCUUUAAAUUUUACCCCUCAUCUUAACUUAAGAAAAUUAAUCACUUAUUUUAUUUAACAAAGAAGAGAUUUUUUUCCCCUAUAUUUCCCAAUUAUUUCUCUCCCUCUCGCUCCCGUAAGUUAUACAACUUGAAGUGAAAUAUGAGUGGUCUGAUUCUAGCUUAAAUAAUUUAUUGUGACAUGCUAUCUAAGGACAAUACAUUACCUAGCUCUACAUAUUUUAUUUAACCUCCGGCUCACCCUGUGCAAACUUGCCUUCCCCUACAAGACAAGAUUAAUCAAUCUAUCAAGUCUCAAAUUCAAUUUGGAAUAUGACCAUCGUACGUUCUUGUUCUUCCCUCUUUACGAGUGCAUUCCCCCCAACCUCAAGCUCCCUCUCUCGUCUUCAAUGUCACUGCCUAUAUCCUUGUGUUGUUCUAGUUUGAAAUAGUGGCUUCCACAAUUUCAGGGCCCCCAAAAAUCCAGAAACAUAGUAUUCAUCACGAUGACAAAUUUUUUGGCAGGCAGGUGCUUCCUGACUUUCACACGGUAAUUCUCAAAUUCUGAUUUCACCAUAUUUUAAUUACUGAUUAGCAUAUAUUCAAGUGCUCUCCAUUAUAAUAGAAGCCGCCGCCUCACUCGUGAUUCCAAACUUUAUCUUUUUUCCUUUUUUAAAUUAAUGCAAGUAGCCGCUGUCCUUUUUAUUAAUUAAUUAAUUAAUUCGGCCGCCCACAUUUCUUUUCCUAAUGUCUUCUACUGUCGAUUUUCUUUUAUUUUCUUUUUAUUCUUAAAAUAUGCUUAUAAUAAUAAAAUAUAAAAAUUAAAAUUAACAUAUCAAAAUAUAAUUUAACAGAAAAUUAAGAUAAAAAUAAAAAAAAUAAAUUAUGAGCAUAUCAAUCAAUAAAUGAAAAAUAAUAAUUUUUAUUUUUAUUAAAUAUAUAUUUUUCAGUAUUAAUCAAUUAUUUGAAUAAAUAAAAUCAUUUAAAAAUAAAUAAAUAAAUUAUUCUUAAAAAAAAAGAAACUUUUUAUAACACUCACUAUGCUGGUUGUAGGGUAGACGCUUUGGGAACUGAAGCCGGUAACUUCUACAAGUAGUCUGAAGUUGACUGGCAACAACUAUAUUGACAUUUAGACAUAAUGUACUCCAACCGUAUUGGUAUGUUUAAAUGUUCUUACUAUUGUAUUGGUGUGUCAAUAUUAUCUCUAACUGCCCUAUAGAUAAAAAAAUAAUCUAAAUUUAUAAUUUAACAUAAAAUAAAAUAAUUGGUAGAAAAAUAAUUAUGGUUCAUUUACUUAUCAGUAAUCAGAAUAGACUAAAAUCGAAAUGAGUUGUAUUACCGUUGAUGUGUUUAUGUUGUCCUGGAAUCGGAAUGAAUUAUUUUAAGUUACUAAAAUAUCCUUGGUUUGUUAUUCUAAUUAUUAUUUAAUAUUUAUUAUAAUAUUUGUCAUAUCAUUAAAAAGAAAUAAUAAUGAUGAUAAUAUUAUCAUUAUUGUUUGUUACAUUAUUAUUAUUCAAAAAAAUUAUUGUUAAUAAUAAUAAUUUUUUUAUUUCAAUAAUAAUAAUGAUAAAAUUAAUAAUAAAAAACAUGACAACAACAAUAAUUAUUUAUUAUGCCAAAAAAUAACAAUAAUAAUAAGAAUAAUAAUCAUCAUCAUUUUUUUGCCAAAGAAAUCAUCAAACCAGACAAGAAAUCAUCAAAAAUUGCUAUUUCAAUUUAGGAAGAAGUUCUUUCGGUGUGCUAGCGAUGGGAGAUGUUGUGGCUGCGAUUCGGGGAGCUAAUAGUUUAUUGCACUAAUAACGGCAGGUGCUGCUGCUUGAUGCGAGGUCCAUGGCCAGUUGUCAGCAGUUCGACUUUGGCAUGGGCGCUGCUGGUUCGAUUUUAGGUGUUGUCUAAUUUCAUUUUCAGGAUUUUAAUUUUAUUUUUUUCUUUUAUAUUUUCAUUAAUUAAUCAGGGCAAAGUUUGAUUUUAGAAUUUGGAAUGAAGGUAAUUUUGUUAAUCAUGGAAAUGAGAUUUUGAUUGUCGAGAAUGAACUUACACAAGCAACUGCAAAUUAAGUGAAAACAAAACGCUUUUUCUCUUUGUGUGAUUAAAACAUGAAAUAUACCAUAAAUAAAUAGGUAAAAAUUAAAUCAACACAAUCCAAAACAGUAAACCAAUUAUAAGAGGCACAAAUUUUUAUGUGAAAUACCGAAAACGGAAAAAACCACAACAUGUUAGUAUGAUAUAAUCUUCUACUAUAUUAAUGGGAUUAUAACACAAAUUCUUCCCUAUAUUACACUAGAGAUUAACAACAUCAAGAAUCUCAAUAAUCUUAACUUACAAUACAACCUAAUAUAUGUCUCUCUAAUAAAUAGAUAUCUAAAAUAACAAUCUCUAAUAAGUAAGUAUCUCAAAUAACAGUCUCUAAUAAGUAGGUAUCUCAAAUAAUAGUUAAUAAGAGGAUAAAACAAAAAUUAAGAUUAGUAGGAUGUGUAUAAGGCGAUGCUAUCAACUUAUCUUCUAAAUUUGAGAAAAAUAGUUAAAUUCACUUUUUUGAUUGUCCGACCAAAGAUGGAAACCUUGCCCCAAAACCAAAGGAGUCACCAUUGUGUUUCUCUCUCUCUCUCUCUCUCUCGUUCUUUUCUUCUACUUUUCUUAAUGUUAGCCGCCACUUGCUUUUAUUCUUUAUAGCAUUUAAAAAGUUACUUUUAAUGGUAAAUUUCAUCUAAGUCCAAAACUUAGUGAUAAUUGCACACUAAACAAUCCUUUUUGGACUAUAGACUUUUGGACCUCCAAAUGAGACGAAUACAACAAAUCUCCCCUUUUAGAUCAUGUAGGAGGCACCACAAGCCCACUCUCUGCAUAUAGCUUUUUAACUUCUCCUUGAAUAAUGACUUUGUCAUCAUACAUAACUCAUUCUCCGUUGUGUAAAUCUUCUCAAGCUAUAACCGUUCUUUCUCAAACACGUCUCGUAUCUAAUAAUACUUCACAUCAAUUUGCUUAGAUUUCGAAUGAUAUAUCAAAUUCUUUGAACGACACUCUGAUUUUCGCAGUACAUAAUAUAGUUGUCUCAUUUUAUACCUAGCUCUUGUAGGAAAUUCUUCGUCCACAGUAUUUUUUUGCAACCUUCAAUAAUUGUAAUAUCAUUUGCUUUAGUAGUAGAAAAGACAACUUAUUACUAAAGUUUAGAUUACGAUGAGACUGCUCCUCCUGCAAAAGUGAGCAAACAUUCUAGUAGGAAUUUUUCGGAAUCAACAUCUCCUACCAUAUCUAUACACUUGUAACACAGGUUUGUCACCACCAAAAUAUAAACAUGCUCUGGAAAUGCCUCUAAGAUAUCUGAGAAUUUUUCACUAUUGUCCAGUGCUCUUUACCGGGAUUGAAGAGAAACCACUAACUACACUAGUUGUAUAAGUAAUAUCUGGUCUUGUACAAAUUAUGGCGCACACCAAACUGCCAACUGCUGAAGCAUAAGGAACUCCUCUCAUGGAGAAAUGGGUUUUGCUCUUGAGAUUUUUGGGAACAUGAAGAAUAAAUAUGUAAUUUCUUGGACUGCCAUUGUUUCGAGGUAUAUAAACAGAGGACAAGUCUAUAUAGGUCGACAGUGGUUUGCUCAGAUGCCAGAACGAGAUUAUGUCUUAUGGACUGCCAUGAUUGAUGGGUACCUUCGAGUGAAUAGGUUCAAAGAGGCUUUGACGCUUUUUCAGGAGAUGCAAACUUCAAAUAUAAUGGGAGACGAGUUUACCAUUGUUAGCAUUCUUACAGCUCGUGCGAAUCUGGAAGCACUAGAUCUGGGAGAAUGGAUAAAGACUUAUGUUGAGUGUUAGAAAAUGCAUAUUUAUAAAGGAGAAAACCAUCAUUUUACAUUUCAAGUCUUACUAACAACCCUUACUUUUAUGUAUUUAACCUUCUUGUGAUUUAAUUACAUGUGUUUUAUUUUAAUUAAGUAUUUUAUGUAUUUUAGGGACAUUAUAGUCAUUUCACAAUAAAGGAGAGAUCAGACGGCAAAACAGACAUCACUUUUGAACUCAGGACGGUCAAAAACCUUAGGAGGAGCAUAAAAGGAAAAAUGGCACUAUUCACAUGUACGGUACUAUUCACGUGUACGGUACUGUCCACGUUACUGUUCACGAUACUGUUCACAUAGACAGAUCGAUGACGUGGCAUUGACUGAUGAGGUGUCACGAUCCUGUUGGGCUAAAAUUCUUAUGUACUGUUGAUGGUGACGUGGCAGCAUAUCAAUGGACGAAAAAUCUCGCAUACAGUACAUGCAUCACACAGGAUUAUUGUCAACCAAAUCGCGUUACUGUUCAUCCGGGUCAAACCGUGUUACUGUUCAUCCACGUAGUCAAACCGCGUACUGUUGACUGAUGACGUGGCGCAAUCCUGAGCGUCCAAACUGUUUUUAAUCCGAUGGCCAUGAUUUACUCCAUGUAUCUAUAAAAAGGGGGCCUCCCCCCCUAAUUUGACAACUCUGAAUCUAUUUUGGGAUCCAUUUUCUAUAAUUCCCUCUCCAUCUUGUAUUUUCUACGUAUUUUAAUAAAUUUCCAUUUUACCCUUAGUUCAAUUAUGAGUGGCUAAUUUCCUUUCAAGCUUGGGUUGAAGGUGAAGUCUCAACAUGUGUCAUGGGCUUUAUUUGGUAAAUUUAUUUUCUUUUCCCCUCUAGUUUUUGUGGAUGAUUUGACUUUUCGUCGACAAAUAAUAUUGAUCUUGUCUAGAUACCACCUUGGUUACACCGGCUCUCUAGUACAAGGUUAUUAUUAUUUGGCACGAUAAGCCCUUAGCACCAUAUUGAUUAGAGCGUGGUUCAUGAGGUGUGGAUUCCCCCCUCAUGAUUUAAUUGGCAUUAAUAAGGAUUAUAUAGCCCAUGAUGCAUGUUGAUACGGAUCUGGAUACCCAAGUGCUUCAUUUCAAUAGAUCUAUCUUCAAUUUCUUCUCGCCAUUUUAAUUUAAGUUUUAGAAUAUUCCAAAUCAUUUCCACCACAAAUCCAAUCCCCGAUUCACAAAAUUAAUUCUAUACACAAUUAAAAUCCACAUCCUCGUGGGAUCGACACUCGUCACCAUUAGUCUAUACUACAAUAGAUUCGUGCGCUUGCGAGUACAUUAAAAUUUACACAACAACUUAUAUUGACAAAAACAAAGUCAAGAAUGAUGUAUUUGCGGGGAAUGCUUUGAUAGACAUGUACUGUAAAUGCCGAGAUGUUGAGAAAGCUCAAAAGGUAUUCAGGAAGAUGCUUUGAAAGGACAAAUUCUCAUGGACGACCAUGAUUGUUGGCCUUGCCAUCAGUGGCAAUGGUGAUAAAGCUCUUGAUAUGUUUUCCCAAAUGCUUAGGGCUUCGAUCAAACCGGAUGAGGUAGCUUAUGUUGGUGUUCUGUCUGCCUGUACUAACAAUGGUAACGAAACUUUUGUGAUAAAUAGUUGCAACUUAAGGUGAGAAUUGGAGGAAAGGAAAUAGACUGAAGUUGUUCAAUCAUCGGUCGUCUCUAUUUGGUUUUCUCCGAUAUCUCAUCUUCAGUUUUGACUCAGAUUCUAUCUUACCACUUAGGGGUGGGCAAAAUCGGGUUCGGGUCAACCCGAUCGGGUUUCGGGUUGUUCGGGUUAGACAAGGAACAAUCCGAACAUAACCCGAAUUAAUGACCCGACCCGAACUUAGUUCGGGUCGGGUCAUUAAUUCGGGUUAUGUUCGGGUUGGAUUUAAAAUGGGUAGGAUUGAGUUCGGGUCAAUUUGGGUUAGUUCGGGUCAAUUCGGGUCAGUUCGGGUCAAUUCGGGUCAAUUCGGGUCGGUUGAAAUCGGGUCAGUUCGGGUCAAUUCAGGUCAGUUCGGGUCGGUUGAAAUCAGGUCAAUUCAAGUCAGUACGUUUUUUUUUUUUAAGAACCCGAUCGGGUAUUCGGGUCGGGUCGGGUUUGACCCGAACCGAUCACAACCCGAUCGGGUUUGUAAAUUUCAAACCGAUCGGGUUUCGAUCCCGACCCGAUCCGACCCGAACCCGAAAUUUAUCGGGUCGGGUCGGGUCGGGUAAAAUGCCCACCCCUAUUAAUACCACUAGUAAUUACAUAGACUUGCUGCCAAAGGUAAGAAUGAGAAUAAAUUAAAUAGAUUAUGUCGAAAACGAAAUAAAUUUACCAUUGUUCUGUUCAUUCUAUUUGUUUCCUACAGAAUAUUUCUCCAGCCUAAAAUUUUUUGAAUUAGUAAGUUUUUAUCUUAUGCAAGAAUUGUGCUGAGAGUAAUUCCAUUUCUCAGUCUCUUUAUGUUUCAAUGAAGACGUAAAACUUGUGUUCUAGUGCACCAAUGUUUAUGCUUCUUACAAUUUGACUUUAAUUUAGUUUGUAAAACUUUUGUCAAAAAGUACUAAAAAGUAGUGCACCAAACACAAACUUUAUUACAGAGAGGACUUCAGUUAAAUUUUAAGAAAACACUCAAAAGAACGAGUUAUAAAUUAUUAUCGAAAUAUUUCACAUAAAUAAAAGCCAUCCCAUGCUGCAAAGAUCUUGCUAUAAUCACCAAAAACUAUCGGGAGCUUUUAGGGUUUCCAUAAAAAUGUCAUUUCGUUCCAAAAGUCAAUGGUGGGUAGAAAGUGGUGCAAAUGAGACUCAUUGUUAAUGGUAUAAGUUUUUGCUUAAUUAUGUCUUCCCCAAAAUGAUGAUUUAAUUUCCAUUCUCAAUUAAUUUUCAAGUUUCAACACUUUUCUAUGUAGCAUGACAUUGGAAAGAUCUUGUACAGUUGUACUACUAAAAGCUAGCACCACACGUUAGUUAUUGUUAAGUUCUUUUUCAACGUGAAAUAAAGGAAGUAGUCCUUCGUUAAAACCAUUAUAGCCAAAUUUCACGUAAUUGGACAUUUACAGACUUUUAUUUCAAGUUGGAUUUUGGUCCAACAUUUCAAAGUUGGCCCAAUUAUUUUUGUCUGGUCAAGUCCUUCGCAGCUAAGCCCCUCAAUGAAUGAGGGUGAGAUUGCUAAAAAUUACGACAGGUGAUAUUUUAUUAUUAUUAUUUGUUUGAGGGAAAAAAUAGGAAAAGCAAUAGAGCGCCACGUGUCAACCAAUGGAAUGAUUCCUGCACAAUCUAAGGUACCCCACACAAUCCGAGGUACCCCAUAUAAUAUGAGGUACCCCACACAAAUAGGGGUACCCCGCGUAAUAGGAGGUACCCCAUGUAACUCGAGGUACUCGGCAAAGCGGAUGCAAGAGAAUCCUCCGAAAAUAUCCGCCAUGAGAAACGUCUCCGCCUCCUAAAAGAUAUUAUUCAAUUUUGUCAGAAUUAUGAAUAAAAAACGACGCCCUAAAAGGAGGGACAGUCGCCUGCGACCUCUGCCAAAAGUGAAGGACACUGUCCCAAGGACAGUGGUCCCCAACGCCUACCCGACAGCUACUGCAAAGGUACCCUGGACCACUCUCCAGCGCGCGCCACGUUUCCAAAAGAUGAGAUACGCCGCGAACGUGCAGAUAACUGCCCAAAAAUUAUAAAGAGGUAAAAGGACGUUAGUAAAAAAGGGUAUGCCAUGUGGCAGCUGAGGUACUCCAUAUAUAAAGGCGCCUAGGUUUCAUUCUCCAUCAUGUUCUCACUCACCAUUAACACUCGCACUCCAAAAAAUAGGUUUUCUUCAACCUUAAACCCUAAUUUACAGAGGGUUAGUCAGCUCUCUUUACCAUAAAAGCUUGAGUUUGCUAACUUGAGCGUCGAAGUGUGAACGCCGGGGUACCCCGGCUUCACCUCUAACCUCUAUUUCACUGUUUUGCAGGCGUGAAGCUCAUUUGGAAGGACACAUCUCUUAGUUCUAAACCUUUCACCAUUGUUACCACUCUCUCUCCCUUUCUCACCUCCCCUGGAUUUCAGAUACACCACACCGCACACAAUAAACUAGUGAGGUACCCCGUCUCCCAUAAAAAUACAAAUUCAUUGUUCUAGAUAGAUUUGGCUUUUUUUACCCCAAAAUCUGUUGAAAACACUAUUUUUAAUUUUGGGGGAUAAAUCCUCACCAAAGUGAGGAGAUUUUAUCAAAAUCAAAAUAAAAAUAUAACAAGAACUGAAAGUCGGGCAGCCUAAAAGCUAGAUGAACUAAAAGUCAGGCGCCUAAAAACAACCUUAUGCAAAAGAGAAGCAACAUGAGACCGAUCAAGUAAAAGAAUCCACCGCAACACCUAAAUUGGCCAAAUUAUCUGUUGGUAUUACAAGUUUCUUGUUAUAAAAGUGUAGAAUGAAGUAGGUGACAGUAGUUUUAAGUUACAGCUGCAUGCCUAAUCGCAAUAUCAAAUAAUGAUUAAAUAUCAAAUAAUGCUUAAAGUAGUUGCCUAGGCCCGCCACAAUUUAUAUUAACUCUUAAAUUUAUAAAUAAUUAAAUUUUUAAAAGUUUGGAUUUAUAUUAAAAAAUCUUCAUAUAAAUAAAUAAUAUAUGCACUUUUACAACACAGUCUUUAAAUUUAAAUUUUUCUAGAAAAAUCUUCUGUAUAUCUUUUCUAUUAAAAAAUUUCCAUAUAAAUAAAUAAUAUACCUAAUUUAAUUGGACCCAGCACAUCGCAUAUGCAUAGAACACAUUCCACAAAGCCAUGCUAUUCGGAAAUUGACGAAUGAAAAGUGAGGAGGCAGCAGUCAAUGCUAUUUGGGCUUGGCCCAAAAUUGAUUUAUCAGGUUGACGUUUGCCAGGAAUGAAGAACUGGAAUAUCACCGUCAAGCAAGCAACCUGUGGAGCAAUACCAUAGAAUGCACAAUCCAGCUUUGCAAGGUGACACUGGAGGCUUUUUGAAAAGUGCUUCACGCUCACUUGCACAGAUUGAGCAUCCCCUCUGGAUAUUGCCCUCUCUGAUCGAGUCUGAGCACUCAAAUUUCGGUCCUCAGAUGGAGCUACAGCUUUCUCUCCAAUAACCAACAAUUUUCUAAACUCAGCACCUAGUGUGAUCAGAGUUGUUGAUAUUUGUAAAUGGAGAUCCCUGUAUUUGCAAAUGGAGACAUUUACCAAAUCACCAACAUGCUUCAUCCAGUCUACGAAAUUCUGCAGCUGAUUCAAAUCCGGAACCUGAACCAGAGUCGGAGGUAAAUCUUGAGCCAUGUCUAAAGCAGUCUGAAGUUCAAGUACUUGAGCCCUUGACAAAGGUUUUGAAAUUGGAACAUCUUGGAUUACUGCAGACUUGUACCCCUUGGUUUCAAAGGUAAGGAAAGGCAUUGCUUGAGUACAAUUUGGAGGCAGCUUCUUCACCAAUUUUAUUUGGAGGCAAUUGGCAGCGGAUCCAGCUGCACCAAUUUCAGAGCAAAUACUGACACUACUUCAAACAGCACGCUGAAGAAGAGAUAUGUCUAUGGCAAAGGCAAUGCAGUCCUCAAUUUGACUUGAGAUGCGGUAAUCACCAAAGAGAGUUUCCUUAUGAAACUGGGCAACACAUUGAAUCCCUUCACCACUGAGAAGGUUGGGGAGGAAGUAAGCUUUCUCUCUCGUAAGGAAGAGGUGGCAUACCUUCCCCAUUUUGUCUAGGACAGGUAGGAAUCUUUUUUCUAAGAGAUUUACUCCAUUCUCUGUGAGAAAUGCUUUGAACUUCAUCCCUCUGUCUCUAGCCUCACUUAUCAGUAAAAUAGUUGAAAGCGCUACAAGGAGAGAAAAGAAGAGUAUUAAGAUAUAUAUAGACAAGAAAAACAUUAGAUGUCGAUCUUACAAGCUAAUACUUCAAACAGUAUCCUAGAAAGCUAAAAACUGCAAAAUGGCUUGAAAUUUGAAAAGAACACAUGCUUUUCCUCCUUAACUUGAGAAAAUGUUUAAUAUAGUGCACCUUACAGAAACAUUUAAACAAUUAGAACUUUGCACAAAAACAUUCAAGAAGACUAAACAAAUCAGAUGCAGUGUAUUUCUCCAAGCACAAAUGGCAUUGCAUUUUUUCCUCAACUGUAAUAUUUAUUGAUGAAAAUCAGUACAGGUCCCUCAUUUGUUAUGGAAAGCUUUCUUGUAGUCUGACCGGUUAAUUCACGGGUCUAUAAUCAUCUUGCAAAGUUACAGGCAUUUCUUUCGAUUUAAAGUCUUUGCAUCACCACCUCAUCACACACCAAGCCAAUAUUCCGUCUACCUCUACAACAAAAAGUUUUAAGUAAACGAUCCUAAUGCAUGCAGCCAAAUAAAAUGCAGUAAGAAUAUUCAACUUAAAACUCUGAAAGCCAUCUUGGUGAAUUGCCUCCUUAGGGGAAGUUCCAUGCUUUACUAUACUUGACAGGACUGAGCAAAAGCUUACAUACAACAGAUUUUGAAAAUGAUGAUGCCAAUAGAUACUCAUACAAUCCAUUGAAACUCCUAAGGUCCAUUGUUCACAGAGGUUUACAGAGUUUUGGUCAUCAAAUAGCUCAGACCUUAAUCCCAAACAAAAAACGAGUGAAAAUUAGAUCACCAGCAGCUAAUUGUAAAUUCUAACUUAACUCUUCAUCUCCUUUGUAAACAGGAGACAAAAUGGAGACACGCAAAAUGAAUAAGGAGAACAUUUGAACUCAAAUGAAAUGAGGGCACGAAAGCAAACAAAUGGCAUGCGCAAACAAACCAAGCCUCAAUCAAAAACUAAUUAACCAUUAAAAAAAAAAAAGUGGUCAGAGAAUGAACUCCAAAUUCGGGAGUGAAGCAAGAAGCUUUCAUUAUUUCAGAAGCUCCUGUACAAAUUAAUAAGUUAUGCUCUUUGGAAACAAACCUAAAUUCCAAGAGAAAGAGAACUCAAAAAAUUUGCAAUUAUACGCAAAGGAAGUGAAGCACAGCAUUCUAUCACACGUACAAAUUGUAUAACAAGAGAUCGACACAUCGAAUCAGAAGAACUCAAUUCAAAUUUGUCUCAAAAAUCAAAAUUAGAAGAUUUCACAUUUCGAGAGGAACAAGCGACAGGUCAGAUGCAAAAUUUUCAGCCACAACAUGCCACAAUUAACAGUUUAUUUCCAUGGAUUUAGAGAGCUGACUGACCUUUUGGCUUUUGGAAUUGAGAAGAUCGCGGGCCAAAAUGGAAGAGGGAAAGCGAAAGUGCGGGUUUUAAUAGGGUAUUGGAUUAGCAAAUUUAAUUAGUUUGCGAGGGUAAAAUAGGAAAGAGAUAUCACUAUUAACUUUUUUUUUUAUAAGAAAAAAGAAUAAUAAAGAAUAUUUUAUUGUCAUUUGCAGCCUGCAAAUGACAAUAAAUCAAAUACGUCAUACAGAAGCUUAAAGCUGAAUCUAAAAAAUCUAGAGCUCUCAACUACAAAAAUUACACUUGAUGAUCCUCUACAAGAUGAAGCUUGUUCAAUAUCUUAUCCAAAGUUUAUAAAGUAACCUUGUAACGAUCUUGAGAUUGCCUGCCUUCCUCGACGACCUGCACGAUGCGUUUGUACAAAUCAUCAUACCUGUGCACCGGAUUUUUAAUAUCAACGCCACUGCAGCUGUGAUCAAGAACAUAAGAGCGUUUAACAUCUUUUCUCCAUCGAGAAAGAAUGUAGUGAGAUGGGAUCUCCUGCAUGCCACUCUGGUUUAGAACACAAAGAAUGUGUCUGGAUAAAUAUCCUCUGAAAUUGAACAACCCACAAACACAAAGCACCUCCAAGUCGGAGGCAUUGUACAAAACAUCGAAAGCCCUUGAAUCUUUCUCGUUGCUACCAACCUCAAAUUCUUCCUUCACUAUGUAUGUUAUAGGUCCAUCAGCACUGACAUGUUUUGUGCUAUAGCAAGAGUACAUAGCCUCCACCUCCGUCUGAAACUUCCUUCACAUUUCAUUUGUGUACAGUUUUGAGAGUUGAAAUUCAUAGUCACAUCUUGGUUUCUGGAUACAACUUGAAUUUCUUGAAUCCAUAUCUGCCAAGGCUUCCGGUUGAUAAUUCGCCUGCAGUGCUUGAUCAUACUUGUGUAAGAAUUCUUUCAAAGGAGUACGCUUAUCAAGAUAUCCUUCAAAGUAUGAAGUAGAAACCUCAUUCUGCAGGAAUGAAAACACUCCUGAUAAAAAUGCUUCCUUCAAAUAAACAGGAGCCCACCUUUUACGAUCUUCAUAUAAAGUUUGAAUCCAUCCGUGAUCCUUUAUUCCAUGACGUUGAAUCAUGUCUUCCCAAGCUGCUUCAAAUUCCUCAGGCCUGAGAGAGUGAUAAAUUGCUCUAUGUAAUGCACCUCUAAUAGCUUCAUAUUCAAACAAUCCUUGGAGUUUCUCUGGAAUUUUUUGCAAGAUGCAUGACAAUGAAAAGCAAUGAUAAGCUCUUGGGAAAACAUCGCCAACAGCAAUUUGCAAGAUUCUACAUUGGUCAGUGAUGAUUGUUUGUGGAGAGCGUCCUAACAUACAUGUAAGCCACACCCUAAACAACCAUGUAUAUGAUUCUAUGGUCUCCCUGGCAAGUAAACCACAACCCAACAACACUGAUUGUCCAUGAUGAUUCACCCCAAUGAAUGAAACCAGUGGUACAUCAUAUCUUUCAGUCAAGCACGUAGUAUCAAUUAAGACUACAUCACCAAAGUACCUAUAUGCAACUCUUGACCUGGUAUCAGUCCAGAACAGGUUUCUCAAGCAUCCCUUUUCAUUUAGAUCCACUACAUUAAAAAAGUUUGGAUCUGUCAACUGCAAACGACAAAAGAAACUCUGGACAGCUUGUGCAUCUCCUGGUUUAAGCUUCAAUUGAUUUGAGCUAUUAACAUUAUUUCCAAAUACUCCAUUAACAUCUACAUUACCAUUUCCCUCGGUAUCGAUGAUAAGAGUUCGAAACAGUCUAAUUUUUUGAACGUCUUCAGCACUAUCUAAUUGCAAUGUUCUUUUGGUUCCAAUACCUAUGUGCUUAUGUGACUUGUAAAACUUUCCGCUUCUUGGGCUUAACAAGUGGUUAUGCUCAAGCUCGACUUCAAUGAUUCUCCACCUUUUGGUUUCCAUCAACCUAAACUUUAUCAUUGCUGGACAGCCAGUUCUUGUUUCUGGUCUUGGGCGGUUUGCCUCGCUUUUCUUCUUGAAGCCUGCACUACUACAGCUCAGCUUUCCUCUAUACUUUUCUCUACUCUUUCGGUACCAUGUAUUGCUAACUCUAACACCAAAACCCUGUUCCUUGGCAUAGCAAUUGUAAAAGUAAUAAACAUCAUCAUACGUCUCAAACUCCAUUCCAACAGCAGGAGCCAAUGGAUUUUGGAUUAUCCCAGUUUGUCCAACAUAUUCAGUCAUUGCACAAUCUCCUACGACCUCAAAAUCAUCAGCAUCAUCAUCACCUACUGGUUCAGUAUUCAGAGAAACUUCAUCCAUCUACAAUAGAUGUUUAAUGAAGUGAACUUUAAGGAGAAAAAGCAAAAUCAGUUCAAGGAAUGAUAAUAUAACCAUACAGUUACUUUCACAAAGCUGCGUAUUUCAUCAAUACCUUAACAACAUACAACUGCCUGAGAACGUAUAGACAUGUCAUAGACGCUUGAAUUAAGUAUUGGUACAAAUUCAUGUGGGACACAAUUUCAGUCACUAAACCCAAUGCCUUUUUUUUUCACAUCAUACCAAGGAACGGAUUAAACCCAAUACCUUCUUUUACGCCAUACCAAAGAACAGAUUAAAUCAUCAAUGAAAAAUUAAUCACAUAAUAAUUUAACUAGACAAAUAAAGAGCUCGAAACAGCACAAAACUUGAAUAUGAUUAUGAUAAUUGUUGAGUCAUUGUAUCUACAGCUUUCCUUCAACAAGAAGAUUAUGAACAUAAACUACACACAAAAAAUUUAUUUUAAACUGACAUAAAUUUAUUCAGUUACAUUGAAACCCAAAAAAGGAAGCAGGAGCUGGAGAAAAACAACAGCAGAGAAACUUAUUUCCAGAAGGUUUACGAAAUAAGGAAUUUAUUAAGACACAAAAUUUGAGGUCAACAAUAAGAAUUUGGUUCUCAUUCUCUUUUUCUUCAUUUUUCACUUAUUGAUGGAGUUACCAUACAAUCCUAAAUGAUAAAACCCCAUCUCCAUCUUUUUGAAAUAGAGUUAAAGCAAAGCUUUUUAAGAUGUUUUUCCCUAAAAGACUCAAUAGUACAAUGUUUUUCAAUAUUAAAUACACAACUCAAUCUUCCCCUAAUUUACUCUAAUAAUCUCUUAACUAAGGAAGAUUAAGCUCCACUUGUAAGCUAAAACAAGUUUCUUAAAUCAAGCCCCAAUGCUCUAUGCUAUUCAACAAGGCCUCAUAAAUGAUAAAACUACCUCUACAAAGAUACCCAUUUUAAUUUCGCAAACUAAAAUCGAACUCCUGAAACGUAACGAGCAUUAAAACAAACAAGUCCGAACAAGAACUGAAAAAUGAUACGUAAACCCGUUUCGACAAACAGUUUCCAAUCAAUGAGCAAAAAAGUUAAUGGAAAACAUGAAAUUCAAACGAAACAUACCUUAGGUUGAUAAAUUAGUAGCGCAAAAGAAAUUUUAGCGAGAUAUGGGAUCAGGGAUUUUGCCACGGUGAUGUUAAUUGCGACAUUCGGGUGACUCAGCAGCCUUCGAGGCUGAAACUUUGAUUGACCAAAAGCUUCCCGUUCGUUGAUUCUCUAAUUGCAGAAACGAAACUGGCAGUGUACAGAAGACGUACGCUGAUUUGAUAAUUCUGUGAAAAUCAUUGUUUUUUUUCAGAUUUUUAAUGUGUUCGAUAAAAUAUCAAAAUCUCAAAAACUUUUGUCUUUCAUUUUGGGGGGGAAAAACCCAUUGAGAUCCUUAUGUUUUUUCUUAUAUAAUCUGGCUUAAUAAUUUGCAAAGUCUAUUACUUAGCACCCAUGCAUGCUGCGUUCCAAUUUACAAAAUUGUACGUGAGUGCAUCCAGCUAAAAUUUGUAAAAAGAAAAUAGCAAUAACAUGUUAAAAAUGUGAUUAUUAUGAAGAAAUUUUAAUUUAGUUAAAUAGGUGACGAUGGAUAGGUAUAAAAUCUGAGAUCUUUUAUAAGGUUAAUAAAUAUGUUGAGUUUGGAUUAGUUCAAUUUUGAAAUAAUAAUAUUCAAAAUAUCUCUUAAAUCAUUAUAAACCUCAAAUCUAUUUUAAUUUUAUUUAAAAGAUAAAAGAAAAAUAGGUUAUGUUGGUGAUUUUUUAUUAUCUUUUUAAUAAAAAUGAAAUAAAUUGAUGUUUAUAAUUAUUUAAAGUAUUUUAAAGACUGCCAUUUUAUGAGAGAAAAAUAUUUCACUUUUUUUUAGUGUGAAAGGCCGAAAAAGGACAAAGCAAGUUUCCCUAGUUUUUAUUUAUUUGAAAUUGGUCAUCUCAUAUACUUCACCCUUCAACACUAUAAUUUUUUUGGUUAUAAUUUUAUUAUUUUUUCUCUUUUACACAUGCAUGUGAAUUACUUUUCUUUAAGCUCCUGAAUAUUUAAGAUAAAUCAUGGAAGAGAUGAGAGUAUAACAAGAUGACCAAAAUAUGUAACAAAAAAAUUUUAUAAGUGAAAAAUAUGUUAGAGACUUACAGUGGAAGUAAAACUCUGAGGUGAUGUUUGAUUUGAAGAAAAUGGAGGAAAUGAAAAGACUGGAAUGUAGAGGAAAAGAGAGAAAAGGAGAGGAGAGGAGAGUGAAAUUUUUUUCUAAUGUUUGGUUUGUCACAUAAUUAUACAAAGAAAGGAAAUCUCUAAUUUUUUAUUUAGACAAUUUUAACCUUAAUAAGUAUUAAGUUUUCAAUAUUUAUCAUGUGUAUAAUUAAAAAAAAAAGAAGUAAAUGGUAGAAAGCGGUUUCUGAUUCCGGCCACAUCGCCCGCAAUGGAAGGUACUUAUCAGAACAUCAAGAGCCAGCCAUCAUUCCCUAGCCAUCACUGCUGUCGGAACACUGCCGGAAAGCUGCCGAUUGAACCGCGAAAAGUCGUGGAAAUCGCUGCCUCAAAUCGGUGAGUUUCGCCCUUUUCUGGUCACGCCGUCGCCAUGGCUUUGUCCAUCAAGCCUGCCACUUCCAUUUUCAACCAUCCAUAGCCACUAUUAAUUGCCAAAUCACCGCCGAUCAGCGGGAUCUGUGGAAGUUAAAAAGUUUCUAAAUUUUUUUAACUGGAUUUGAACAACAUACGACCAUUUUUUUAUCUCGAUAACGACGUAGUAAUGUUGAUCGUUGGUCGGCAAGUCGUAUGGUAGUGGCAGUGAGUAACACGCGCCAAUCACAUCGGCGGCGGCGGCGGCACUAUCCGGCGACUGUUAAAAUAAUAUUUUAUAUUUUCAGAUUAAAUAAAUUUAUUUUAUUAAAAUUUUUAAAUCAUUAUUUAAAUUUAAUUAAUUUAAAAUUAUCUAUAAUGUUGAAUUGAUAAAAUAAAUUUAUAAAUAAUAAUUAUGUGAUUACAUUAAAUAAGUUAAAAAGUUGAAGGGUUAGUUUUGGAAGAUUUAGUUUCCAACACAAAGGGAAUUUGAAUUCUUCACUUCUUAGUGUGGAAUUCAAAUUCUAUAUUGUAAUAGAUAUUAAAUUUCAAUAAAAAUUAAAUUCUUAUAAGUUAUGUCAAACCAAACAACGAAAAUAAAAAAGAAAUUUAAAUUAUUUUUCUUUCCUCCACCCUCUCCUUCCAACUAAAUACAUCCUGAAAAUAGAGAUAUUGAUUAAUUUAGAAGAGAUUCAAGCAAAAAAUAUUCCAAAAAAAAAAGCAAUAUGUCCCUUUGGAGGGCAAACUUGUCAGUUUCAAAAAAGUACAUGCUUUGUAUUGAUAGUUGUAGGAUAUUUGUUUUGUCACUAUGUAUUAGUUGGAGAAGUCCAGCCUUGUGGAGAAUGUUAUGAAAGAGCAAAGGAUAUUCCUGAUAGCUGAUAGAGCUCUAUCUGAUUAUGUAUCCAGUGAAUGGAUGUGUUGUUGGAAGAUAUCUGAGUGCAUUAGUUCAUAUGUGUCUGUCAAUGUGCUUUUAAUGAUUUUUCCACCUGUUUGUUGUAAAAGAUUAUUGUAAAUUGAAAUGAACUUGAUGUUUUAAUAUUUUCUUCCGUAAAUUGAAAUGAACUUGAAUUAAAUCUCGUUGAAUUUAAUAUUAUCUCCUUAGUGGAAUUUCACCUAGUAUGUAUUCAGUUGUGUUGUCUAUAAUUUUGCAUUCGAGUAAGUUUCACCUAAAACAUUAGCAUGAGUAGUGGCCCUUGAACCUUUGGUCAAAAUUAUUGUUAUUAUUUCUGACUAGAUGUAAAUUUUGUAUUAAAUCUCGUUAACACAAUUCUUAAUUAAAAGUAUAGGUUAGUGUUGGUGCAAGAUUUGCCACACCAAAUUCUGCCUAGCUGUCAAAAGUGCAAAAUAAAUGAAGAGAAAGCACAAAUACACGACUUGAAUAAGGAUACAACGAAACUUAAAUUCAAGAGAAAAUGAUAGCUAUAUCCCAAGAUUUGAAAAAGUAGUCAUGUAGGUUUUUAAGAUUUCAAUAAGCGACUGAGAUUCAAAUAAUAUCCUUUAAUUCUAUUAAUAAAAAACAAAGACUCAAAUAUUUUAUGAUAAAUAAAAAUAUAAUAUUAAAAUAUAUGUGAUAAUAUACACAUUUUAAAUACUUUCAAUCCAAAAAAAUAGUUAUGUUUUACAAUCUAUUAGACAUAUUUUAUUAAAUUAAUAUAAAUUUUCUAUAAAAUAAGAAUAUAAUAUUAAAACAAAUUCACAGAAAUUUAAAGAAUUUUGAAUGUAAAAUAAUUUUAAUAUAUUAAUACGUGAGUUUUUUUAUUAAUAUAAAAAUUAUUUAACUUUAAGAUUUUUUAAAAUCUUUACAAUAAGUAUAACUAUAUUAUUUACAUUUAAAAAUAUUUAAAUAUUAUUAACCUACAAUUAUAUUUGCAUUUGUUAGAAAUUUUUAAAGUCAAAUAUUUUGCACUUCUAUAUUAUUAGAAUUAUUGCACACAAAGAAAGAAACAUAUACGUUUAGAAAUUGUUUUCUUUUAAAAUAGAGAUGAUGAUUAGUAUAAGGAUCAAAAAAAGGAUAAAGAAUAUUAAUGAUUAACGAAAACUCUAUACAAAUUGAUUUUAGUAGGAAAAGAGUGAGAUGAAUGAUUUCUUUUACAGUUAGAAAAAUAGAUGAUGAUUAUUAUAACGAAGAAGAAAAGAUAAAGAAUAUUAAUUAUUAAUGGAAUCUCUAUGCAAAUUGAUUUCAGUAGGAAAAAAAAUGAGUUAAAUGAUUUAGAGUGCGUUUGGAAUUGAGAUUGGACAGCCAUAGAUUUUAAGUUACAACACUGAAGUGUUUGGUAAAUACUAGCUGCUGCAGAUUGAAAGUUAUGUUGAUAUGAUUUUUCACAUGUAUCAUAGAAAAUAUAUUACAUCUUUAAUAAUUUUUUUAAAAUUUGUAUUUGCUAUAUAUUGUUUUUUUUAUAUAGUUAUAACUUUUUUUUUUUCCACAGCAGCUGUAGCUUAAAAGCUACAGCACCUCAAUCUCAAACAAGUCCUUAGACAUUCAUAGUGUGUUUAUUUUUUGGAUUGGUGAAUCAAAAUUAUUGACAACGCUAACUUCAUCUUCACCGUUCGCAAUCCAACAGCAGCAAUUGUCGCCAAUAAUGAUAUCGCCGAUGAUGAUGACAAUAAUAAUAAUAAUAAUAAUAAUAAUAAUAAUAAUAAUAAUAAUAAUAAUUAUUAUUAUUAUUAUUAAUAAUUAAUAUAUUAAUAUAUUAAUGUUAAUAUUAUUAUUAUUAAGAUUAACAAUAAUUAUUAGUAAUACAAUUUUUUGAAUAAAAAUAAUCACAAUAAUUAAAAUACAAAUUAACAAUUAUGACAAUAGUUAAUUAAUGUCUUUUUAGUAAUUUGUAAUAAUCUAACUCAUUUUAAUUCUGAUUAUUACAGUUUAAGUAAAUAAAUUAUUAUGAUUCCUAUUCUCCUUUUCUAUUUUAACUCACUUCGAUUCCAGUCUAUUCUGAUUUUUGUUUAAUAAACGCACCAUUAGUGCUAAAGUAAUAUUUCAUACAUAGAAAAGUAAAAACUACACCUAAGGUUAAGGGAAAGGACUUCAAAACUCUCUUUUGAUCAUAAUACAUUUUGUACUAAUUAACUUAAAGAUUUUGAAUCUAAUAUUUUAUAAUAAAUAAAAAUAUAUUCCUAAAAUAAAUAUAAUAUCAAUAUUUAAAAUAUGUUUUAAUAUUUUACACAUUUUAUUAUAUUAAAGUAGAUUUUAUAAUAAAUACAAACGUCCUAUUAAAAUGAAUAUAUAAAAAAUUUAGAAAAUUUAGAAUAUUAUAUAAAAUAAUUUUAAUAUAAUGCGUGAGAUAUAUUUUAUUAAUUUAAAAUGUUAUUUUACCUAAAAAAUAUGAUAAAUUAAUAAUUACAUAUUUGAAGUUAUUUCAAAUAUUAAAAAAAUUUAAUAUUAUUAGUCUUUUAGAUAGAUUAAAUUAUUUUUUUUAUAAGAGAUAGAUUAAAUUAUUUUAAAAUGCCUUAAUUAUUUUUACUUUUAACGUUACCGGCCUUUCUUUUAUUUUAUUGCAAAUUAAUGCUAACAAGAAAAAGCUAGAUCAUAUUCCACAAAAGCAAAAGUGACAAACACAACCAGCUGGAAUCUUUUAUAAAACUACAAAUUAAAAUGGAUUUUUUUUUUGAUAAAUUACACAUGAAAGUGGAUUCUUUUGAAUAUAAGUGGAGUAGGCUCUUUUAUUUUAUUUUUGAAUAUUGUAUAACGGGACUGUAGACUCUUUUAUUAAACUACAAAUUGUAUAGUCUUUUUAAAAUUGUUAUAAAUUAAUGGCCCCCACAAUCCUCAACAAUUGUACCGAUAUUCACAAGUUGGUGGCCCCUACAAUUCUGUUCCGAUAAUUUAACUGUGCAAGUGCUCAUUCACAAUCUUCCAGGUCAUGCUCUCAAUAAUUGUUUUUUUUUCCUGCAUUCCCUUUGGGAAAUUUACGAAAAUAAUCAUUAAUAUUUUAUUAUUUUUACAAUUAACCGUCUUAAUUUUUUUCUAUCAACAUUAGCCAAAUACAAGUCUUUCUUCCCAAAUUACCCUUCUUUACAGAACAAAACCAACAUUGUUUCUCCCAUAUCGCCAAACCAAAAGCAGCUUUUUAUUCUUAAAUCAUCAGCCAACGGCGACCGCAAAAGACAACGGUAAAAGUGAUAUCCGAUCAUAAUCUAUCCGGAUCCAACACAAAUCUACAUCACUCAGUGGUAUGAAUUAUUUUUUGAACUUACUGAACUCAGUCGGGUGAAUCUGAGUCUGGCGACAGGCUGCCUGUCGCAGUAAAACUUGGUGCGACAGGCAACCUGUCGUACCAAACCUUGGUGCGACGGGCACCCUUGGAGAUUUAUUAAAAAUGUAUUAUUUUAAUAGGACUCAAAUAAUUUUUUUUUAUAAUUUCAGGCUUAAUGGAUUCAGUUGUACUUGAAUUGUGUUACGAUGGUUGGUGGGAGACAUUAGAGAAUGGCUGUAUGGAGUACGUGAAUGGUAAAAAUCGAGCUUUUUUGGUUGGAAAAAAUUACUUGUUUGAUCAGUUAUUGGCAAGAGUAUACGAGGUAUUAAAAAUAAACCCUAAUGACUAUAGUAUCACAAUGAAGACAACUUUGAGGUCUAGUAACACAUUAUAUCGUAUAUGUGCAAUGCCCAUGGAUAUAUGUGAUGAUGAAAUGGUGAGGGUUGUGUUGCAUAUGGCAUCUGACGUAGCUAAUUUUGGAUGCAUUCCUAUAUUCGUGACCACAUCACCUCGACUUCCGAGCGAAGGUAUUGAGCCACAUGUCGAUAUAGAAACUUCGUUUAGAGCAAAUAUGUCUGGCCCCGAUAAUGAUGAAGAGGUGUUGCCAAGGACAAUAUCGCUGCAGCAAUAUUACUCUCCAAUCCACGACAAUUAUGAUAACAUUGAUGAUAAUAGCGUUACGUUACAGGAUGUUGGAGCAACGGUAUUUCCAAUAACAACGUCGUUGGAGCAACGAUAUUCUCCGUAUCACAACAAUGAUUUUCGGGACAAUGAUGAUUUUCAUAAUGAGACAGAGGAGGAUAAUGUUUGUGCAGAACCUUCUAAUAAUACGAGGCGGGGCACUCGUUUCAAUAAUGAUGGUGAUGAUGGAGGAGUCGGUCAUUCGAAUGUUCCGUCGUUUCAGCAUGAGGAUGAGUGUGAAGACAAUACUCCUGUGAAUAACAGAGGCAAUAGACCUAUUCCUUCUAUGGUUCGAUCGAGAAGGAGAAUUGACCCCCUUACAAGUCUUGCUCCAACUUUACCUUCGAACAUGGUUGCUCCAAGCUUUGUUAGCAGUUGUGACUCAGAUGAUAUCAGCGUGGGUAAGCUAUUUGUUGAGAAGAAUGAGCUUAUAUUACAACUACGCAAGGUGGCCUUUAGAGAUAAGUUUGAUUUCAAGAUUGCACGGUCUACUACGACACGUUUCGAGGCUCACUGUUGUUCAGAAUCAUGUAAAUGGCAUAUUCGAGCAACUAGAAGUUCGAACGAGCAAAAUGUUCCUUGGGUGGUGAAGAGAAUUGAUAAUGUACACACUUGUCAUAAUGAGGUAUUGAUUGAUGGACGUCAUCAAGUAAGGAGCCGGGUUGUCGGUCAUAUUAUCGCAGAAAAAUAUAUUCAAGAUAAGAGGAUUUAUACUCCCAAUGACAUAAGAGCAGAUAUGCAACAGGAAUACGGUGUUCAGUUAACAUACCAGCAGGCAUAUAGGGCGAGAGAAGUUGGUCUUGAAAUAGUUCACGGCAACCCUGCAGAGUCAUACAACUUGCUCCCUAAAUACUCUCACGUACUAACUACAACGAAUGAGGGUACAGUCACUCACCUCGAGCAGGAUGGAGAUGGUAAUUUCUUGUACUAUUUUGUAGCACUCGGAUAUUCCAUCAAGGGGUUUAUGCAGUACAUUCGGCCUGUCAUUGCUGUAGAUGGUACUCAUCUAAAGAGAUUAUAUCGUGGAAGCAUGUUCGUGGCAACAUGUCUUGAUGGUAACAAUCAAUUGUAUCCGUUAGCCAUUGGGAUCAUGGAUUCAGAAAAUAAUGAUGCUUGGGAAUGGUUUAUGAUGAAGUUACACGGAGUGAUUGGUGAUAGACCUGAGUUGGUAAUUAUCUCUGAUCGAUGCACUGCCAUAAGGAGAGCCGUUCUUAAAGUAUUUCACAAUGCAACUCAUGGCGUUUGUUUUUACCACGUCAAAGGUAACAUUAAGUCACAAUUUAGAAUGUCCAAAGCUCUUUGGGAUGAAUUUGAGCAUGCCUUUAUUAAUGCAGCAAAAGCAUAUGGCCACGAGGAAUUUAAGAGACAACUUGAAGGGUUGUGGAUGAUCCACUCGGGUGCGGCUGAUUACUUAGAAAAUAAUGUCGGCACGUGUAAUUGGGCAAGGUCUCAGUUUCAAGGUAGGAGGUACAACAUUCUUACCACCAACAUCGCGGAGAGUGUUAAUGCUUUCAUGAGGGAACCUCGAAAAUUUCCUGUUACUCAUCUUGUUGAUCACUUCAGGAAAACAUUGCAGCAAUUGUUUUAUGAUAGAAAAAUUGUGGCUGAAUCAAUGACUACUCGGCUAACAACAUGGGCGGAUGAAAUAGUCACUGAGAGGAGAACUAUAGCUGAAAGAAUGAUAGUUCGGCCGGUGUCUCCGCAUCGCUUUCAAGUUAUAGGCGGUGGGCUUAAGGAAGGGUUGGUUGACUUGCAAAAGAGAACUUGCUCCUGCAGAGUGUUUCAGCUUGAUCAGCAUGUGUGUGCUCAUGCAAUUGCGGCGUGUCUAACACACCGGGUGGAUUUUAUUAACCUUUGCUCGGACUUUUACACUACAGAAUCGUUGGCGAUGGCUUAUGCACAACCAGUGGAGCCAGUUGGUGAUGUGGCUGAUUGGGAAGUUCCAGAUGAAAUUCAGGAGAUGCAGGUAUACCCACCAGUUGAGGCACCACUACCUGGCCGUCGUAAAGAGCUCAGAAUACCCUCGACUGGCGAGGACGUUGACCGGCGGACUGUAAGAUGCGGCCGGUGUCAUGAACUAGGCCAUAAUCGUAAGCGAUGUAAGAAUCCUAUUGCGUCGACUCGAAGUUAGUUGUAUUUUGUGUGUUAUUCGUUGGUUAAAACUAUUAUUGUUUUUGUGUUACAUUGGUUAAAACUGUUAUUGUUUUUUGUAUUUCGUUGGUUAAAACUGUUAUUGUUUUUUGUGUAUUGUACACUUAUAUUCAUAAAACUUUAUUUUAUUUUAAAGUUCAAAAUGUGAGGCAUUAAAAUUAUAUAAACUUAAGUGCGGAAAUUAAAAAAAAUGCAAAUUUCAACAUUGAAAUUACUACAUAGGUCUACAAUAUAAUAUCGUCAUUAAAUAUAUCAACCGCAAUCUUCUUUCUAAAGUACUCGACAUGACUAGCGUUAAACUCCAAUCUAAGCCCGAACAUUAAAUACAUCGUAACCAUCAAUACAAAAACACUGCAAUCGCUAGUUCCGGGCUCUUGUUGUGGUGCGCUCUUAACUGCGAUAACUUUCCACGGGUCUUCACUCCGCAACUCAGGUCGGAUAUUGUAGAAGCCAACAUAUUCCAACCAUCGAGGGAAUAUAACUUCAAGUGGCUUGAAUUUCAACUUGUACUUUUUGUCGUCGCGAAAUGUGAGUAAUGAGUCAUAAAUCCAGACUUUAUUUUUCCGAAAGUCAACUCGUGCUAGUACCCAAUGCGCGCCGUCCAAGUUAACAGGGAUGAGUAACUGCAUAUAAAAAUUAAAAAAACAUGUUCGUUAUAUAUGAAAUUGAAAUACAACAAAGAAAAAGCAACAACUCGAAUAUUUUCAUUAUAGAGCAUGUGAAAUGUAAUAAAAUACACACCAUAUCGACAUCCGUCAUUAAUUUUGACAUUGUGUGCUGUCGCCCACAAAGAUAACUAUUCAAGCGGUCGUCGAAUACCAUUGAAUCAACUGCACAAUUCCUGUUAUUCCAUAACUGAUUCAAGAACACCUAGUACAUAGAUAACCAAGAAAUGCAUAAAUUAAUAAAACUUAAAGGCAAUAAUUAAACAAAUUAAAUAGUAUUUAUAAGUUUUGUCGGCACGUUACCCAAAAAAAUGUGUCAGUAUGUGUGACACGUUGGAGUAAGGCAUUUGGAUACUGCCGUUGUUUCUCGCUAAUCAAGCGGAGAUACUCGUGAAUAUGCUGUAGAGAAACAAAAAUAUUACGAUUUAAAAAAAAAUUAUACACAAAUCCACAACAGUAUACACCACGAGGAAAAUAUAAAUACCUCAUCGCCUAGCCAUCCCAUCGAAGCUGUCCCCAAAAUUAUUUGAAAGAAUGACCGCAGGUGCUGGACUCUCCGGCGGACUCUGCUAUCACCAGUGAACCAUCGAUCAAACUCAGCAAACAAACUAGAGUCCUCCAAUCCUCUCAGUGGAUUUACAUCCACACUCGUACUCAUGUCAAUCGCAUGCUCCAUCAUUUGGGGUCGAGGUAACCUCCGGACGUUCUGUCCACGCCUGACCGGAGGAAUCAUGUAAGGACUGUUAUAAACAUACGACGGUAUGUACGCGCGGCCGAACUUACUAACGCCCGGAGGCACCUCUGUGAACACCUGCAUGCUCUCCCCACUAACAUCCCCGUAUAAACUAUAAAAUGACGUGGGCGUAGACAAAUUUUCAUUGCCCACGUCAGUAUACACUCCAUAGUCAUCCGGGGCCUGUACAUUCGCCAAAAAGAACAUAUUAAAUAAUUAUCAAAUUAAAAGUUAAACGAACAUAAUUAUUUAAUUUAAAUUAGCUUACCGCAUACGAGCGUGCAGUGGGAGAAUCCUUAUUUGGAUGUUUAGAAAAUGUGUCGAUGAAGCCAACAACGGUUUCUUUAAAAUCUUUUAAUUCUGACUUUAUUUCAUACACAUUACGAUCAAUCUUAUCCAGCCGUCGUCGUACGUAAUCAUUAAACUGCUUUGUCCUCGACUAUUACAAAAGAAAAAAAUAAAACUUUAGAAUAACAAUAAAAAAAUAAUAAUUUAUAAAGGAAAAAUAUCGUAUAUUAUUUAUAACCUCAGAAUCCCGUGCGUCAUCAGAGUUGUCUGUUUGCUGCUGGUGGUCAUCAACAGCCACCUCAUCCUCAAAAGUGUCAAGACGCUGCUCUGGUAUUGGGUUUAGUAUGUCGUCAUGAUCAUCAUGCUCGUCCGAUUGUCUUGUAACCGACGGCAUCGCGUUGAUUGAGGGUUGGUGCUGUAUAAAGUAUCAUUUAAAAUUACUAAAUGAAAAGUCAAAAAUUUCGAUAAAAAAAUUUUUAGUACUUACAGUAUACCGACCUUAUGAAUCCAAUCUGGAAUGCUUGGCAAGUAAUCCUUCACAGAGAGUCAAUAUUUUCUGCUACUCUCUUUUGAAUUUGGCUCAAGAGUUUGUAAAAUGUCCGUCUGCCAUAAAUUCAAUUGAAAAAUUUAAGUAAGUAUACCCAACUUAAAUUUAGUAAAGUUAAAAAAUAAGUAAUACAUAUUACUUACAAGACGAGAUUCGUCGUUGAAGAACGAAUAAACCUCCGCAAAGUUGAUUCUCGAAGACGUCAUGGGCUUCCAUUGCAGAAUGCGGGGAAUCUUACUCUUCGUUUUGACGACCCAUGUUGAUGGCAACCCUCCGAUUGCUUCGUAAAUCCAAGCCUACAACAAACCAAAGUGAAAAAUCAAAUAAAACAACUAUCAAAUAUUUAAUACUAUAAAACUUAUUAAUAAACAAAAAAAAGCACCUGCACCCCAGACGUAAAGCCGUAAAGAUUAUAUUUUUCAAUAUUAUGAUCUGAAUUUUUCAACCGAGUCUUCUUAAAUUUCUCGUCUUUCUCGAACAGUGCAUUGUCAAGACUCUCGUAAAUCAUUUCCCACGACAAUAGACCCCAUGGCGCUUUCGGAAGUACUGUAUAUCAUCAACUUGGUCAAGCCAAUCGAAAUUAAUUUGACAGUGAUUUUUUCUUGCAUUUAGUACUCUGUCCGCAAAAUAAAACAGCGCAAUCUUUAAUGCGUCCAUAUCGUCCAUUUCCUCGAAAUUCAACUCCUUAAAUACUGCAUCAAAUUGCUUCACAUUAAUCUUACGAUGCACACCACCAAAAUACGUAUUCCGUAGCCUCUGCUCCAUUUCAUCAUUUUUUUCAUUGGUAUCAACACCAAAUGAAAGUCCAGUAACCAAGCACCAUUCGAUAAUUGACAAGCGAAUCAAAUGCUUACCAAUUUGAAACCAUAACUGAUCCUCACAGCUAUCUUCUUCAUGGGCCACUUGCCGCAGUAAACGAUUGUGCAAAAUUACCCCACUAAAUGGAAAACUUCGGCACUCCAAGAAAUGCCCAAAUAUAUCCUUUUUGAACAUACUCAACUGCCGCUUUGUUAAUUUUUCCUCGAUGGCUUUUACGACCGAAGAUAACAUACACAUGCUCGAAAUUCGACCAGGAAAGUGAUCAGCAUAACGAAAAUACAUCUUGCCUACUUCAAUAUCCGGUGAUUCUGAUUUCGCCAUGUAUCUGUAAUAUUUAUAAAAUUAUUACAUUACAUUUACAAAAUUAUUACCAAACUCUAAUUUUUUGGUGCGACAGGCGCCUGUCGCUCCAAAAAACUGCCUGUCGCACCACAGCUGGUGCUCCAAAAUCGAAAACAAUACUCCCAAACACUACCAACUACCACAAACAUCAUCACCACCACUAUUAAUCUCAAGCUAUAACUAUUAUUAUUCUAAAAUCUCAUUUUAAAUUAAUGAAAAUAAGAAAAAUGACUAACCUAGGUUUUGUUGAAGGUUGUAGAUCGUAGAUCGGAUGCCGGUGAGAGAUGGAGCCGCCGCCGACGAGGGUUGAUGUCGCCGCCGAUGAUGGGAGUUGGAUCGGUUUGGGAGAGAUGAGUGAAAAAGGGAGUGUUGGGGAAGAGAUGAGGGAUGGGUAUUUUGGUCUCAAAUGUUGUUUUAUGGCUAAUGUUGAUAGAAAUAUUUUUGGGGGGUUAAGAUGAAAAAAAACAAAUUUGUUUUGGUUAUUACUGUAAAUUUCCCAUUCCCUUUCAUGCUCUUAAUAAUUGAAGAGCAUACUUUUCAUUUUCAAAUGUGGAGCCGCAUCUAAUGUCGCUAAUUUAAUUUGGGAUUAAAUUAGGGGACCAUUAUAUUGCAGUGUGUACUAAUUUUUGUGUUUAUCUAAACUCCUUAAGUUUAAGACAUAUUAUGGCAUAAAUAAGAAUAUAACAAUAACAAAAGAGAUGCCGGAGCAGAUCAGCAGGGUUUGAAUAUGACCUUUGGCGGUUGCUUUUUUUUUGUGAUUUUUUUCAUUUUUUCCUUCCUGUCAUUUUAUCAUUUAUUUGGCUCUGUUUCUAUUGCGGGUGUUACUGCAUGCUUACUGUUGCUUGACAAAGUUUGCUAGCUUUUUGUUUGCAGUGCUGCUAUUCACCCCGAGUCAAGCUCCGAAAAUUUAUUAAACAACGCCGUUUCGAUAGUAACAAUUUUUUUCUUUUCCCUUUGUCUGUCUCUUUCAUCUGCUGUUUCUCUAUCACUUUUCAUUUUUUAUUUCCUUACUUCCCAGCUGCCCCUAAAUUGUUAUUCUAGCAAUAUACUUUCUCAUCUUUGAAUUUUCAUCCUUGAGUACUCCCACAGCCGUAAUUUCAUCAUUAUAGACUUCACUUGGAAUGCUGUAUUUUUUCGAUUCUUAAGCUACUUCAAUUACAUCUCCCAGUAUAGGAUCCUCAUCUUCCUUUAUUUCUUCAUCUUAUGAGGUAACAAAUGGAUUUCACAACUCAUCUACUUUUAAGCAAUUACAUAUUAUACCUUGAAUGAUUCAACUGUUCCGACAGUUAAAGAUUUUAUGCUCAACCUGCAGUGCUACGAACAUUGUCCAUGAAAGAUGAGUUUCAGCAUAUAAAAUGAAAUAUAGAUGUUUAAUCUAAAAUAACCCUUCACUGCCAAGAAACCUAGGUCACAAAAUUCACAGAUAAUGAUAAAGAGCUAAAAAAUUUGAAAAACUCUACAGAUCACACAUCAAGCAAGAUAUCAUGUUUUUUUCCCUCAUUCGGUGGUGAUUGAUUCGCUUUUUGAUGAUGGAUAUGGUAUAAAAGUUUUGACCCAAUUUCAAGCAAACACAAAUAGAAACACAAAUAGAAACACAAACACAAUCAGGACUAGAGUUGUGGGCGAUUAUCUUAGGUGUACAAGUGAAACGGUGGUGGCUGUCGAUGGUGGUAGUGGGGUGGUUGGGUAUGCGUGAUGGCUAGAUUUUAGGACAAUAAUGGUUGGAGUUGACCUCGAUCAACGAAGGAAAGUGACAACAAUUUUGACAUCAAACGGUGCAUUUUUUAGCUUAGUAAAAUGGAGCCGUUUCGAAUUUGGGGUUUAAUCCGGGGUUUGACUCGGCGCAAGUAUCAUUUUCCUUUUGUUUAUUAAAUUUUUUAUGGUCACAAAGUAUUACUCGUUCUAUUUGAGAGUGAUGUGAAUCAAUUUUUCAAUUUUAUAUUUUGUGGUCAAUGUGAAUUUAAUUUCAUUUGUCUCCUGCAAUUAUGAAAAAAUUGCAGUCAUAAUAUGGAAAAGUACACCGGCAAAAACUUUGUAAAAGCUUCGGAGUGAUACGGGGAAUUUACUUACUACUGAGGACAAUUGGUGGCAAAGCUAUUCCAUUCAUUUUAUGUCCAUCCAUCUAUUUAGCUAUUGAAGAUUAGUGGUCCAUUUGUAAAUUUCAGAUUGUCUCUCUCUCUCUCUCCCACUUGAAAUAACAAUAUUUAAUAUAUCUCUUAAAUUAUUAUAAAUUUUAAUUUACUCUCGAUUUAAAAUGGAGCAUGUCGAUAAAAAAUUUUUCUUCUUAAUAAAAUUGACGUAAGUUGUGUGUUACAGUAGUUUGAAGUUUGAAAUAUUUUAAAGAUUAUUAUUCUAUAAGGGAGUAAUAUGAAAUGAUAUUUACUUUUCAUGUGUGAAAUGAAAAAGGACGAAGCAAGUGUCCCUGCUUUUAUUUUAUUUCAAGGAGGAGUCAUCUCACAUACUUUAGCUCUUAACAUUACAUUUUUUCUGGUUACAUUUUUUAUUUAUUUAUUUUUUUUUUUUUACACAUGCGUGUGGGUUGCUUUUCUGUAAGCUCCUUAAUAUAUAUUUAAGACAAAUCAUGGAAGAGAUGGGAUUAUAUCAAGAUGAUCAAAGCAUGUAAAAAAAGAAAAAAGAAAAAAAAAAAUUAAGAAGUAAGACACUGAAAAUGGAGAAGAGAUGGAAGCAAAAGAUAUUCCAAAACAAAGCAAUCUAUCCCCUUUCGAGGGCAGACUUAUCAGGUUUAAAAAAGUACAUGCUUUGGAUUGGUAGUUGCAAUCAAGGGAAAAUAAAUAGGAUCCAAUGAAAUUUAAAUCUCGGAGAAAAUAAAUAAUCAUGCAGAUUUUCAAGAUUUUAAUAAGGGAUACUAAUAUCUUAUUUUGAUUAAUAACAUUCUUUUAUUGUGUUAACUCAAAAAAAAUAUUAUAAUGCUUUACAAUAAAUACAAAUGUCCUAUUAAAUGAAUAUAUAAAAAAUUUAGAAAAUUUAGAAUAUUAUAUAAAAUAAUUUUAAUAUAAUGCGUGAGAUAUAUUUUAUUAAUUUAAAAUGUCAUUUUACCUAAAAAAUAUGAUAAAUUAAUAAUUACAUAUUUGAAGUUAUUUCAAAUAUUACUUAAUUGUUUUUACUUUAAACAUUACCGGCCUUUCUUUUAUUUUAUUGCAAAUUAAUGCUAACAAGAAAAAGCUAGAUCAUAUUCCACAAAAGCAAAAGUGACAAACACAACCAGCUGGAAUCUUUUAUAAAACUACAAAUUAAAAUGGAGUUUUUUUAAAAAAAUUGUUAUAAAUUGGUGGCCCCUACAAUCCUCAAUAAUUGCACCGAUAUUCACAAGUUGGUGGCCCCUACAAUUCUGUUCCGAUAAUAAUUGUUUUUAUUUUUCUGCAUUCCCUUUCAUGCUCUUAAUAAUUGAAGAGCAUACUUUUCAAAUGUGGAGCCACAGCUAAUGUCGCUAAUUUAAUUUGGGAUUAAAUUAGGGGACCAUUAUAUUACAGUGUGCACUAAUUUUUGUGUUUAUCUAAACUCCUUAAAUUUAAGAUAUAUUAUGGCAUAAAUAAGAAUAUAACAAUAACAAAAGAGUAAAAAAGUGUAGAGAAGAUCUUGCAGAAAUAUAAAUAAUAUCUAUUUUAAAAUAAUUUUUAAUAUUUUAUGAUCCAUUAGAUAUAUUUAUUAUAUUAAAGUAAAUUUUAUAAUAAAUAAAAACAUACUAUUAAAAUGAAUAUAUAGAAAAUUUAGAGUAUUUUAAAUAUUAUAUAAAAAAUUUUUAAUAAAAUAUGUGAGAUAUUCAUAUUUUAUUAAUUUAAAAUACCAUUUAACCUAAAGAUUUAUUUAUGAUAAAUUAAUAAUUAUAUUUUUGAAAUUACUUCAAAUAUUAAAAAAUUAAUAUUACUAAUCUGUUAGAUAGAUUAAAUUAUAUAUAUUAUUUUCUAUUUAUUAAAAAAUUAAAAUUAUUUUUAAUUACUAUUCAAAAAAUAUAAUGAAAAAACAUAAUGAUAAAAAAAUCUUAACAUCUUUAUUAAAAAAUUAAAAACUUAUAUGAUAAAUUCUCUAAAUAUUUACGGUAUAUGUGAACCACGGUGGAUAAGCUUUAUUUAAUAUUAUUGAUUUAAAUAAUAUGUCAAUUAAAAAUGUACAGAGAAGAAAUUUCGGUGGGUAUUUUAGUCUUUUAAGCAAUUAUCAUGAUCAGAUCAGCCUUUAGCCUUCAAACGUCGGUCAGAAAAGUUUUAAAAUUAAUGCUAAAUUGUUUUUCACUUUUAACGUUGGUGGCCUUGAAAUUGCUUGUAUUUUAUUAAAAAUUAAUGCUAACAAGAAAAAGCUAGGUCAUAUUCCACAAAAUCAAAAGUGACAAAACAACCAGCUGGUUUCUUUUACUAAACUACAAAUUAAAAUAAAUUUUUUCGAUAAAUUACAAAUUAAAGUGGAUUCUUUUGAAUACAAAUGGGACAGACGAUUAGGCUCUUUUUAUUAGAGGCAAGUAAAAACUAGUCAAGAAUCGAACAGUCUUUUUCCAAUUCUUGUUUUAUUAUUUUUCAAAACUAGUUUUUGGUAAUUACAACCGGGUCAUUAAUCAUUAUUCAGAGUUACUGUUAUCUUCGGGGGCAGUGGGUAAAAGAUAAUUACUAACUGUUUUUCCUUCAAAAGUUAGCGGCUCAUGUUUGCAAGUGUGAAUGUGCGAUGCUCUUUUCUUAAAGGCCAUUACAGUGGGGCCCGAAUCAGACGUGCCUAAAUCUUUUUAAAAUUUUUGCCGUAUAACGAACAGAGGUCAUUACUAAAAUUUCUCUUCCACAGCCUACAGCAGCUUCAGUUUAUCAAACUCCAUCAAUUUUCUUUCUUAACAAAAUUCCAAAGAUGUGUAGCAUUUUUCAGAUCACAUGCGAUGGUGCUCUUUUCAAUCGUUGCUUGGAUUGCUUUCUUGGAAAAGCAGCAUACAUACGUAACCUCCAAGAUAAUCUUGUAGCCUUGGAGACUGAACUGGGAAGACUAAUCGCAGCAAAGAACGAUGUGAUGAUGAGGGUUGUCAAUGCUGAACGGCAACAAAUGAGAAGGCUGGACGGAGUGCAAGUGUGGGUUUCGAGGGUGGAUUCUGUUAAAACUGGAGCCGACGAACUUAUCACAGACGGCUCUGAAGAAAUUGGCAAAUUAUGUGUUGGAGGCUACUGUUCCAAGAACUGCAGGUCAAGCUACAAAUCGAAAACAAGUGGCUAGAAAGCUACGACAUGUGAAGACUUUAAUCGCCGAGGGAGUUUUUGAGGCGGUGGCCACUGAGGUGGUGCCCGAGAGAGCUCCGGAACCUGUAGCAGAUAAAAGACCCACUGAGCCAACAAUAGUAGGCUUGCAAUCACAGCUUGAACAAGUUUGGAGAUGUCUUGUAGAAGAAUCAGUGGGAAUCAUUGGCCUAUAUGGUAUGGGCGGUGUUGGUAAAACCACACUAUUGACCCAUAUCAACAAUAAAUUUCUUGAGAGUCCCACAAACUUUGAUUGUGUGAUUUGGGUCGUAGUUUCAAAAGACCUGCGACUUGAAAAAAUUCAAGAAGAUAUUGGGAAGAAGAUAGGUCUGUCUGAUGAUUCAUGGAAGAAUAAAAGUUUUGAAGAGAAAGCUGUGGACAUCCUGCCGAGAUUAGGAGAGAAGAGAUUUGUAUUGUUGUUAGAUGAUUUAUGGGAGCGGGUUGAUUUAACAGAAGUGGGCGUUCCACUUCCCAGCGCACAAAAUACUACCUCAAAAGUCGUAUUCACAACCCGUUCCAUUGGUGUUUGUGGCAGCAUGAGAGCUAGGCCGGUUAAAGUGGCAUGCCUAUCAGAAAAGCAAGCUUGGGAACUGUUCCGCGAAAAUGUUGGGGAAGAAACUCUUGAGAGUGAUCAUGAGAUCGUUGAGCUAGCCCAAACUGUGGCCAAAGAGUGUGAUGGUUUGCCACUCGCACUUAUUACUAUUGGUCGAGCUAUGGCCUACAGAAAGACAGCCGAGGAGUGGAGUCAUGCAAUUGAUGUGCUAAGAACAUCAGCUUCUGAGUUUGCAGGUUUGGGAGAGAAGGUGUAUCGUCUUUUAAAGUUUAGCUAUGAUAGUUUGCAGAAUGAUACGGUUAGAUCUUGUUUCUUGUACUGUUGUUUAUAUCCUGAAGAUUAUGGCAUUCUUAAAUGGGACUUGAUUGAUUGUUGGUUUGGCGAGGGAUUUUUUGGGGAAUCUGACAGGUCUGGUGCAGAAAACCAAGGAUAUGACAUUUUGGACACUCUUGUUCGUGCAUGUUUAUUAGAAGCGGUGGAAGAUGGUGAAGUAAAAAUGCAUGACGUUAUUCGUGAUAUGGCUAUAUGGAUAACUUGUGAAAUUGAGAAGGAGAAGAGAAACUUUUUGGUUCGUGCAGGUGCUGGAUUAAAAGAGGCACCGGAUGUUAAAGGAUGGGAAAAUGUGAGAAGAUUGUCAUUGAUGCAAAACCAAAUUGAAACUGUGUCAGAGGUUCCCACAUGCCCUCAUCUCCUCACUUUAUUUCUUGACUUUAAUCAGGAGUUGGAGAUGAUCGCGGAUGGCUUCUUCCAACUUAUGCCUUCUCUCAAAGUUUUGAAGAUGUCAAACUGUGGACAGAGGAGGUUGAAAUUACCUGUUGGGAUGUCAGUGUUGGGUUCAUCACUAGAACUUCUCGAUAUUUCAUGUACUGGCAUAACAGAGUUACCAGAGGAGUUAAAGAAGUUGGUAAAUCUGAAAUGUUUGAAUUUGAGGUGGACAGGUGCGUUAAUUAGAAUUCCACGGCAACUAAUAUCAAAAUUUUCAAGGUUACGUGUGUUGAGAAUGUUCGCUAUUGGCUAUGAUCGUUUUCAUGAAGCACCAGAAGACAGCGUUUUAUUUGGUGGGGGUGAAGUUUUGAUACAGGAAUUGCUCGGUUUGAAAUAUUUAGAGGUAUUGGAGUUGAGCUUGGGAAGUUAUCAUGCUCUCCAAAUUCUUUUGAGCUCAAAUAAGUUAAAAAGUUGUAUUCGAUCUCUUUGCCUCGAGUUCGCCGGAGAUACAGCGUCAAUUAUUGAUGCUACGGCUUUCGCAGAUCUAAACUACCUCAAUGAAUUAAAUAUUUAUAGUGGUUUUGAGUUGGAAGAGUUGAAGAUUGAUUAUACAGAGAUAGUACGAAAAAGGCGGGAACCUUUUGUUUUCCGCAACCUUCACCGUGUUACUAUACAUAGCUGCCAGAAGUUGAAAGAUUUGACAUUCCUCGUUUUUGCUCCAAACCUCAAGUCUGUUCAGCUACUCGAUUGCUAUGCUAUGGAAGAAAUAAUCAGCGUCGGAAAAUUUGCUGAGACUCCUGAGAUGAUGGGACAUAUAAGCCCUUUUGAAAAUCUCCAAAUGCUUGAUUUAGAAGAUUUGCCACAUUUGAAGAGCAUCUUCUGGAAGCCAUUGCCUUUCACUCAUCUGAAAGAAAUGGCGGUAAGUGGGUGUGAUCAGCUUGAAAAGCUUCCACUCGAUUCCAACAGUGCAAAGGAGCGUAAAUUUGUAAUUCGUGGAGAAGAAGACUGGUGGAACCGACUUCAAUGGGAGGAUGAAGCCACUCAAAUUGCUUUUCGUUCCUGUUUCCAACCUUAUUCCUGAGCGGUGGUCGCAAAUUUUGAUUCUCUGUUUUUAUUUCUGGUUAGUUUCUCUCUCUCUCUUUCUCUCUCGCUCUCUCUCUUUUUGUCUUCUGCAAAUCACAAUUAAAUGUUGAAUUAAUGGAAUUAAUGCUUCAUAAAUUUGCCGGCACAGCCACUACUUUUUUUUGGGGGGGGGGGGGGGGGGGGUCGAAUUGGUGCUCUGGUUUUUGACUUUUUGUUAGCGAUUUAAUUUCCUGUCAAAAGACGAGCGAGAAGAACAUAUAUAUGACGUAAACCAAUUGAUACUUUAUUUAUGUGCAUUGUAUGUAAUAAAUAUUAAGUAUACUUUAUUUUUGCCCUGUUCUCUGUUUUUAUUUCAGUCUCUCUCUCUCUCUCUCUGCUGUCUCCUGUCUCCUGCAAAUCACAAUUAAAUGUUGAAUUAUAUGGAAUUAAUCCUUCAUAAAUCUGCCUGCGCUGGCUUUUUUUUUUUUUUUGUGGGGGUCGAAUUGAUGCUCUGGUUUUCGACUACUUUUUGUUGUCAAAAUUUUCUCUGUUUUUUCAAAUUGAUGCUUUAUUGAUAUCUUCUUCGUGAAAAGUGAUUUAAUUUCCUGCCAAAAGACGAACGAGAAGAACAUUAGAGUCAAACUAAUGCUCACAUAAAUUUCCCGUAAGAAUAUAUAAUUAUUAAGAUAGAUCUGCUCUUUCAUUAAAUAUAUAUUCCUUUUUCACAUAUUAAUUGACCUUUAUUUAAUUUGUUUAAAAAGUUUAAUUAAUUGUUGUUUGCAGAGAAUCAUCUACGCCGCUCGCCGAUAAAAGUUGAGGUGUUCGAGCAGGUGCUUGCCUUUUUUUUUUUCUUUUUCUUUUUUCCCUGUUUUAAUAUUUCUUUAAAUUUUGAAAUUGUUUAAUUAUUCUUCUGGUUUGGAAUGUUGAUAAUAGUGUUGUGAAAUUAAUUUUUACAGGAUAAAAGGUUGUGGGACAUUUAUUAUCCAUGUCCUAUGUAUCUCAAGCUUAAAGGUCUCAGUGGUCCUCUAUUGGAAAAAGCAAGUUUAAUAUAUAUUAAUUGGAUAUCGUCGCCUGUAUAUAUAUGUAUAUACAUACAUACACAGCCACUCAUCGAUUAUAGACUUAAUUAUUUAAUUGAUUAUGUAAUCUCUCGUAGUUUCUUUGUGCAUUUUUAGUUAAUUUAAUGAAUAAACUCAAAUACAUUGUAAAUAAAACCAAAUUAAAUGUUCCCUAAAAUAUACGUAUAUGCCUCUCGAUGGCACACAAGGUUAAAUGUCAGCCCAUCGCGGGUAAUAUUAUUUCUAGCCGCCUUCAUUACGAGUUAAGAGUCAAUUAUUACUAAACUAAACUAGUCAAAACUCGUAAGUGCUAGAAAGUAGAAACGUUUGAUUCUAUAUAAAUGACUUCAAUUCAAUAUGUACCAAAGAGUAUCGAUAAUUGAACCCCAAAAAACUUUAAAAAAGAUUGACAAAAUUAAUUAUAUUAUUGUGUGUUUUUAGAAGAAAAAAUAAAAUAAUUAAUUAAUGUUAUAACACUAUGUUAGGUGAAAAGUCAGCUGUCUGGAAGAGAACAAACUUACUAAGAUAAGAGCCUUCUUCAGUAAUCAACCGAACGAAAAAGUCAUCUCUUUUCUUAUUUAUUUAGUAAAAAUAAGUAAAGGCCGAAAAUUUCCUAAAAUAUCUAAAUCCCUCUCUUUAAAAGAACACCAUAUGCUGCAUAACAUGCAAAUUAAUUUCCCAUAUGUGAUGCAAUUUUCUCCUCAACAUAUGCGCAAUUCUUUCCAUUCCGGCAUUUACACUCAAAUUUUCCUUCCUUUCUCUUUGUGGUUGAAUCUUACACCACAACUCAUGUGAUGCAAUCUCCUCUCGCUGCCUAAAUUGCACUCUCAGCAAAGCAGCAUAUGUAAGCAAGCUUGAAGAUAAUCUUGCUGCUCUGCGGAAGAACGGCAAAAGUUAAUCGAAGCAAGGACUGAUGUAUCAGAAAAAUUUUGGUGGAGAAUUCAGCACAAACAUAUUUCGGAUGAUCAGAAUCAAUAAAACAUGGUGGUUGCGCCAUAUAAACAUCUUCGGAAAGCUGGCCUUGAAGAAAGGCGUUUAUUGAUAUCCAAUUGACGAAGAGGCCAGCCAUGACUAACAUCAAUACUAAGAACAAGCCGUACUGUGGUGGGCUUAACAACUGGACUGAAAGUGUCAUAAUAGUCCACACCAGGCCGUUGAUUGAACCCUUUGGCAAUAAGACGAGCUUUGAACCUGUCAACAGAACCGUUGGAAUGUCUUUUAAUACAAAAAUCCAUUUGCAGCCAACAAUAUUGGAAAGGAUGGGAGGUGGAACAAGCUUCCAUGUCCCGUUAAGAACAAGAGCAUCAUACUCUUCUGACAUAGAUUGACGCCAGUGAGGAUUUUUGAUAGCUUGCGUCACAGUUGUAGGUUCACAAUCAGAAGGAGGGCUAAAAUGAGCACAGAGGUUAAGUUUUUGUAACGGCUUGUGAAUGUUAUUUUUAGCUCCGGUAGUCAUAUCAUGAUGAUUUGUGGGGCAACGAUCUAGUGGAGUUUGGGAAGAUGAUUGAACAGGAAGUGAAGAAGUGCUUUGUGUAGAGGUAGAAAUAGGUUGGGAGGAUUGCUGCGGAGAUGUUACCGGUAGAGAAGAAGGAGCAGUACACGGUGGCAACUCCAAAGGGCCCACAAUAGAUGGAGUAGGUGCCGACGAUGGAGUACUAGGAAAUGAAACAGUAAGAAUUGGUGGAACACUUGCGUAAUUAGGAGUUGUAGAUGAGCUUGUAAUGAUUUGUAUGGAAAAACAAACUCUACAAAUUUAACGUGACGUGAAAUAAAAAUUUGAAAGGUGGAUGGGUCAAAACAUAAAUAAGCACUUUGAGAUAAAGGAAUAUCCUAGAAAAACACAAGGCUUAGAGGGUGGUUCGAGUUUAUGUGAUGAAACACAAACAUUCAAAAUUUUUUAAGUUUAUAUUAAUUAGGAGUGGUACCAAAAAUUAAUUGGCUAUCGGGUUGUUGGAUGUGUUUUGGAUAUUUACAGCUAAGUUUGAGUAUCUCAACUUAAAAUUUGUAGCUUUCACUUGAAAAAAUUCAGUUAAAAUUUGCAAUGCAGACUGAUUGAUUUAUCAGUUUAACGUGUGCCAGGAAUGAAGAACUGGAAUAUCACCGUCAAGCAAGCACCCUGUGGAGCAAUACCAAACAAUGUACAAUCCGGCUUUGCUAGGUGACACUGGAGGCUUUUUGAAAAGUGCUUCACGCUCACUUGCACAGAUUGAGCAUCCCCUCUGGAUAUUGCCCUCUCUGAUCGAGUCUGAGCACUCAAAUUUUGGUCCUCAGAGGGAGCUACAGUUUUCUCUCCACUAACCAACAAUUUUCUAAACUCAGCACCUAGUGUGAUCUUGAGCCAUAUCUAAAGCAGUUUGAAGUUCAAGUACUUGAGCCCUUGACAAUGGUUUUAAAAUUGGAACAUCUUGGAUUACUGCAGACUUGUACCCCUUGGUUUCAAAGUAAGGAAAGGUAUUGCUUGAGUACAAUUUGGAGGCAGCUUCUUCACCAAUUUUAUUUGGAGGCGAUUGGCAGCGGAUCCAGCUGCACGAAGACUAAACAAGUCAGAUGCAGUUUAUUUGUCCAAGCACAAAUUGCAUUUUGUCCUCAACUUUAAUAUUUAUUGAUGAGAAUCAAUACAGGUCCCUCAUUUGUUAUAGAAAGCUUUAUUGUAGUCUCACCAGUUAAUUCACAGGUCUAUAAUCAUCUUGCAAAGUUAAGGGCAUUUCUUUCGAUCUAAAGUCUUUGCAUCACCACCUCAUCACACGCCAAGCCAAUAUUCCAUUUACCUCUGCAACAAAAAGUUUUAAGUAAACAAUCCUAAUGCACGCAGCCAAAUAAAAUGCAGUAAGAAUAUUCAACUUAAAAAUCUGAAAGCCAACUUGGUGAAUUGCCUCCUUAGGUGAAGUUCCAUGCUUUACUAUAGUUGACAGAACUCAGCAAAAGCUUCCAUACAACAGAUUUUGAAAAUGAUGAUGCCAAUAGAUACUCAUUCAAUCCAUUGAAAAUCCAAAGGUUCAUUGUUAAUAGAAGUUUACAGAGUUUUGGUCAUCAAAUAGCUCAGACCUAAUCCCAAACAAAAAACGAGUGAAAAUUAGAUCACGAGCAGCUAAUUGUAAAUUCUAACUUAACUCUUCAUCUCCUUUGUAAACAAGAAACAAAAUGGAGACACGCAAAAUGAAUAUGGAGAAAAUUUGAACUCAAAUGAAAUGAGGGCACGAAAGCAAACAAAUGGCAUGCACAAAAAAACCAAGCCUCAAUCAAAAACUAAUUAACCAUUAAGAAAAAAAUUGGUCAGAGAAUGAACUCCAAAUUCAGGAGUCAAGCAAGAAGCUUUCAUCAUUUCAGAAGCUCCUGUACAAAAAAACCAAGCCUCAAUCAAAAGCUUUCAUUAAUAAGUUAUGCUCUUUGGAAGCAAACCUAAAUUCCAAGAGAAACAGAAGCCAAAAAAUUUGCAAUUAUACGCAAAGGAAGUGAAGCACAGGAUUCUAUCACACAUAGGAAUUGUAUAACAAGAGAUCGAUAUAUCGAAUUAGAAAACUCAAUUCGAAUUUGUGUGAAAAAUCAAAAUUAGAAGAUUUCACAUUUCGAGAGGAACAAGCAACAGAUGACGUUCAAAAUUUCAGCCAUAACAUGCUAAAAAUGCUACACUUAACGGUUCAUUUUCAUGGAUUUUCUCGGGAAACAAACAGAAAAUUACGGUUCAGAGAGUUGACUGACCUUUUGGCUUUUGAAAUUGAGAAGAUCGCGCGCCAAAUUGGAAGAGGGAAAGUGAAAGUGCGAGUUUUAAUAUGGGUAGAUAAGGAAAUUUUAUUAGGUUGCGAGGGUAAAAAAGGAAAGAGAUAUCAUUAUUUUAUCAUCGAUAAUUAUUAAAUUUUUUUCCAAAAAAAAGAACAAGCAAGGAUAUUUUAUUGUCAUUACUAAGUUAAAAAAAAUUGUUUCAAAAUUACUUGAGUCAUAUCCAAUGGACCAACAAAGUAAUCGUUUUUAUUUUUAUUGAUUUUUGCAGGAAAUUAAUAACUUAAAAAUACUGAAAGCUAUUGUAAAAAUUUUUAUUAUCAACCUCAUAGUUUUUUUUUUUUGGGGGAAGAGAAUUCAAACAUUUUUUUUUUAAAUUUCCAAGAAUUCUUGACACCCGUCUUAAUUAAAAGCUAUAUUUUUAUUCAAGAGUCAUGCUAUUCAUUCACUCACAGACCAAAGGCUUUCCGCAGCAAUAUUAUUAUUUAAAUUACAACAAAGGGGAAAUCAAAUACGUCAUACAGAAGCUUAAAGCUGAAUCAACAAAAUCUAGAGCUCUCAACUACAAAAAUUACACUUGAUGAUCCUCUACAAGAUGAAGCUUGUUCAAUAUCUUAUCCAAAGCUUGUAAAGUAACCUUGUAACGAUCUUGAGAUUGCCUGCCUUCCUCGACGACCUGCACGAUGCGUUUGUACAAAUCAUCAUACCUGUGCACCGGAUUUUUAAUAUCAACGCCACUGCAGCUGUGAUUAAGAAAAUAAGAGCGUUUAACAUCUUUUCUCCAUCGAGAAAGAAUGUACUGAGAUGGGAUCUCCUGCACGCCACUCUGGUUUAGAACACAAAGAAUGUGUCUGCAUAAAUAUCCUCUGAAAUUGAACAACCCACAAACGCAAAGCACCUCCAAGUUGGAGGCAUUGUACAAAACAUCGAAAGCCCUUGAGUCUUUCUCAUUGCUACCAACCUCGAAUUCUUCCUUCACUAUGUAUGUUAUAGGUCCAUCAGCACUAACAUGUUUUGUGCUAUAGCAAGAGUACAUAGCCUCCACCUCCGUCUGAAACUUCCUUAACAUUUCAUUUGUGUACAGUUUUGAGAGUUGAAAUUCAUAGUAACAUCUUGGUUUCUGGAUACAACUUGAAUUUCUUGAAUCCAUAUCUGCCAAGGCUUCCAGUUGAUAAUUCGCCCGCAGUGCUUGAUCAUACUUGUCUAAGAAUUCUUUCAAAGGAGUAUUCUUAUCAAGAUAUCCUUCAAAGUAUGAAGUAGAAACCUCAUUCUGCGGGAACGAAAACACUCCUGAUAAAAAAGCUUCCUUCAAAUAAAUAGGAGCCCACCUUUUACGAUCUUCAUAUAAAGUUUGAAUCCAUCCGUGAUCCUUUAUUCCAUGACGUUGAAUCAUGUCUUUCCAAGCUGCUUCAAAUUUCUCAGGCCUGAGAGAGUGAUAAAUUGCUCUAUGUAAUGCAGCUUUAAUAGCUUCAUAUUCAAACAAUCCUUGGAGUUUCACUGGAAUUUUUUGCAUGAUGCAUGACAAUGAAAAGCAACGAUAAGCUCUUGGGAAAACAUCGCCAACAGCAAUUUGCAAGAUUCUACAUUGGUCAGUGAUGAUUGUUUGUGGAGAGCGCCCUAACAUACAUGUAAGCCACGCCCUAAACAACCAUGUAUAUGAUUCUAUGGUCUCACUGGCAAGUAAACCACAACCCAACAACACUGAUUGUCCAUAAUGAUUCACCCCAAUGAAUGAAACCAGUGGUACAUCAUAUCUUUCAAUCAAGCACGUAGUAUCAAUUAAGACUACAUCACCAAAGUACCUAUAUGCAACUCUUGACCUGGUAUCAGUCCAGAACAGGUUUCUCAAGCAUCCCUUUUCAUUUAGAUCCACUACAUUAAAAAAGUUUGGAUCUGUCAACUGCAAACGACAAAAGAAACUCUGGACAGCUUGUGCAUCACCUGGUUUAAGCUUCAAUUGAUUUGAGCUAUUAACAUUAUUUCCAAAUACUCCAUUAACAUCUACAUUACCAUUUCCCUAGGCAUCAAUGAUAAGAGUUCGAAACAGUUUAAUUUUUUGAACUUCUUCAGCACUAUCUAAAUGCAAUGUUCUUUUGGUUCCAAUACCUAUGUGCUUAUGUGACUUGCAAAACUUUCCACUUCUUGGGCUUAACAAGUGGUUAUGCUCAAGCUCGACUUCAAUGAUUCUCCACCUUUUGGUUUCCAUCAACCUAAACUUUAUCAUUGCUGGACAGCCAGCUCUUGUUUCUGGUCUUGGACGGUUUGCCUCACUUUUCUUCUUGAAGCUUGCACUACUACAGCUCAGCUUUCCUCUAUACUUUUCUCUACUCUUUCAGUACCAGGUAUUGCUAACUCUAACACCAAAACCCUGUUCCUUGGCAUAGCAAUUGUAAAAGUAAUAUACAUCAUCGUACAUCUCAAACUCCAUUCCAACAGCAGGAGGCAAGGGAUUUUGGAUUAUCCCAGUUUGUCCAACAUAUUCAGUCAUCGCACAAUCUCCUACGACCUCAAAAUCAUCAGUGUCAUCAUCACCUAUUGGUUCGGUGUUGAGAGAAACUUCAUCCAUCUACAAUGGAUGUUCAAUGAAGUGAGCUUUAAGGAGAAAAAGCAAAAUCAGUUCAAGGAAUCAUAGUAUAAUCAUACAGUUACUUUCACAAAGCUUCAUAUUUCAUCACUGCUUUACCAACAUGCAACUGCCAGAGAACAAACAGACAUGUCAUAGACGCUUGAAUUAAGUAUUGGUACAAAUGAGCACACAUCAUGUGGGACAAAAUUUCAGUCACUAAACCCAAUACCACUUUUUACAUCAUACCAAGGAACAGAUUAAACCCGACACCUUCUUUUAAACCAUACCAAGGAACAGAUUAAAUCAUCAAUGAAAAAUUAAUCACAUAAUAACUUAACCAGACAAAUGAAGAGCCUGAAACAGCACAAAACUUGAAUCUGAUUAUGAUAAUUGUUGAGUCCUUGUAUCUACAGCUUUCCUUCAAUGAUAAGACAAUGAACAUAAACGAGACACAAAAAAUUUAUUUUAAACUGACAGCCCAUGAUAUAAAUCAAACAAAAUCAACUCCUUUUUUUACACAUCACAUCUCAUAUUCAUUUACAUUGAAACACAAAAAGGAAGCGGGAGUGGGAAAAAAACAACAGCAGAGGAACUUAUUUCCAUAAGGUUUACGAAAUAAGGAAUCUAUUAAAACCCAAAACUUGAGGUCACCACAAAGAAUUUGGUUCUCAUUAUUUUUUUCUUCAUUUUUCACCAAUUGAUGAACUUAAAAUACAAUCAUAAAUGAUAAAACCCCAUCUCAAUCUUUUUGAACUAGAGCUAAAGCAAAGCAUUUUAAGAUGUUUCAUCAUUUUUUUUUUAAAAAAAACCUCAAUAGUACAAUGUUUUUACUCUAAUAAUCUCUUAAUUAAGGAAGAUUAAGCUUCAGUUGUAAGCUAAAACAAAUUUCUUAAAUCAAGCCCCAAUGCUUUAUGCUAUUCAACAAGGGCUCAUAAAUGAUAAAACUACUUCUACAAAGAUACCCAUUUUCUAAAUUAAUUUCAAAAACUGAAAUCAAACUCCUGAAACGUAACGAGCAUUAAUAUAAUCAAACCCGAACAAGAAUUGAAAAAUGACACAUAAACUCGUUUACACAUUUCGACAGACACUUUGCAAUCAAUGAGCAAAAAAUUAAUGGAGAAGAUAAAAUUCAAACGAAACAUGCCUUACAUUGAUCAAUUAGAAGGGCAAAAGAAAUUUUAGUACGAUAUGGGAUCAGGGUCUUGCCACGGUGAUGUUAUUUGUGAUGUUCGAGCGACUCAGCGGCCUUCGAGGUUGAAAAUUUGAUUGACCAAAAGCUUCCCGUUUGUUGAUUCUCUAAUAGCAGAAACGAGACUGGCAGUAAACACAACAACUUCGCUGAUUUUAAAUUCCGUUGUUUGAGAUGGAAAACUUUUUGAAAAAAUUAAUGUGUUCGAUGAAUAUCAAAAUCUAAAAAACUUUUUGUUUUUCAUUUUUUUGGAAAAAACCAUUGAGAUCCUUACUAUUUUUUCUUAUAUCAUCUUGCUUAAUAAUUUGCAAAGUCUAUCGCAUAGCACCCAUGCAUGAUGUAUGCUGCGUAACUGCGUUGUAAUUUACAAAAUUGUAAAUUUGUUAAAAGAAAAUAAUAAUAACAAGUUAAAACUUUAAAAUUUUUAUCAUUCGAAGAAAUUUUAAUUUAGUUAAGUAGGUGACAUGAUAAUAAAUAGAUACGUAUAAUGUCCGAGAUUUUUUAUAAGAUUAAUAAAUAUGAUAAAUUUGGAUUAGUUCAAUUUUGACGUAAUUCAGAAUAAACACAUCUUCCUAAUCUAAAAAUAAUUACAAACAAUUUAAUUUGUGUUGUUUCUCUAAAAGUUUGAGACACAAAUGUUAUUGCAAAUUGAAACGCCAUGCACUAGUAGAAGGUAAGAGAAACCAAGGUUGAAGUUACUGUUCAUUUAUUUUUAUUUAUGAUUUUUUGUAAAAUGUAAGAAAUAUGUAGAAAUGUUGCCAGCAAUGAUUUUGGAACUUUGCAUAAAAUUUUUAUCAUUAUUGUUUUUGGUAUUAAGAAAUCCGAGGCGGUGAUUAGUCGUAUGUUGCAACAAUUAAGAAAUUUCUUAUUGGAGAUAAUUUGGUAGGUUGCAACAAUUAGAGAAUAAUUUUCCUGUCAGUUAAUCAAUCAAUAAUAAAUUUCAAAUUGCAGAAAAUAAAAUAAUACUGUCGCACUUAGAAUCAUCUUUUCUAUUUCUUUCAAUUGUGACAAUCAUUUGUAACAAAUAAAUCAAUUUGAUGCACAUCAUUUCCCCAAUUCAAAGUUCAAGUCACUGCUCAAUUGCAGGGUAGUUAGUAGACAUGCAUGCAUGUUUAAUUAAGUACUGCAUUGUAAUAUAGAAAAUCAUAACAUCUCACCAAGCCCGGAAGCAUAGCUCUUUAUCUUGUAAAUGUUGAAAUCUUAUGCAAACUAUGGGAAACAUGAUCUCACUCUCAGUGCCACUUGAUUCCAUUUUCUUUGUUGGGAAUGCUACGAAGUCUAAGCUUGAAGAUAAUCUCGAUGCCUUGCGGACUGCAAUGGAAAAAUAAGCGGAAACGAGAAAUGAUGUGAUAAAUUGUGAGCCAACAAUAGUGGGCAUGGUGUCGACUUUUGAGAAAGCCUGGAGAUGCCUUGAAGAAGAAUCAGUUGGAAUUAUUGGCCUGUAUGUUAAUGGGGGAGUUGGAAAAUAUUUACUCAAAUCAACAACAAGUUCCUUGAUGGUCCAAAUAAUUUUGAUGUUGCGAUCUGGGUAGUGGUCUGCCAAGAUUUACAACCCCAGAAGUUUCGGGAAAAGAUUGGGAAAAAGAAAGGCUUGUUCGAUGAGUCAUGGAAGAACUGAAGUUUUGAAGAGAAAGCACUCGACAUAUUCAAGAAUUUAAGCAAGACGAAGUUUGUAUUACUGCUGGAUGAUAUAUGGGAGCAGGUUGAUUUAAUUAAAAUUGGUGUCCCUCUUCCAAGCACAAAAAUUACAUUCAAGAUAGUCUUCACAACUCGUUUUAUUGACAUUUGUGGCCUCAUGGAAGCUCACAACAAGAUUAAAGUGGAGUGUUUAAAUGACGAAGAAGCAUGGGAAUUAUUCUGCAAGAAGGUUGGAGAAGAUGUGGCGACUCUGUCCAAGUGCUAAGGAGAUCAGCCUCAGAAUUUCUAGGUAUGUAAAAAUGAGUAUAUAUAUCCACUUUUGAAAUUCAGUUAUGAUAAUUUACCUAGCGAUAAAAUUAGAUCGAGUCUGUUAUACUGUAGUUUGUUUCUGGAAGACUUUCCAAUUAGCAAAACGGAAUUGAUACAUUGUUGGAUAAGCGAGGGCCUUUUGGAUGAAACUAAUAGUUCUGAGAUAUGAAAUCAAGGAUACUACAUUAUUGGUGUUCUUGUUCCUUUAUGUUUAUUGGAAGAAGAGGCUCCACUAUAUGUAAAAGUGCAUGAUGUGAUACGCGAUAUGCUUCUGUGGAUCGCAUGUGAAGUUUUUUUUUUCUUUUUGAUAGGGAUAGCAUGUGAAGUUGAGAAGGAGAAAGAGAAUUUUUUGGUUCGUGCAGGUGCAAGGAUUAACUGAAGUGCCAGACAUUUGGAAAUGGGAAGGGUUGAGAAGGGUGUCUUUCAUGAGCAACAAAACUGAGAAGUUAUCAGAAAUUCCUUCAGAUCCCCAUCUACCGACUUUGUUGCUUCAACGUAAUUAUUUAGAGAUGAUCAAUAAUGACUUCUUCCAAUCUAUGAAUUCCCUUAGAGUUUUGAACUUAUCAUGUAAUCAUUCUCUAAUUGAUAAUUUCAAAGUUAGUUUCCCUACAACAUCUUAAUUUAUCAAUGACUAACAUACGAGAGUUGCCGAAUGAGUUAAAGUUUGUAGUGAAUCUAAAGUUUUUGAAUGUGGAGUAUGCACGGUUUCUUCAUUCAAUUCCAGGGCAAGUGAUAUCCAGUUUUACGAUGUUACACGGUUUGAAGAUGUUUGGUUGUGGGAGGUCAUCUUCUGAUCAUGAGCCACACUAGAAGAUAGAGUUUUAUUUGAAGGCUGUAAACUUUUGAUUGUGGAGUUGUUUGGUUUGAGAGACAUCUAGAUGUGUUGACCAUCAUCCUAACAAGUUCCCUUGCUCUGAAAAGAUUUUUGAGCUACAACAAACUUCAAAGUCGUACUCAAUCUCUCUAUCUUAAAUGCUUUGAUUCAAAUCUUCUUGUUUUUUCCAUAAAACAUUGCCAUGAUAUGGAGGAAAUACUCAGUGUCGGAAAAUUAGGUGAAGAGAUGAUGUCAAAUCUGGAACCUCUUACAAAACUCCAAGUUCGUUGCUUGAAGAAGCUACCAAAUUUGAAGAGCGUCUACUGGAAGGCCUUGCCCUUGCCCAAUGUAUGCAUAAUUUUUGUAUCUAAAUGCCCAGAACUUAAGAAGCUGCCGCUGGAUUUUGAAAGGGCGGGCGAAGGUAAAAUUCUUAUCAAGUGAAAGGAAAAUCGAUGGAAACGACUUCAAUGGGAGGAUCAAGCAACUCAGAAUGCAUUGCUUCUGUUUUUCAAAUCUAGUGAUUGAAGGGGGCAACAUCAACAUCAUCAGCCUGGAUGGGGAGAUUCUGGAGCAGAUCAGUAGGGUUUGAAUCUACAUCAUUAACAUCAUCAGGGUCUGUAUUUCUAUUGCUGGUCUUAAUGCUUGCUUACUGUUGCUUGACAAAGUGAGCCAGUUUUUUGUUUAUUAAAUUUUGUCUUGUAGAGACAGUCACAAAGUAUGGGUUGUUCUAUGUGAGAGUGAUGUGAAUCAAUUUUUCAAUUAUAUAUUCUGUGGUCAUUGUGAAUUUUGUUUAGAGAUGCAAACUUAGAAUAUGGAAAAGUUCAUCGGCAAACAUUUUGUAAAAGCUUCCAACUGAAGUUUUCAUAAUUAAAUAAUAAAAAAAUAGGAAGUGACGAAAAAAUUAUCCUAGGUGUUACGAAAAAACAUGAGCUCCGAAAAUAUUGGAAGUGACGAAAACUUAGGGCUAGGGUUUGAGAACUCUAACCCGCCACCACUGCAAGAGGACAGGACGACUAAGAAGGCCCGGUUUCGGGCUGAGGGAAUUGAUGCUGAUAAUCCUCAUAAACCCUCUUGGAGAGAUAAGGCUAUGGAGGCAGUCACGGUGAUGGCAGGUCAGACAGGAAGGAUUGGAGAGUUGGGUUACGGCAGUGUAUGCUAGCCCUAUUCCAACAGUCCUGCGUGAAUUAUGGUAUCACCUUGCAAGUAUUGCUUCUCAAAUGUUGGAUCCGUGGUUGGUGGGCGGAGAUUUCAAUGCUAUCUUAUACGCACAUGAGAAGAAAGGGGGCUCGAACCGAAUAAGUGGCACUUGCAAUUUAUUUAAUCAUUGGUUUCAUUCUUGCAGGAUGCUUGAUCUAAAGUUCUCCGGCCCUCGCUUCACUUGGUCUAGGGGAAACCUUUCUAAACGAUUGGAUAGAGCGGUUUGCAAUAAUGGAUGGCUAAUAAAACAUGCAAAUAGUAGUGUCAUGCAUCUUCCAAAAAUUGAUUCCGAUCAUCGGCCUAUUCUAGUCAAGUUCCAGAACAUGGAUUCCAAGCAUGGGGGCCCGAGGCCAUUUCGAUUUUUGGCUGCAUGGCUCACAGAUGAGAGAUUUGGGAGUUUUAUGAAUGAUAGCUGGAAUAAGGGAGAGAAUUUUCUUGAGGCAGUGGCUGAUUUUACUCAACAAACUAGGUGGUGGAAUAAGGAAAUUUUUGAAAAUAUUAUUUAUCGGAAGCGGAAAUUGUUGGCUAGAAUAGGUGGGAUCCAAUGAAUUUUGGAAGCCAAGCCUAACCAUAGCCUUACUAGACUUGAAGUUAAGCUUCAGAAGGAGCUCGAAGAGGUUCUCACUCAGGAAGAAUUAUUGUGGCUUCAGAAAUCCAGGAGAGAUUGGACUUUGUAUGGUGACCGCAACACUGCUUAUUUCCAUAAAAAAAUGCUAACCAGGCAUCGCCAGAAUCGGAUUACUGCAAUUCAAAAUGAUACUGGGCAGUGGAUACACGACGUCGAGAUCAUUAAGCAACGUGCAGUCAAUUUCUUUUUGGAAUUAUACACGCCUGAACAAGGGGUGCAUAGAACAUAUAAUGUCAGGGGGUGUUUCCCUGAGACGUCAGAUGAUAUUUGUUUAAGUUUGAUGUCUGCGGUAACAGAUGAGGAAAUCAGACAUACUAUUUUCAGUAUGAGUCCUUUUAAAGCUCCUGGAGUUGAUGGCUUUCAUGCUAGUUUUUACCAAGCGCAAUGGAAUACAGUUGGUAUGUCUUUGAGCUCUUUAAUCAAAAAUAUUUUUAAUUCUAAUCAUAUCCCUGCAGAGAUCAACAGAACCUUGCUGGUGCUCAUUCCUAAAGUGUAUCAUCCAACAAGCCUCAAGAUGUUUCGGCCGAUCAGCCUUUGCACAAUUCCGUAUAAAACGGUGACGAAAAUUAUUGCAAAUAGGUUACAGGUUUUUCUUCCAGAUCUCAUUGGACCCCAACAAACCAGUUUUGUACCGGGUCGGCAUAUUACAGAGAAUAUUGUUAUUGCUCAAGAGGUAAUCCAUACAAUGAAGAAAAAUGUGGGGGGUAAAAGAAUGAUGGCGGUUAAAGUGGACUUGGAAAAGGCUUAUAACCGGUUGAGUUGGCGAUUUGUUCAGGAAACUUUACAGGAAGUUGGGCUACCGGAGCGAUUUAUUCACCUCAUAAUGGAGUGUUUGUCCACAGCCCAAAUGAAUGUUUUGUGGAAUGGAGAAAUGACUGAAGAUUUUCGGCCAGGGAGAGAAAUUCGACAAGGAGACCCUCUUUCGCCUUAUAUUUUUGUGCUUUGUAUUGAAAGAUUAAGUCAUGGGAUUAUCCAGGCGGUUAAUCAAGGUAGAUGGAAACACAUUUGACUGACUCGAACUGGCACUCCUCUAAGUCAUUUAUUUUUUGCGGAUGAUCUGCUUCUCUUUUUGGAAGCAAGUUACGGCCAAGUUGAUGUAUUGAAUGAUGUGGUGGAGAAUUUCUGUAGGAGCUCGGGCGCUAGAGUUAGUAAUCAAAAGACCCAAGUCUUCUUCUCCAAAAAUGUCCCGGUCACUUUAGCCAAUGGAAUUGGCAAGGCUUUAGGCUUCUCGGUUACAAAUAAUUUGGGAAGAUAUCUUGGCAUGCCUCUUCUUCACGAUCGGGUUUCUAAGAAAACGUAUCAGAGUAUCAUUGACAAAAUUGAUCAGCGGCUAUCAGGAUGGGCAGCAAAGCAAUUGUCUCUGGCAGGGAGAGUUACUCUCACUCAAUCGGUGCUUCAGGCAAUCCCGAUUUACGCUAUGCAAACCACGUACCUCCCAUCUAGUGUCAGAGUUAAAAUUGAUCAAUUAUGUAGAAGAUUCAUUUGGAGUGGGGCUGGUUCUCAACGCAAGUUAAGUUUGGUUAGCUGGGACAACAUUUGUAGGCCUAAGAGCAAUGGAGGGCUCGGUUUCAAGGACAUGGAACUUAUGAACAAAGCCUUACUAAUGAAAGUGGCUUGGGAUUUAUUCAUAAAUCCUAGCAAGCUGUGCUCCCAGGUUUUAAUUUCUAAUUAUGUUGCGCCUUGUGAUAUGAUUACUACUGAUGCUUCAUUUAAAAAUGGUUCCUAUUUAUGGCGCUCUAUGGGUAAGAUUUGGAAAGACUUCCAGAAGGGUUUGCGUUGGAGUAUUGGAAAUGGCCAACGGGUGAAGUUUUGGGAUGAUAUUUGGGCUACAAAUGGUGAUCCCUUAAUCAACUAUACGGUGGCUUCAAUUCCGGAUAGCAUGCGAAAUAUGUUGGUGGCGGAUUGUGUGGAUCAAAAUGGGAAUUGGUUGUGGAACAUAUUCAACUCUUUUUUGAAUAACCAUGCUGUUUUAAGGAUUGCUUCCAUGGCUCCUCCGUCGUCAAUGAGAGGCGAGGAUAGGAUGUAUUGAGGUGCAUCAAAUACUGGCAAUUUUACAGUCCAAUCAGCUUACCAAGUGCUUACGAAUUUUUGCCCCGCUGAAGACUGUCAAGACUGGCAACAUUUGUGGAAAUGGAAGAGGCCUCAAAGCGUAAGAAUUUUUCUAUGGUUAUUAUGCCAUGAUCAAUUGAAGACGGGAUGUGAGCUUGCUAGAAGGCAUCUGGACGUCGAGGCUUUAUGUGGGAGGUGCCAUGCAGACGUUUAGAAUUCUUUGCAUGCAAUUCGAGAUUGUGAUUAUUCGAGAGGUGUUUGGCGGAAGCUUGUUCCCGCGCUUAGACAACAUGACUUUUUUAGUUAUCCUCUUUGGCAAUGGAUCAUGACAAAUCUUAGGAGAAGAGUCUGUGAUAUGGGGAGCUUAUUUUGGCCGAUUAUGUUUGGUAUUGCGGCUUGGAGAAUUUGGUAUUGGAGGAACCAGGUGAUGUUCAACAACAAGAGCUGGAAUGGUGAUUUGAUCGUUCGAGAUAUUAAGGCAAGGACUGAGAGUAUUUGUUCUACUCUUUCAAGCAUAGGCUAUCGAAGAAAUGAAAGGAUUCAGAAAUGGAUUCGUUGGGCUCCUCCACCAUGGCCUUUCUUGUGCUUAAAUACGGAUGGUGCAAGGAAAGGAAAUGGAGAGGCGAGUGCAGGUGGGCUGCUGCGGGACUGUCAUGGUAAUUUUAUUCAUGGUUUCAGCGCACAUCUCGGAGUUUGUUCAGUUCUAAAGGCUGAACUUUGGGGUGUCUUGCAUGGGUUAAGAAUGGCAUGGGAUCUUGGCUAUAGACGUAUCCAAGUUGGAGUAGACAACUGUAGUGUGGUGCAAAUUAUAAGGGAAAAUAAUGCUCAUGUCAACGAAAUUUCGAAUAUAAUCGAGAUGAUUAGAGAACUCAUGAGGAGGGAUUGGAGGAUUCAAAUUGAUCACAUCUACCGCGAAGCAAACUCGGCAGCUGAUUUCCUUUCUACGCAUGCUUUGAGUUUACUUGUUGGAGUACAUUUUCUUCAUUCUGCACCUUUAGGUUUGAGAUCUAUUUUAUAUUUGGAUAUGUAUGGGGUGGCACACUCCCGGUUUGUGCCCCUUUAGCUCUUCUCUUUUAGAGCCUUUUGUUUAUCAAAAAAAAAAAAAAAGCUUCCAACUGAAAUAGGGAAUGCACUUACUACUAAGGACAGUUGGUGGCCACCUAAUGCAUUCAUUUUAUAUCAAUUCAUCAUUUUAAUUAUUGAAAACAAGUGGCUCAUCGCUUUUACUUUAGGUAAAAUUCGGAUAAUCUCUAUUAUGAAAUGAUAAUAUUCUCUUAAAUUAUUAUAAACCUCAGCCAAUCUUAAUUUUAUUUAAAAGAUAAAAGAAAAAUAGGUUAUGUUGGUGACUUUUUUCUUAUCUUUUUAAUAAAAAUAAAAUAAAUUGAUGUUUAUAAUUGUUUAAAAUACUUUAAAGAUUGUUAUUUUAUGAGAGAGUAAUAUUUUACUUUUUUAUUGUGAAAUGCUAAAAAGGACAAAGCAAGUGUCCCUGGUUUUUAUUUUAUUUGAAAUUGGUCAUCUCAUAUACUUUACGUUUCAACACUACAAUUUUUUUGGUUAUAUUUUUAUUAUUUUUUUCUUUCUUACACAUGCACGUAAAUUUUCUUUCUUUAAGCUCCUGAAUAUUUAAGACAAAUCAUGGAAGAGAUGAAAGUAUAACAAGAUGAUCAAAAUACGUAACAAAAAAUUUACAAGUGAAACAUACGUUAGAGUCGAAGUAAAACUCUGAAAAUAGAGAUAUUGAUUAAUUUAGAAGAGAUGCAAGCAAAAGAUUUUCUUAAAAAAAAGAAAAGCAAUUUGUCCCUUUCCAGGGCAAACUUGUUAGUCUCAAAAAGGUACAUUCUUUGAAUUGAUAGUUGCAGGAUUUUUGUCUUGUUUUUGUUGUUGUGCAUUAGUUGGAGAAGUCAAGCCUAGUGAAAAAUGUUAUGAAAGAGCAAAGGAUAUUUCUGACAGCUUUAUUUAAUUAUGUAUUCAUUUAAUGGAUGUAUUGUUAGAAGAUAUUUAAGUGCAUUAGUUCAUCCGUGUCUGUUGAUGUGCUUUUAGUGAUUUUUCCAGCUGUUUGUUGUAAAAGAUGAUUGUAAAUUGAAAUGAACUUGAUGUUGUAAUAUUUUCUCUUUUGUGGAAUCUCAGUUGUGUUGUCUAUAAUUUUAGUCAAAAUUAUUGUUAUUAUUUCUUACUAGAGGUAAAUUUUUUAUUAAACCUCAUUAACACAAUUCUUAAUUAAAAGUAUAGGUUAGUGUCGGUGCAGGAUUUGCAGCACCAGAUCCUGCCUAGCUACGUGUCAAAAAUACAAAAUAAAUGAAGAGAAAGCACAAAUACAUGACUUGGAUUAGGAUAGAAGGAAACUUAAAUCUUAAAGAAAAUGAUAGCUAUAUCCCACUAUUUGAAAAAAUGGUCAUGUAGAUUUUUAAGAUUUAAAUAAGGGACGGAGAUCUUCUUUUGACAAAUAAUAUCUUUUAGCUCUCUCAAGUAAAAAAAAAAUUAAAUAUUUUAUAAUAAAUAAAAAUAUAAUAUUAAAAUAUACGUGAUAAUAUAUACAUUUUAAAUAAUUUCAAUCCAAAAAAAUAGUUAUGUUUUAUCGAAUCUACCUAUGUUACAAUAGUAGUAUGGUACCACAAUAUUUGUUCUUAUCCAAUGUAAUCAUUGGAUGAUUUAGAGCUUAAUCUAACGGCUUAAAUUAUUUUUCUGAAUAUUUGAAGCAACAACUUGCAACCGUUGGAGCCGGUUGCAUAUUAAUUUAAUAUCAUUUGGGGAAGCGUACGGUCAGGAAGUUUCUUAGUAUGCCACCAAUGGAAUUUGAUUUCAUCUCAAAUCGAUCUGCAGGCAGCAAUUGGGAAAUUACACUCACGGUCUUCCUCUUCUUCACUUCCUCUCUACUCUUCACUUUUCUCACUCUCGCGAUGUUUACAGCAUGAUAAGUACAAUUACAAACCAGGAAAUGCCAUUAACAAUUUUCAUUUGUCUUAGUCGUUUUUUUUUUUUUUAGUAGAAAGCCAAAAAAGAAAACGGGUGGGAGGUUGGGGCGUCGUGAUGAAAUGGUUUUGAGUUUUUGACGGAAUGUUUGUUUUUGUGAUUCAUUUAGGGUUUGAAUUCAGGCUUGUACGAACUCGGAUCUAUUCGAGAUCCGUAUUGGCGCUGAAAUCAGAUCCUUUGAAGCCUUGGUUUGAAUUCAACCUUGAGAACUCCAAGCUUGUUAGAAUCUUCAUUGAUCUCUCCAGAAAUUACACGGAUCUUAUUACUAAACCCUACAUAUAGGGCUGCAAUGGAGUCCGAUUCUCUCACAAUUGAUGAAUCAAUAUUGAGACAGUUCGAAAAGGAAGUAAAAAAGAGAAUCAACUUGACUGGCUAAAUAAUUGCGGAGGCCAAAGAGUCUUUUGAUAAUCAAUUGAAGAUUUAGAAGUUAAAAGACACUAUUUUUACUAUGAACGAACAAUUGACUAAGGCGAAAAAGCAAGGAGCUUUUUUGAGUUUGAUUGCUGCGAAAUCGAUGCCUUAGAGUUUGCAUUGUUUGGCCAUGAGGUUGAUGAAAGAGCGAGUUGUUCAUCCGGAGAACUAUAAUGAAGAAGGGAAGCCCACACAUGCAGAAUUCGAGGAUCCCAAACUUUAUCAUAAUGCUAUUUUUUCUGGGUAAUAUGCUUGCAGCUUCGGUGGUGGUGAUUGGUGAAUUUAGCUGUUAAGAACUCGAAGGAGCCUUGGAAACAUGUGUUUCAUGUUGUGAUGGAUCAAAUGUUUAAAUUGAAGGAUUAUAAUGGAGCACAUUUAGGCACGAAGGCUGUUGAGGAUUAUAAGUUUUUGAAUUCUCACAUGUCCCUGUGUUAAGGCAGCCGGGGUUUGCUAAUUUGCAAAGGUUUUACUUCGGGAAGUAGCUUGAGAAUGCUACGAAAGAUGCUACUAACAUGAAGUUUAGGAAUCCCAAUUACUUGUUGAUACUGUAUCAUUUGAGGUUCUGGAUAAGAUUUCAAUGAUGGCCGCUUAAAACAAAUAAUAAAAAAAAAGAACUUGUACUGUAUUUGGAUCUUUACUUAUUUGAUAUAGUUUUCUGCAAUCUCUCCAUGCAACCGGUUACUUUAAUUAUCCACUAACUCAUCUCAACCGUUUGAUGGACUCACUUUAUAUCCAACGGCAGUUUUAAAUGAAGACAAAAAGUGUGGUAUGUUGCAAUUGUUGCAACAUAUGUGAGUCUUGUUUUACAAUCUAUUUAACAUAUUUUAUUAAAUUAAUAUAUUUCUAUGAUAUAGGAACAUAAUAUUAAAAUAAAUUUACAAAAAUUUAAAGAAUUUUGAAUGUAAAACAAUUUCAAUAUAUUAAUAAUGAGAUUUUUUUAUUAUUAUAAAAAUUAUUUAACCCAUAGAUUUUUUUAAAUCUUUACAAUAAGUAUAAAUAUAUUAUCUUCACUUAAAAAUAUUUAAAUAUUAUUAACCUAUAAUUAGGUUUGCAUUUAUUAGAAAAUUUUAAAGUCAAAUAUAUUGCACUUUUGCAUUAUUAGAAUCAUCACAGAGAAAGGAGCAUAUAUACUUUAUAACUUUAAAAAUUGGUUUCUUCUGGAAACAGAGAUGAUGAUUAUUAUAAGGAUGAAAAAAAAAAGAUAAAGAAUAUUAAUGAUUAACGAAAUCUCUAUGCAAAUUGAUUUUAGUAGGGAAAGAGUGAGAUGAAUAACUUCUUUUACAGCUAAAAACAGAGAUGAUGAUUAUUAUAAGGUUGAAAAAAAAAGAUAAAGAAUAUUAAUUAUUAAUGGAAUCUCUAUGCAAAUUGAUUUUAUAGGAAAAAAGCGAGCUAAAUGAUUUAGACAUUCAUAGUGUAUUUAUUUUUGAAUUGGUGAAUAAGAAUUAUUGACAACGCUAACUUCAUCUUCACCGUUGGCUAUCCAAUAGCGGCAAUUGUCGCCGAUUAUGAUAUCUCCAAUGAUGAUGACGGUUUUUUUAUUAUUAUUAUUGGUGACCCCUUGGAAAGUUAACUGCAACUGCCAAUCAGAGAAAAGUCGUCAUGCACAAUCCUCAAUCGAACCAAUCAUCUACGUUACAGAAUCUGAAACGUACACACUGUUAACAUAUAUGUUUCCAUAAUGUUGAUUUUGAUGAUAACAAACAAGAUUAAGAAUGAUUAAUCUUUUAAGCUCAAAUUAUUUUUAUGCAUUUUAAAUAAAUCAUUAUUUUUACAUUAUAAAGGUUCUAUAUUUAAUGGAAAAAUGAUUUUAUGAAAUUGAUUGUUUUUUAUUCUUUUUAAAUAAAUCAUUAUUUUCACAUUAUAAAUGUUUCAUAUUCAAUGGAAAAAUGAUUUUAUGAAAUUGGUUGUUUUUCAAAGUUUAUGGUUUAAUUGAAAGAAUUUUGAAAACUUUGAAAUAAACAAGUAUUGCUUGAAAUUUCAGAUUUGGACUUAUUUGAAACUAUUUAAAUGUUUUUAGGCUAUUCUAUAAUUUCACAAAGUUUGGGCGAAAUUAUAAUUUCAGAACGUUGUGGGAUUGACAAAGUAUUAUUCUAAAAUUCUGAAAUUGGACUUAUUUGUAAAUUUUCAUAACGUUUUGGGUUAUAGUAUAGUUUUAUAAAGUUUUGGGGUCAAAUUAUAAUUUCAGAAAAUAGUGCACUGUGCAGGUUACUGUGGCAUCCGGCUUACCGGAUAUAAAAAUCGGAAAACCGGAUACGGGGCAGAAUGUAUCCAGAAUGUAAACGGCUUACCGGAUUUCGUAACCAGCAAGCCGGAUAGGCAAAAUUCAAAUUUUUGCCUUAACGGUAACAUAAAUCCAGCUUAUCGGAUUCCAUAAAUGGCAAACCGGAUACGCCCAGAAUGUGAGUAACGGCUAGUUUUUGAGUUCAAACUAUAUAAACUCAAAACCAAUUCAUUUUUGGUAAUCCAAGCAAGAAAGAACAAGUGCACAUAACAUAUAUUGAGCUUCAAUUUCGUAACUCAUCAUUUAUUAAAUCAUCUUUGUUUUUCAAUUUGUAUAUCCACUCUUAAAGAGAGAUUCAUUGUUGUAUUUUUCAUUUCUCAUCAAAUUGUGAGUGUACAAGUGUGAGAAACACUUGGGGUGAAGAGAUUGGAGAGAUAAUCUCUUGUUGUAAAGGUUCAUUAACACAUUGAAGUCAAUUGUAAACGUUUGAAGCCUUGGAAAUGCUUGGAUAGUGAAAUCCUCAAGCCCGGUGUGCUUGGAAGCGUGGACGUAGGCGGAGAUUACCGAACCACGUAAAAAUCCUUGAGUUUGCUUUCUCUUCCCUUACUCUUUAAUUAUUGUGCUUUGAUUGAACUUAUUGCUUUCAAUUUUUAUUAAGACAUUAGAUUAAAUUGUUGUGUGGUUUGCCUAGGAUAAUUUUUAAAAUCUCAAUUCACCCCCCUCUUGAGUUGCCUAGUUAGUAUUUCACACACCCAAUGGGAAGCAGCACACGUGUUCUGAGGAGAGAGAGAAAAAACCGUGCAAAUGCAAGCAAUAGGUAUUGGCUACAGUUGGAUCUGUAAGUUACAGAAUCUGUAACUUAGCCAACUCCCUCAAUGAUCAAUAUUGUUUCCGAUAUUUAUAAAUUGGUGGCCCCUUGGAAAUUUAACUGGAAGUUUGCAAGUGUCAAUCAGAAAAAAAUCGUCAUCCAUUGUUUUUUUUUUUCUGCAUUCCCUUUCAUGUUCUUAAUAAUUGAGGACAGGUUGUUCAUAACAUUUAUACUUUUCAAAUGUGGAGCUGCAUUUAAUGUCGCUAUUUUAAUUUGGGAUUAAAUUAGGGGAACACUAACUUUUAUAUUUAUCUAAACUCCUUAAAUUUAAGACAGAUUAUGGCGUAAAUAAGAAUAUAAUAAUAACAAAGGAAUUAAAAAGUAUAAUGACGAUCUUGCAGAAAUAUAAAUAUUAGCGUUGAAUUAAAUAACAUAGAACACAUGAAUUGAAUAGUGAUUAUCAAGACGGUGUUACUUGCACUCCUAUUUAUAAAAAAUCUUGGUUCUGUUCCAUUAGAUUUUUUAUCUUCAAAAUCUUGCAAAGUUUUGACAACCCAAAGGCUCAGUUUGGUUGUUCUAUAUUUGUAUGAUAUGAAUUCAAAUUUUUGUGUUCUGUUUUUCUUAAUUCUGAACACGGAUUCUUCUCUUCUCGUGCAAACCAGAAAGAAAUGUUGUCUUACAAAAAAAAAAGGGGAAUAACUUCAUGAGAACAAAAAUUCAGAAAAAUAAUAUAAAGUUUAUAUUUAGACUUUUGUGGUAUAUUUUAAUUUUCAACAAUGAGUUAAAGAAAAUAAUAAAUAAAGUAAAUAAAAGUUUAGAGAUUCAAAUUUUUAGUAUUGGAUUCUUUAAUUCAAAUACCUCUCAUUAAUUAACACUUAAAAGAGAGUUCACUAUUAUAAUUUUAAGUUUUUUGAUUUAUUAUUGAUAUAUAAAUUAGGAGUUUAAGCUUACUUUUUUAUUUUUCCAUUUUUUUUCAAAUUUGAAAUUAUUAUUUAAAUUUAUAAUUUUUUUUAAAAAAAUAGAGGGCUUGAGCCUGGCUUGGGUAUUGUUUCCUAAACCCUUAUCCGGCCCUGGCUUUUUUGCCAGCCCCAAUGAUGAUGAUGAUGAUUAUUUUAUUAUUAUUAUUAAUGAUGAAAAGUAUUAUAAUUAAUUAAUAUAUUAUUGUAUUGUUAUUAAGAUUAACAAUAAUUAUUAAUGAUAACAAUUUUUUGAAUAAAAAUAAUCACAAUAAUUAAAAUAUAAAUUAAUAAUUAUAACAAUAGUUAAUUAAUGUAUUUUUAACAAUUUGUAAUAAUUUAACUCAUUCUAAUUUCGAUUAUUAUAGUUAAGUAAACAACUUAUUAUAAUUUUCAUUCUCCAUUUUAAUUUCAGCUCAUUUCGAUUUCAGUCUAUUCCAAUUUUCAUUUAAUAAACGUUCCAUUAAUGCUAUAGUAAUAUUUCAUAUAGAAAAAAAUAAAAGCUACAACUAAGGUUAAGGGAAAGGACUUCAAAACUCUCUUUUUGUCAUAAUACAUUUUUUCCUAAUUAACUUAAAGAGUUUGAAUCUAAUAUUUUAUAAUAAAUAAAAAUAUAUUCCAAAAGUAAAUAUAAUAUAUCUAUUUUAAACUAAUCUCAAUAUUUAAAAUAUAUUUAAUAUUUUACAAUCUAUUAGACAUAUUUUAUUAUAUUAAAAUAAAUUUUAUAAUAAAUAUGAACAUACUGUUAAAAUGAAUAUAUAAAAAACUUAGAGUAUUUUGAAUAUUAUAUAAAAUAAUUUUAGUAGAAUACGUGAGAUAUAUUUUAUUAAUGUAAAAUGCUAUUUAAUCUAAAGAUUCAUUUAUGAUAAAUUAAUAAUUAUAUUUUUAAAAUUAUUUUAAAAAUUAAAUUUUUUUAAUAUUAUUAAUCUAUUAGACAGAUAAAAUUAUUUAUAUUAUUUUGUAUUUAUUAAAAAAAUUUAAAGUCAAUUUUUUUAAUUACUAUUCAAAGGAUAUAAUAAUUAAAAAAAUCUUAGCGUUUUCAUUAAAAAUUUAAAAAUUUACAUGACUAUUUCUGUAAAUAUUUAAGGUAUAUAUGAACUACGGUAGAGAAGCUUCAUUUAAUAUUAUUGAUUUAAAUAAUAUCUCAAUUAAAAAUGUACAGAGAAUAUAUUUCGGUGGGUAUUUUAAUCUUUUUAGCAAUUAUCAUGGUUAGCCCUUGGCCUUGAAACGUCUGUCAGAAAGGUUUUCAAAUGCUUUAAUUGUUCUUAUUAAAAAAAAAAUCUUUAAUUGUUUUUUCACUUUUAACGUCAGCGGCCUUGAAAGUGCUUUUACUUUAUAACAAAUUAAUUAAUGCUGACGAGAAAAUAUCUCUUCCACAGCCCACAGCAGCUUCUGUUAAUCAAACUCAACCAAUUUUCUCUCUUAACAAAAUUCCAAAGAUGGGUAGCAUUUUUCAGAUCACAUGCGACGGCGCUUUUUUCAAUCGUUGCUUUGGAUUGCUUUCUUGGAAAAGCAGCAUACAUAAGCAACAUCCAAGAUAAUCUUGUAGCCUUGGAGACUGAACUGGGAAGACUAAUCGCAGCAAAGAACGAUGUGAUGAUGAGGGUUGUCAAUGCUGAACGACAACAAAUGAAAAGGCUGGGCCAAGUGGAAUGGUGCGUUUCGAGGGUGGAUGCUGUUAAAAUUGAAGCUGAUGAACUUAUCAGAGACGGCUCUCAAGAAAUUGACAAAUUAUGUGUUGGAGGCUACUGUUCUAAGAACUGCACGUCAAGCUACAAGUUCGGGAAACAAGUGGCUAAAAAGCUACGAGAUGUGGAGACUUUAAUCGCCGAAGGAGUUUUUGAGGCGGUGGCUACCGAGGUGGUGCCUGAGAGAGCUCCAGAGCCUGUAGCAGAUGAAAGACCUACCGAGCGAACAGUAGUAGGCUUGCAAUCACAACUUGAACAAGUCUGGAGAUGUCUUGCAGAAGAAUCAGUGGGAAUCAUUGGCCUAUAUGGUAUGGGCGGUGUUGGUAAAACUACAUUACUGACCCAUAUCAACAAUAAAUUUCUCGAGAGUCCAACCAACUUUGAUUGUGUGAUUUGGGUAGUAGUUUCAAAAGACCUGCGACUUGAAAAAAUUCAAGAAGAUAUUGGAAAAAAGAUAGGUUUGGUUGGUGAUUCGUGGAAGAGUAAAAGUGUAGAGGAGAAAGCUGUCGACAUCUUCCGGAGUUUAAGAGAGAAGAGAUUUGUAUUGUUGUUAGAUGAUAUAUGGGAGCGGGUUGAUUUAACAAAGGUGGGCGUUCCACUUCCCGGACCAAAAAAUACUACCUCAAAAGUUGUAUUCACAACCCGUUUCAUCGAUGUUUGUGGUAGCAUGGAAGCUGACAGGAAGUUCCAAGUGGCGUGCUUAUCAGAAAAGGAUGCUUGGGAACUGUUUCGAGAAAAAGUUGGGGAAGAAACUCUUCAGAGUCAUCAUGAUAUCGUUGAGCUAGCCCAAAUUGUGGCCAAAGAGUGUGGUGGUUUGCCACUCGCACUUAUUACUAUUGGUCGAGCUAUGGCCUGCAAAAGGACAGCCGAGGAGUGGAGACAAGCAGUUGAAGUGCUAAGAAGAUCAGCUUCUGAGUUUGCAGGUUUGGGAAAAGAGGUGUAUCCUCUUUUAAAGUUUAGCUAUGAUAGUUUGCAGAAUGAGACGAUUAGAUCUUGUUUCUUAUAUUGUUGUUUAUAUCCCGAAGAUUAUGGAAUUCUUAAAUGGGACUUGAUUGAUUGUUGGAUUGGUGAGGGAUUCUUAGAGGAAUCUGACAGGUUUAGUGCAGAAAACCAAGGAUACUACAUUGUGGGCACUCUUGUUCAAGCAUGUUUAUUAGAAGAGUUAGAAGAUGAUAAAGUAAAAAUGCAUGACGUUAUUCGUGAUAUGGCUCUAUGGAUAACCAUUGAAAUUGAGAAGCAGAAGAGAAACUUUUUGGUUCGUGCAGGUGCUGGAUUAAAAGAGGCACCGGCUGUUAAAGAAUGGGAAAAUGUGAGAAGAUUGUCAUUGAUGCAAAACCAAAUUAAAACUCUGUCAGAGGUUCCUUCAUGCCCUCAUCUCCAUACUCUAUUUCUUGCCUCUAAUGAUAAUUUGAGGAUGAUCACGGAUGGCUUCUUUCAAUUUAUGCCUUCUCUCAAAGUUUUGAAGAUGUCAAACUGUGUGGAUUGGCCAGUUUCGAAAUUACCUUUGGCGAUGUCAAAGUUGGGUUCACUACAACUUCUUGAUAUUUCACAUACCGGCAUAGAANNNNNNNNNNNNNNNNNNNNNNNNNNNNNNNNNNNNNNNNNNNNNNNNNNNNNNNNNNNNNNNNNNNNNNNNNNNNNNNNNNNNNNNNNNNNNNNNNNNNGAAGAGUUGAAGUUGUUGGUAAAUCUGAAAUGUUUGAAUUUGAGGUGGACAUUUGAGUUAAAUAAAAUUCCAUGGCAACUAAUAUCAAAAUUUUCAAGGUUACGUGUGUUGAGAAUGUUCGCUACUGGCUUUGCACGUUUUGAUGAAGCAUCAGAAGACAGCGUUUUAUUUGGUGGGGGUGAAGUUUUAGUACAGGAAUUGGUCGGUCUGAAAUAUUUAGAGGUAUUGGAGUUGACCUUGGGAUGUCAUCAUGCUCUCCAAAUUUUUUUGAGCUCAAAUAAGUUAAAAAGUUGUAUUCGAUCUCUUCUCCUCCAGUUGGCCGGAGAUACAACGUCGAUUAUUGAUGCUACGGCUUUCGCAGAUCUAAACCACCUCAAUGAAUUAUGCAUUGAUAGGGCUAAGGAGUUGGAAGAAUUGAAGAUUGAUUGUAAAGAAAUAGUACAAAAAAGGCGGGAACCUUUUGUUUUCCGCAGCCCUCACCGUGUUACUAUACAUAGCUGCCAGAAGUUGAAAGAUUUGACAUUCCUCGUUUUUGCUCCAAACCUCAAGUCUCUCGAUCUAGACCGUUGCGAUGCUAUGGAAGAAAUAAUCAGCGUCGGAAAAUUUGCUGAGACUCCUGAGAUGAUGGGACAUAUAAGCCCUUUUGAAAAUCUCCAAAUGCUUGAUUUAGAAGAUUUGCCUCAUUUGAAGAGCAUCUUCUGGAAGCCAUUGCCUUUCACUCAUCUGAAAGAAAUAUCUGUGGGUUAUUGCCGUAAUCUUAAAAUGCUUCCACUCGAUUCCAACAGUGCAAAGGAGCGUAAAUUUAUUAUUCGUGGAGAAGAAGACUGGUGGAACCGACUUCAAUGGGAGGAUGAAGCCACUCAAAUUGCUUUUCGUUCCUGUUUCCAAUCUCUUUUUGAUUAACUCUUAUACAUUUUCUCGUCGUUUGCUUCAUGCAAAAGACUACGUCUUUUGUUCUCUGUUUUUAUUUCAGUUUCGUUUUGUCUCCUGCAAAUCACAAUUAAAUGUUGAAUUAUAUGGAAGUAAUGCUUUAUAAAUUUGCCGGCACUGCCAUUUAUUUUUCCUCUUUUUUUUUUUGGGUCGAAUUGAUGCUCUGGCUUUUUUAUUUUUUGUCAUCGAAUUUUGCUCUGUUUUUCAAAUUGAUGCUUGAAUAUGUGAAUUCAAUUAAUGCUCACAUAAUUUUGUUUAGUUGCCGUAAAAGAAUAUAAUUAGACUGAAAUUCGCACUCCCAGAAUGAAUAGAAUCACAACAGAGAAAAUAUUAAGUAUGCUAGCCCUCUUUACAGAAAAUCAAAUGAAAAUAAAAUUUUUUGGAUAUUUGAUUUUCUAUGGUCUACUAUAUACACUUUAUAAAUUCUUCUGUUCUAAGGAUAACCAAGUAGGGGAUUGAUGAAGGCUCCUUUUUGGGAUUCUUCUUUUUCUAGGCUGCAAUUAGGAUAUGUACAUGAUAGACAAUCUUUUGUUGGUUUAGCAUAUCUUCGCUGAUUUUGUCUUUUAUUCCCCAAUUUUAUAAUUACACACCAUGAAUGUUGGGUGAUUGUAUAGAAAAUUUGUGUUAUAACAAAAACAUUGUGAAGGAGUUUCCGUGCUAAUAGUUAGUGGCUUCUGUUUUAUUGGUAUUGAUUGGGUAGAUUUCGUGUUACAGUGAUUCAAUUUGUGUUCCAAACUUUGCUUUAAUUUUCUGUUUUCCCCAACUAUUUAUGUCAAAUUUAAAUCCAGAAGCAUGUACUGAUUUUUUCUUUUUGUAUUAAUCUGUGAAGUUUACUUGGAAUGGAAGUAACUGGGUCGGGUCUAAUGGAUUAAAUUAUGACAUUGAGGGGAAGGCACUAAAAGGGUUUGCUUGACACAUUUGGUUCUGUAUUUACUCUGCAAGAAAUAGCUUUUGCUUAUUGCAAUGCAGGGGGAAAUCCCGAUUUGGCUGGUGAAUUUCUCUGCAACAAACAGGCAAACGCCUCAACCUCUUCUGUCCAUACUUCUGCUGGGGAGGCAAGGGGUAAAGAGUCUUCAAAAUCAUCAAAUAGUAACAUCUCUGAGAAUUCAUUUUAUGGAAAUGGAAAAUCUAGAGCUUCUAAUACAAAAUGGCAUCUGGUAUCAGGACGUACCGUUUCAAGUUUUCUUGGUAAAGAUUAUGUUAAACCUGCACAGCCAGCUAAUGGCACUGUUCUGGCAUCAAAGCCAUUGAAGUUGGAUCCAAGGGAGUUUCGCAUUUCUGCACUUUCAGAGUAGAAACUAAACCAAAACAAUCAAAGGAUGACCAUUUGCAGAAGGAUAUGGAAGAUUUUCUGUUUAAAUUGCUAGGAGAAGGGUUCCAGCUGUACAGGGAUGUGAUUCAGGAGGUUCAUGGAAACGUCUUAAAUAUAUUGAUGCCAAUUUAAUACAUAUUGUCCUUUUCAAUGUUCUUUCUUUCUUUCUCCUCUUUUUAUUCUUCUUCUUCUUCUUUUUUCUUUUCGUGUGCAUGUGAUCACUAAUUUGGUAUUAUUCUUAACUUGCAGAUAGUUGUGGAUAUGAUAUGCAAAAUAUCUUCUUGAUGCUGGCAGAUUCACUUGAUUCUUAUUAGUUUGUUUAGUGGCAAGGCAUAUAACCUGUAUUUCAAAGCCAAGUUGUGCUAUUGAUUAUGUUAACUUUAUUGUUAACAUAAAGUGAUAUGGAGGACAUAAUCAAUGUAGGAAAAUUAGGUGAAGAGAUGAUGUCAAAUCUUGAACCUCUUACAAAGCUCCAAGUUCUUUACUUGAAGAAGCUGCCAAAUUUGAAGAGCGUCUACUGGAAGGCAUUUCCAUUCCCAGAUGUAUGCAGAAUUUUUGUAUUAAUGCCCAGUUCUUAAGAAGCUGCCACUGGAUUUUCAAAGGGCGGGCCAAGGUGAAAUUCUUAUCAAGGGAAAGGAAGAUUGGUGGAAAGAACUUCAAUGGGAGGAUCAAGCAACUCAGAAUGCAUUGCUUCCAUUUUUCAAAUCAACUGACAAGUGAUUGAAGGGGGCAUCAUCAACAGAGAUGGAGAGAUUCUGGAGCAGAUCAACAGGGUUUGUAUAUGAUCUUUGGUGGUUGCUUUCUUUUGUGAUUUUUUUUUCUCAUUUUUUUUCCUUCCUGUCAUUUUAUCAUUUCUUUGUCUCUUUUUCUAUUGCUGAUGUUAGUGUAUGCUUACUGUUGCUUGACAAAGUUUGCUUGCUUCUUGUUUAUUAAAUUUUUUAUGGUCACAAAAUAUUACUUGUUCUAUUUGAGAGUGAUGUGAAUCAAUUUUCAAUUAUAUAUUUUGUGGUCAAUGUGAAUUCAAUUUCAUUUGUCUCCUGCAAUUAUGAAAAAAAUGCAGAGUCAUAAUAUGGAAAAGUCGACCGGCAAAAACUUUGUGAAAGCUUCGGAGUGAAACAGGGAAUUCACUUACUACUAAGGACAAUUGGUGGCGAGCUAUUCCAUUCAUUUUAUGUCCAUACAUCUAUUUAAUUAUUGAAGAUAAGUGGUCCAUUUGUAAAUUUCAGAUUGUCCCUCUCUCUUGAAAUAACGAUAUUUAAAAUAUUUCUUAAAUUAUUAUAAAUUUUAAUUUACUCUGGAUUUAAAAUGGAACAUGAUGAAAAUUUUUUUUUCUUCUUAAUAAAAUUGAAAUAAAUUGUGUUUGCAGUAGUUUGAAAUAUUUUAAAGAUUAUUAUUUUAUAAGGGAGUAAUAUGAAAUGAAAUUUACUUUUCAUGCGUGAAAUGUUGAAAAAGGACAAAGCAAGUGUCCCUGUUUUUAUUUUAUUUCAAAGUGGAGUCAUCUCACGUACUUUAGCUCUUAACAUUAUAAUUUUUCUGGUUACAUUUUUAUUAUUAUUUUUUUUUUUUACACAUGCAUGUGGGUUACUUUUCCGUAAGCUCCUUAAUAUAUAUUUAACACAAAUCAUGGAAGAGAUGGGAGUAUAUCAAGAUGAUCAAAGCAUGAAACAAAAAUAUUUAAGAAGUAAAACACUGAAAAUGGAGAAGAGAUGCAAGCAAAAGAUAUUCCAAAGAAAAGCAAUCUAUCCCCCUUUCGAGGGCAAACUUAUCAGGUUUAAGAAAAGUACAUGCUUUGGAUUGGUAGUUGCAGCCUUGCAGGAUAAUUGUUUUUGCCACUAUAUUAGUUGGAGGAGUUGAACCCAGCGAAGAAUGUUAUGGAAGAGCAAAGGAUUAUGUAGCCUGAAUGGAUGUCUUGUUGAAAGAUAUCUCAGUGCAUUAGUUCAUCCUUGUCUGUCAAUGUGUUUUUAAUGGUUUUUCCAAUUGUUUAUUAUUAUAGAUUGAUUGUAAAUUGAUAUGAAUUUAAUGUUGAAAUAUUUUCUCUUUAGUGGAAUGAAUUUAAAAGUGCAAAAGCUUAUUGCACACAGAGAAAUAAACAUAUAUGCUUUAUAGUAUAACUUUAGCAAUCGAUUCUUUUACAGCUGGAAACAGAGAUGGUGAUUAUCAUAGGGGUGAAGAAAAGGACAAAAAAUGUUAAUGAUUAACGAAAUUUCUAUGCAAAUUGAUUUUAGCAGGAAAAAAAGUGAGCUAAAUGAUCUUAAUGUUCCACAAAAGCAAAUCGUAAUAUUCCACAAGAAAAAGCAAGAUCUUAAUGUUCCACAAAAGCGUUAUUUUUUUUUUGGUGAGCCACGUGGAGCUCAAUUAUCAUUGUCUUUACUUUAAAAACGUUAUUUUAUUUUAUUUUAUUACAAAUUAAUGCUAAACAAGAAAAAGCAAGAUAUAAUAUUCCACAAAAGCAAAUCGUAAUAUUCCACAGAGGAAUAAGAUCCACAAAAGCAAACAACUAGCUGGAUUCUUUUACUGAAUUACAAAUUAAAGUGGAAUCUUUUAUUAAACAAUAAAUUAAAGUUCGAAUAUUUAAGUAGUAGUGCGUUAGAUGAUUAGGCUCUCUUAUUAAAGGCAAGUAUAAGGUAGUCCAGAAUCGAACAUCUCUAUUGUCUAGUCAUUUUUUUCAAUUCUUCUUUUAUUAUUUUUCAGAAUAGGUUUUGGUGAUUACUAUUGGGUUAUUAGUCAGAGUUAUUCUUAUCUUCCGGGGCAGUUUCUGUUCAUCGGAAUUGUUAAUUAAAAGAGUAAUGAUAUAGUCACAAACUCUUGUAUAAACUUAUUUUGUACAAACUGAUGUGGCAUGAUAAGAUUAGUUGAAUUAAAUAUCACUUAGGCCACAUGAUUUAUUUUUAUUAUUUUAUAUUUUCAUUCAACCAAUGAAUUAAUGCCACGUCAGUUUGUACAAGAGUUUGUGGCUGUAUCAUUACUCUAAUUAAAAUUUUAGAACUCUUGUGGGAAGAAUGUUUUUCUGUUAUCUUUUUUACAUUCUAAUUUCAACAAUAAGAAGGAGUCAUUUUAGAAUUCGGGUCUUGAAUCGAAUUUCAAUGCAUGAAUUAAUAUUUUAAAAAAAAAUUACUACACGCAGUUUAGGUUACAAACUAUUUUUUGCAAAGUUGACUAUGAAAUUGGAGAAAUUAAGUAAUUUAUAAUGUUUGCAAAGGAAGAGACUAACAUACUUCCAAUUACACUAUAUCUCUAUUAUCAUAAUGUUAAGACUAAACUAACUUAAAAUAAAUUUUAUUUGAAAAGUUAUAUCAAACACAGUCUAAUUUUAUUAACUUGAAGAGAUAAUAGUUAUAGAAAUGAUUGUUCUAACUUAAUUAGUACAAGUGGUAUAAAGGUUAAGUGUGCACUAAAUUUGUUUAAAUUUUUUCCAGAAUAACUAACAGAGGUCAUUAUUAGAAUUAUAAUUACUAGUCUAUUAGAUAGAAAAAAUUAUAUAUAUUGUUUUAUAUUUAUUAAAAAAAUUUAAAGUCAAUCUUUUUAAUUAUUAUUUAAAGGAUAUUAUAAUUUAAAAAAAUUUAAUGUCUUUAUUAAAAAUUUAAAAAUUUACAUGACCGUUCUAUAAAUAUUUAAAGUGUAACUGUCAUUUUCUCAUGUAUAUAUAUAUAAACCACGGUGGUGAAGCUUUAUUUAAUAUUAUUGAUUUAAAUAACAAUAUCGCAAUUAAAAAUGUAGAGAGAAGAAAUUUUGGUGGGUAUAUUAGUCUUUUACAAUUAUCAUGAUUAGCCCUUCCUCUUGUAACGUUGGUCAGAAAAGUUUUAAAAUGCCUUGAUUUCUUUUACUUUUAACGUUAGCGGCCUUCCUUAUAUUUUAUUACAAAUUAGUCCUAACAAGAAAAAGCGAGAUCAUAUUCCAAAAAAGCAAAAGUGACAAAAAAACCAGCUGUAUUCUUUUAUUAAACUACAAUUUAAAAUGAUUUUAAAGUGGAUUCUUUUGAAUACAGGUGGGGUAGUCGAAUAGUCUUUUUCAAAUUCUUGUUUUAUUAUUUUUCAAAACUAGUUUUUGGUAAUUACAAUCGGGUCAUUCAUUAGUCAUUAUUCAGAGUUAUUGUUAUCUUCGGGGGCAGUGGGUAAAAGGCUAAAUGAUAAUUACUAAGUGUUUUUCCUUCAAAAGUUAGUGGCUCGUGUUUUGCAAGUGUGUACGUGCGAUGCUCUUUGUCUAAAGGCAAUUACAGUGGGUCCCGAAUCGGACGUGCCUAAUAAAUCUUUUAAAAUUUUUUCUAAUAAAUAUUCCUAAAAUUUCUCUUCCACAGGCAAUUACAGCAGCUUCAGUUAAUCAAACUCAAUCAAUUUUCUUUCUUAACAAAAUUCCAAAGAUGUUUGGCUGUUUUCAGAUCACAUGCGAUGGUGCUCUUUUCAAUCGUUGCUUGGAUUGCUUUCUGGGAAAAACAGUAUACAUACGUAACCUCCCAGAUAAUCUUGUUGCCUUGGAGACUGAAUUGGGAAAUCUAAUCGCAGCAAAGAACGAUGUGACGAGGAGGGUUGACAAUGCUGAACGGCAACAAAUGAGAAGGCUGGACCGAGUGCAACGAUGGAUUUCGAGAGUGGAAGUUGUUGAAACUGAAGCCGAUGAAUUGAUAAGACAUGGCUCUCGAGAAAUUGAAAAAUUAUGUGUUGGAGGCUACUGUUCCAAGAACUGCAUGUCAAGCUACAAGUUCGGAAAACAAGUGGCUAAAAAGCUACGGGAUGUGCGGACUUUAAUCAGUGAAGGAGUUUUUGAGGUGGUGGCUGACAGAGCUCCAGAGCCUGUAGCAGAUGAAAGACCUACUGAGCCAACAAUAGUAGGCUUGCAAUCACAACUUGAACAAGUUUGGAGAUGUCUUGUAGUAGAAGAAUCAGUGGGAAUCAUUGGCCUAUAUGGUAUGGGCGGUGUUGGUAAAACCACACUAUUGACCCAUAUCAACAAUAAAUUUCUUGAGAAUCCAAUCAACUUUGAUUGUGUGAUUUGGGUUGUAGUUUCAAAAGACCUGCGACUUGAAAAAAUUCAAGAAGAUAUUGGGAAAAAGAUAGGU